rnacentral:lncRNA from 1 species
AUGGUAAGGAAACUCACAAAUGAUCCAAACCCACGUUUGUAAUCCCAGGCAACAUGGGGAGUUGGUUUGAGAGGGAACUUGUUAUAUAUGUGUGCGUGUAUGGGUUUUGUCCCUUUUGUAUUGCUUAUAAUUGGAGGGACUAAGAUACCAUUUAAGCAGGCUAUUUCCCCCUCAAAACAGUUCUUUGGUAUCUAGUAACCCUUGAUUGAUUGAUUGAUAGUUUUUUUUUCUUUUAAUGAAAAGUGAGAUCAAAACCAAGGAGCAACUGGGACACUUCUCUCAUUUGCUAGAUCAUUUCAGAAGGCCAGAGCAUUUGACCUAAGUUUCUAUGAACUGUGAUCUUGACCGAAUGGUGAACAGAUCAUCCGUGGCCCUGGAACUGAGAAUCCUGAGGAUUUACUCCACCCAUUCACAUAAGCCUGAGUGUUAUCUUUUUGGACGAAUCAGUUCUCUCAGAGGCUUGAUGUUCCUUUGUAGAAAAGUAGAUGUGUUACUAGAUGAUAUCUAUAGUACUUCCAGUUCUGACAUUUUUAGUUCCUUCUGGUUAGGUGGUUCCCCACUGCUUCUUUCUCCUUCAGACUAUGAGAGGCCCCUGCAGCCUACUGUAUAAUGAGUGCAUUUCUCAGUGGAAGAUCAAGAGACCUGGUGAUUUUCCAAUGGGAUGGGGAGCACAGUCCCUGGUGCAUGGUGCUGGGUGUGUGGUUAUUUGGUGACAUUCCACUCUGCUUUGCCAGGGUGCAUGACGCAGACUUUCUUGGCUUUGGAGUCACUGCCAAUGUGCUGGGUUGGUAAAAAGACAAACACCUGUUUUAGAGCUGUUUAGAAAGGACUUGGAAGUCCUCACCUGGUCCAUCAUCUGUACUUUAUAGAUUAAAACAUCAAAUCCAGAAAUGGAAACGUCUAUCCCCAGGCAACACAGCUAGUUAAUGGCAGAGCUGGGAACAAAGCUUGGUCUCUAUUGGGGCCAGUGCUCUUUUCUACCUCCUUUUCCUGCUUGUGGAGGGGACAGAGUAGAUAACAGUAUUGCUCUCUUUCAUAGUAUUUUGCUACUCAAAAUGCAAAUACACUUCCUCAGGCAGCCUUUGUCUUACUCAAGUAUAUUUUCUUUUUUAAUAUUUAUUAUAUUUUUUAGGUGUAGAUGGGCACAACACAAUGCCUUUAUUUUUAUAUGGUGCUGAGGAUCGAACCCGGGUCCUACCCGUGCUAGGCGAGCGCUCUACCGCUGAGCCACAAUCCCAGCCCUCAAGUAUAUUUUCAACUCUCUUUCCAUACUUUUAUGAAGACCUUUGAAAAUUAUCUCUUAUUCUGUGUCUCUCCAUAACAAAUGCCAUCUGUGAAUCACAGAACAACUGUAAUCUUGGCCAGUGGUCACAUUAUAGGUACCAGUUCUGCCUGUGAACCAAGGAAAAGAAAGUAAAUUUUAAUGAGAUAUAAGAAAUUCAACAAAGUAAGAAGUGUUUAAUUUAAACAUAAAAGUGCAGGUUCUCCAAAAGAAAGAUAUUUAGAAAGGGUCAAAAUAUCCAUUUCCUAACUUAUGAUGUAUGGGAUACUGUUCAAGAGUUUACUUAAUGGAAUAGCAUUGUAAGGAAAUGGCAACUGAAAUGCAAUAUGCACAAAUAUUUCAUGUAGAUGUGGAGAAGAUUCUUUGUUAACAGAAUUAGUCCAUAGCCUUUCCUCACCCCCUAAUGCAACCCUGGGACAAAUAGCAGCUGACCUUUCAAAAUUAUGUUUAUAAAAACAUGUACCAUGCCACCCAAGGUGCUUCUGAUUUUCUGUGCUAAAAUAGCUCAGGAAAGUGCAGUCAUUAAUGUUAAUAGACUGAUUUGGGAGUGACUUGAGACUAAGGAGUUAUUUGUUUACUGAAACGUUUUAAUGCAAUGGUAAUUAAUAUAAUGUUGAUUUUAGUGUGAUGGUAAUUAAGACCCACUGUGUGUACUUUUAAAUGCCAGGCAUAGCAUCAUUUGUUUGGGAAUGAUUUUUUGAAUAGAUUACUUUUAUAUGAUUCAGAUAACAACAAAUUUUGCCAUAUAGAAACUGAAGAAAUUGCCAUGUUCUAUUGCCCAUUAUACUGGCAUAGCAGAGGUUCAAAGUUUUUUUGGUUUUUGUCUUCUGAGUAUUUGUUUUAUGUUUUCUUUAGAAGAUUUUUGCACCCAUGGAGUUCUUUCUCUACUACAGGUUGAAUGUCUCUUGUCACAAAUGCUUGGGACCAGAGUGUUUCAGGUUUUAGAUUUUUUUUUUUUUAAAUUUUGGAACAUUUGCAUAUACAUAAUGAGGUAUCUUGGGGAUGGGACCCACGUCUAAACAUGAAAUUCACUUUUGUUUCAUAUAUACCUUAUGCAUAUAUCCUGAGGUAACUUAAAAUUUUUUUGUUGAUGAUAGACCUUUAUUUAUUAAUUUAUUUAUAUAUGGUGCUGAGAAUCGAACCCAGUGCCUCACAUGCUAGGCAAGGGCUCUACCACUGAGCCACAACCCCAGCCCCUAGCCUGAGAUAAUUUUAUACAUUAUUUCAGUAUACUUGCAUUUGGGCUGCAGCGCAUCACACUAAGUUAUUUGUGGAGUUUUCCACUUGCGGCUCAUGUUGGCACCAAGAAAGUUUCUGAUUUGGGCGCAUUUCAGAUUUCAGAUUUUCAGAUUAGGGAUGCUCGCCCUGUAUUUUUAAAAGAAACCUUCUCUACAGAUUUUUUGAGCAUUGAUUUAUGCUCCACGCUUUCAUAUAUGUGUUCAUCUUGUUAAAUUCUCCCAGUUACCUGGUGAAAUAGGUUUUAUCUCCAGCUUAUAGACGAGGUGUACAGAUGUGAAGCUUAGCUUGUCUAAUAAGUGGCAAGGACAGAACACGACUGGAACUUUCUGAGUGUGUUCUUUUCACUGACUGCUCCACCUGCCUGCUUCCUUUACAGGCUACUUUUGUUACCUUGAAGCCUGAUAUUCAAACCAUGUGUAUGUUCUAUUGUCUUUACCUGCAAUUCUUUGCUCACUUCUUGGUACUCUCAAAAGCUAAAGCUCUUAAAUUAUUUUAAAUAUUGUCAUCUUUUACUCCUCUCUAUCAUUAAAUACUUAUUUAUACGCAUUUAUCUCCUCAUUAUUGAUACUUUUUUUUUAUUUCUUCCCUUAGUUUCAAGGAUUUUCUAUGCUUGAAUUGUCUAGAAUGUGGGGUGUUUUUCAAAAUAAAUUGGCAUCAGACUUCUUGAGAGCUAUCAUCUCCCAUGUUUGAACUUUCAUCACAAUUUUGAAAAUAGUGGACAUAUGCUUACCCUGCUCUAAAAAAUUACAAGUAACGUUGCACUUCUAAAUUUCUGUUUUCAAUUAAGGUAGUAAACGAGUGGUUCUCAACCAUAGCUGUGUGUUAGAAUCAGCUGGAACACUAAAAUACAAACAAAAACAAAUUUCUUUCCUGGGACCCACCUCAAUGAUUAUGAUAUAAUCUCUGUGAUUCUGGUGUUCAGCCAAGGUUGAAACCCUCUGUUAUGGGCACUGAUGAGCCACAGGAGUGUUGAUAAGUGAUUUGUCUAGGUUAGAAGUGUGGCCCUAGCAGCUACUGUUGAAGAUGGAAGUAGGAAGAGGUUUUAGACAGGCCACUUUGGAGGCUGGGGCAACAGUAAAAGGUGAAAAUUUUUAAAUAAGGUAAUGGUAAAGGAGAGAGAGAGAAAUAAGACCAGUAACAUCAAUGGUUAUUAAUGUUGCAGGCAAAUGAGAGACAGAGCAAGGGGGACUGUGAGGUUCUUGUGUUACGGGUUCAGUGUAGAGUUUUUCAGCUCAAAUCCUACCCUAUUUCCUCCUGGGUUCCCAACCAUGGUUUUUAUACACCUCAGGAGACAAGAGCCGCAUGAAUAAACAGUCACCCAUGGGCACUUGAUUAUGCCCAGGGAAGCACUCCAUGGUAAAAAUGACUUGGACCCUGUGGGCUAAAUCCUUCCCAUCUGGGACAGUCUUACUUCAUUCUCAGAGUAAUGUAUAUCAGGGAAGAGAAGAGAGGAAGAGAAAAGGGAGAGCUACACUGGCUCAGAUCAGCUUAUGCCACAAAGGCAGGAAAGAGAGGAGGCUGGAUGGCUCUAACAGGAGUGCCUCCAUGGAAAGUGUCGUCCCUGCUCACCAGCGGCUAGACAUUAUUUUUAGCACCAGACACAGACGCUUAAUACUCGAAACUAUUCAAUGCUGCAUACACUAUUGUUAUCACUUUCCCCAUUUUAUAGAUUAGGAAACAGAAGUACAGAGAUAUAUUCAAUGUGUUCAAUAACUUAUUUAAGAUUUCACAGUGGUACCUCUGACCCCAGGGAAGAAGAAAAAGUCAUCAAAGGUAAACUUUAUACUUUAUUGCCUAGAAUCAAGAACAACAGAAAAAGUUGUUCAGCACAUGGUUCUGUAGGACACAGUAAUCUUAUGUGCCAAUAAGCUGUGGUCUCACAAUGUCUCAAACUCUGACCAAGUAGCUAAACAUUACUCCUCCCUCUACUGUGGAGUUGGGAAGCUAGGAUGAGGGGCAGAAGGAUGGAGAGAAGAAACCAAAGAGUCCUCCCACUUUAAAUCUUGCAUGUGGAGACUAGCAGAUAAUGCUGCUACUAAUGGAUAUAAAGUAUAUAUUGGAAAGGGAAGUGGUUUGGGGAAGUGUGGAAUCAGAAUAUAUGGAAUGGGCAUAAUAGAAGUUGUGGGUAAGGAUAAGAUGGAAAUGCAAAGUUGGAAUUUUAGGCAGUGAUCUGAAUGGGAGCCGGGUUUAGGAGACAUUGCAUAGGUUGGUCCUUCAGACUGCUUUCAAGGACCUUUUUAUUUUAUAGCAUUAGUCUAGUUCCUGGGGCAUGAUGUUUCUACCUCAUUAACCAUGGUUGAGCAUGCAGCAGAUAGAGAGAGAUUCAUUGCAAUAUUUAGUUCACCUGUUUGAUGGUCUGUUCUUAGCCAGAAUCAUAGAAUACAAAGAACAGCAUGCCAAGAAUUACCCUAAGGUUGCUUGAUCAGGUAACUACUCAUUUUUUGUUAAGUCCAUUUCUUGUUUAAAAAAUUGUGGUAAAACAUACCUAAUGUACAAUUUGUCAUUUUAACCACAUUUGCAUAUAUAGUUCAGUUAAAAACAUUUGUUUUUAAUCUACUCUUUAUUUUUUUCUCAGUCACAGUAGUAAACCAAAUGAGUUUAUAUUUCUCCCUGCAAGAAUACUCUUAAAAUUCUAACUUUUUUCUGCUUUCCCAUAGAAUCAUUUUGAAUGAGGAAGGAUUUAAGAGAUUAGCCUAGUCUAAUGGUUGGGACCAGUAAGGAAGUGGGCUUGGAGAAUUCAAAGCUAACCUGCCCAGGCUCAAAAGUUGUAGUAGUGGCAAAGCCAGGAUCAGAUACCAGUAUUCCUUGUCUGUGUUUUAUUCAUUGUUCUAGCUGUCUGUGAAACUGAGCCUCUGAUUUUGCUUCUACAUGCCCCAUUAUUUUCUUUCUUUUUUUUAAUUUUUAUUUUUGUGUGUGUGUGUGUGUUGCUGAGAAUUGAAUUCAGGGCCUAGUGCAUGUGAGGCAAGCACUCUACCAACUGAACUAUAUCCCCAGCCCCCAUUAUUAUUAUUAUUUUUUGAUUGAGAACAUUUCAUUGCUUUUAGGACUUUUUUUGAGGGGUGGGGUGGGGGUGGGGCUAAGGAUUGAACCCAGGGGCACUUAACCAAUGAGUCACAACCCCAGCCCUUUUUUAUUUUUUAUUUUUUGAGUCGGGGGUCUAAGUUGCUUAGGGCCUCACUGAGUUGCUGAGGCUGGCUUUGAACUUGCAAUCCUCCUGACUCAGUCUCCUGAGUUGUUGGAAUCACAAGCAUGCACCACUGUGCCCAUCUGCUUUUAGGACCUUUAGGGUGAGACUUACAUUUGUUUGUGCUCAAUAAAUGCUCAUUGAGUGGACAUUUCCUAGAUUUAUUUUUAUUUGUUUAUUUAUUUGCCUCUUUUCUCUUUCUUAGAGUAAUAAAUUAUAUUAUACUUUAAAGGAGUUCAGAAAUUUGGCACCCUGGCUAAAGUUUUAAGUUUAUUUUUUUAGUGUGUUUACAGAGAUAUUAGUUCUGCACCAGGCCUUCAGCUUUUGUCUAUCUCCUGGGUCCUAAUAGCCUUUCUUGUCUCAGGAUUCUCAGAAGAGGAGAAACAGAAAACAAGUGCUACCCUAAGUUUAAAGUUAUUAAGAGAUUGACCCCAAGCAUUGAUUGAGAUAUGGGACAUAAAUGAGGUGGUUUUUGACAGAGAGAUAGUCAAGAAAUGUUUUCCUUAACUCCUGGGAGACAGCUAUAAUCAUAACUCAUUUCCCCUCAUUAUUUUGAAACAUUUUGUUAUAUUCACAUACUACCUCUACCCUCCAUACAUUAUUUUUAUUGUCUCCCUACCCCCCAAAACUGAGGCCAUCCACCUUUCUCAGUUGUCUAGUAGAAGCUCUAGGUGUGAGUUGGGCACACUGGUACUUGCCUGAAAUCCCAGUGACUCCACACGCUGAGGCAGGAGGAUCACAAGUUUGAGUCCACCCAGGACAAUUUAGUGAGGCCCUGUCUCAAAACAAAACAAAAAGUAAAAAGGGCUUGGGGUUUAGCUCACUGGUAGAAUGCCCCUGAACUCAAUCUCAAUACUAAAAAAGAAGCUCCAAGCGUGAAAUUCAAACAUGCUUGUGAAAUUAAAGUGUAUCCUAUUUUUUCUUCCUUUCCCCUUCCUCCCUUCCUUUUUCCUUAACUCUUCCUCCCCACCCCCUUUCUCUAGUACUGAAAGAAACUAAGCAAAAACUCUUACUUAAGUAGAACUAGACCUUGUGAUGUGAAGGGAAAAUGAGCACAGUUUGUUAAUUAGCAAAUUGUCUUUCUUCCACUUGGGCAGUAAGUACUUACUAGUUGCCAGGUCUUGCCCAUCACCCCAUCGCCCUUGUAUGUCUUUAUCUGAUUCCAGUUGCCUCCUGUGAGUGGAUUUUUCUGCUCUUCCUCUCUCCCUUAAAAUAAUAGUCCUGAAAGCACUUCAGCAGCUCAGUCAUUUUAAGAUUUUAGCCAUGGUUCUCUUCCUUACUAAUAGGCUUACUUUCUCUCUAGUGAUUGCUUUCUAUUCCAUGCUUAUAAAAGCUUUCCUUACCCUCCUCAUCAUUUGCUUCAUUAAUGUGAUUUCACUCUGUUGGAAGCCUUUUCCCUCCCCUCUCUGUGGAGCCAUUAAAUUAUUGAGUGUAUUUUAUAAAGUUUCUCUCACCAUGUUUUAAUUUCAUGUACUGUAUUUUUUCUCUUCUGAAACGAUAUUGCUUCCUGCAUUUGGGUUUUAGCAUUUUUCUUUUUAAGGAGAUUGUAAUUUUAAUUGUAUGUGGCCUAGUUCCCCAUUGUCAUUGCUUGUGCUGUAGAGGAAGUCCCUAGGAUAAUAGUCAUGGUUUCUUACCAUCUUAUUAGCUUUCUAUUUCCCUUUCUUCUCCACCUUCAACUUCUCACCCUCUCUAUUCUAAUGUUUCUGGAAGCUACUAAGAAGUUUAAAUGACCUAUACGAAAAUAUGUCAGUGUCCCAUUUUAGCAUAUAUAUGUAACAUUUAUAAUUUAUGCCCUGCCUACAUCCUGGAGGGAUGUGAGGUAGCUUAUGAUAAAGAAAAAUAUCCACAUGUCCAACAGUACUGUUAAAAAUAGUCAGAAAGGGAAACCAGAAACUGUUUAAAGAAUAUCUAACAACAUACUUAUCAAACAUAAAAAACAAUUCCUAUAAGAAGUAAAAGAAGUUUACUUAUGUAAUAUCUUUGCUAUUCAAGAGUAGUAAUCAAAGAAUAUUAAUUGUGGACUGAGUAGUUUGUGUAGCAAUAAAAUUACUGAUAUUGUUUUUCACCUUUUCUCCCUAGAGAAAAUUUUUAGAAAUUUUUGCUCUAAAAUAGAGAAGCCAAGGGACUUUUGUUAGUCUCCAGUUACCAUUCGUAACCCCCUUAAUCUGAUUUCCCCAUUCAAAUUUACCAUGAACAGCUGCCAUUUAUUGAUCACCUGCCAUGCAGUAGAAUUCAGCUAGGGAUUGGGUAUAUGUUACUUCAUUUAGUGCUCAUCAUUAGGCUGCAGGGUAAAUGGUAUUGCUCAGUGUUGGAGAUGUAGAGAGAGCAGAGUCUAAGUAGGAAAUUGGAUCAAAAUCACAGGUAGUAAGGAAAUGGUGGAAAGAAUUUGAAUUCAUUGUUUCUAAAUCCUAAGUCCAUUCUUUUUCUAUUACUCUGAUGCUUCUUACUAAAGAAAUACAUUGGAAAGUGUGUUAGUAUUCUGGAAUUAUAACGAAUAUCUGAGAUAAUCAACAGAUAAAGAAAAAGAUUUGUUUUGACUCAUAGUUUUGGAGGUUUCAUUCCUUGAUUGGCUGGCUGUGUGCUUCUGGAACUAUACUGGCACCUCAUGGUGGGAACAUGUGGCAGAGUAACAGGAAGGAAAGGAAAGGUCUGGGGUCACACAGGGCACUUCUUCAGUAGCCUCAAGCCCUCCUACUAAGCCCACCUCUUAAAGGUUCUACCACCUCCCAGUAGCAUCAUGGGACAGGGACCAGGACUUUAACACAAGGACUUGAUUAACACCGCUGGGACUGACUGCCCUUGGUGUCCUUGGAGGAGUCAAGAGAGAGGGAGGCAGGCAACAGGGGAGUAUAAGUACUGACCAGCUAUGCCUAAACUGGUGCUAGCCAUUAGUUGCUGCUUUGAGACAGAAGGGUAUUAACAUGUAUUGAGACAUACACUUUACAUAUACAAUCUCAUGUGAUUCUCUUAAUAGUCCUUGUGGUAAGUAGUUUUAGCCCUAACUUAUAAGUGGGUAAACCAAGGCACAGAGCAUUAAGCAAGUUUGUCCAAUAUUACACAAGUAGGAAAUGAAGUCAUCAGUAUUUCAUCAAUAACACAGGUUUAUCUAUCUAGCCCCAAAGCCCAUAAUCUUUCCCAUAUAGCAUUUACUCAUUUCUAAUAACAUUAAUAGCUAAUAUUCAUUGAGCUCUUCCUAUAUGUCUGGCAGAUUUCUUACCACAUAAGGUUGUGUCAUUUAUCUUUACCACAGCCCGAUGAACUACUUACUCUUUGUCUCCAUUUUAAGGGAACUAACUUGAGACAGAUCCUUGGCCAGGAUCUGAGAACCAGAGAAUAGCAAAUCAGGGAGUCUACUUUCUCACAAAGUGUAGUUGUAAGAAGUUUCUUUUGACAAGAGCUACACUCAUGACUCUUCUCUCUCACUUCCCUUACCUGCACAAUGAAAGUAGAAGGGUUUUGUUUAGUUUUUUAGGUAAGUAUACUUACAGGGGGAAAUACAGUUUGAGGAGUGUGUAUGUGCGCAUAGUGUUUACCACUGUGGCCUGAGAUCUAGCAGCACUACUUAGAUAAAGUACUGCUCCUAAUAGCUGGCAGUGAUGAUCUCUGCCUUCCUAGCCACUCUACUGAAGAUAACAAAAACUUACCCUUUUAAUGACCAGGUUGCACAAAAUUUCUUAACCCCAGUCUUUCCCCACAGUAUAACCAGUUCAUCAGCAGUGAUUCCCCUCACUUCUGCUUCCUAUGCCCAGUAAUCUGCUGUUGAGUGUAGGCUUUUACUGCUUUAUUUUGGUCAGCGCAUGCCUGACUUAGCAAGCAUGAUGUGGUUCUGAAGUUUCUCCCCUUUGCCCUUGGUACUGGGAUAAAGCGUAUUCCCACAAGAUGAAGUGACCCUUGCAGUACACAAAGCCAGUGCCUCACUUACUGUCAUUCAGUCUCGAAUAUGAAGAGCUUGGCAGUGCUUGGUGAUGGAGUUCUUUGGCUUGUAUACAGCUUUAGUGCACAAAGGAAACAAAAAAAGUCUUGUGUGCACUGAAGUGAGAAUGAUUCAAAACCCACAUACCUAUUUUUUUGGAUUUUUAACAAUUUAUCCUUUGCUAUUAUUCAUUUAAUAGAAUCCCUUUACACCCAAAUAAAACAAAAGAAUGAACAAAGCUGGGUUUGAUUCUGUGCUCUCAUCUUUAUUGGAUUCUAUGGGCUUAGGUAACUCAUUUAACUUCUCUUGGCCUCAGUUUCUUCAUCAUGGGGAUUAGAGAUAAUGUGUGAUAAAUACCUAGGACAGAGCCUGGCAUUGAGCAGGUGUUCAACAUAGAGAGGCUGUCAUUAUUAUUAUAAAUGCAAAGAUGAGCUAAUGAUGUGAAAGCUUGGGAUUUGUUUUGUUAUGGUAGUAAAUAGUAUUUCCCUGUGGACUUCUUUGUGCUGCUCAUAUGCAAUCCAAGGAAAACAGUGGAAUAGUGUUUGCAAUGAGGAAAGAUAGCGCUUUGUUCCCUUCAGCAGACAAAAGAAACUCAUUAUCGUAUCAAGUAGUGACUGUUGGUAUUGAAAUGGUUUAUUUGUGUGUGUUUUUUUUCUGUUUCUUUCCUAGGGAUUUAUAUGUGGCUUUUCAGUAGCAACAGGUGCAGCAGCGAGACUAGUGUCAGGAUACGACAGCUAUGGAAAUAUCUGUGGGCAGAAAAAUGCAAAAUUGGAAGGAAUACCAUACAGUGGCAUGGACCACACCCAACGGAAGUGAGUAGACUCUUGCUGAAUGAUGAACACUGUGGAAACUUUAAAGGAGGCACAGAGAAAAUCCUGCUUUUUUUUUUUUUUAACCCAGAAAAUAACAUUAUUUUUCUUUUUAAGAUUAUACUGGAUGGGAGAUAGGGAUAAUAAUAGAUAUUGAAAAAUUAAAGUUAUAAAGUAACAUUUUGUGAUGCAUCAUUUAUAGGUACACAUCACUUUCCAAUUUUAUAAAAGAUACAUUUUCCUUGUCAAACUGUGAGAUUUGUUUUGGGUCCUCAAUAUUCAUCUUUUGGGUUUCAUGAGAUUGCUCAUUUAAUUGCUUUUUUCCUUCGAAAGCACUACUAUUUAAUAUUUAAUGUCCGGGGAAAAUAUAUUUCAUCUAAUAUAUUUUAUGUAUGAUGCCAAUGUAAUUGUUCAAACUGUGUAUUUAUACCCCAUCAAAAUUUAUUAGAAUUUUUUUCCAGUAUCAAACCAUAUCUUCAGAAUUAACAAAACUAAUUAUAAGGUAACCAGGCUAAUCCGUCUAAUACACUUUAUAGGAAAAGGCUAAACAGAUAAAAACAUUUUUAAAGCUACAUCAGUUCUUUCUAGUAAGAUAAUUUGUAAUACCUAUUUAUUGUUAUAUAAAUCUAUGGUUAAAAUUUGAUCUCUCUGUAUAAGAUUAAUUUGAUAAUUUUGCAGACUUGAAGAAAUUCAAAUAACUAUUUCUCAGAGAUACUCUUCCCUUAAAUGAAGGAGAGAGAAUGCAGCUCAAGUAAACAAAAUUUCAGUAAUAAUAAUGAAUAUUUGUAUAGCAUGCCAGAGUGGACAAGCAUAUGCCCCCCCUGUGAGGUAGAUCUAACAGAGGCUUAGGGAGACUGAAGUGCCUUUUCUGAGGCCAUGUGGCUGGUGGGCAGUAGAAUAUCCAGAGCAGACUAUGAGCUUCUCUCUUAAUAGGCACCUGCAUCACAUACGAGAAGCAAAAAUUAGACUUGAAGUAAUUUGGAAGAUUGCUUAAUUUUUUCUUCUUUAUGAUUGCUCCUUGAAUUUAACACAAAUUUUAGAUCUUGUGUUAUUUCUUCUAGCAAAAUUAUCCAUAUCUCUUUUGUUUACUUUUUAUCUUGAAAUAAUUUUAGACUCAAUAGACAUUGCAAAAGCAGUAGAGUUUCAUUUUUUUAUUAUUUUUUUUUUAUGUAGCAUGUAUGCGGUAAAAUAUUGCUUAAUUCUUUAAUGCUGUUGACAUGUCCCAAAUAUAAAAUUAGGUAAUUGAGGAGAUGAGAAGCAAAAGGUUCUCCUCUAUUGGGUGCACUGCUCACAAGGGUUGUAAUCAUUUUUAUGGCUCUCUUGGUAACUUGCUAAUGACUGUGAGCAUAUCCUUAUGGUAAGGUUUGUGUAAAUGCCACUCUUCACAUUUAACCUUCUUGUGGUUCCUCAGACCAUGGAAGAGAUUUCAAAUCCUUGGGUUAUUCUAUGUACACUUUGGCCUCUUGUAAAGAGGAACUGCAUAUUAUUCUGAGAAAGUGGCUACUCUUCCCUGAAUGCUUAUCUUCAUUGAGAGCCAUUCAUGUAUAACUUUAAGGAGUAUAAUUUCUCAACUGUAGCUAUUCUUUAGCUCAUAUAUACAUGUUUAAAAUUUAUUUUCCAUCUUUGAUUACCUUUUCUGCAUUAUAAGCUUUGUAGUGCUAUCCCACUUAAGUAUUUCUGUCUAUAAAUGGCAAUUAUUGUCAAUGAAUGGUAAAUUUUUGAACAUUCCUUUUGUGGGUAAAUCUACAGUAUUUGGAUUUGGAAAGUGAAAGAAAGGUAGUAGCCUUCAUUUUUAUUAUCUUUAUUUCAUCUUCCUCUUUCUCCUGUCAAAUGCAUUGAUUUCCUUCUUUUACCACUCAUUUCCUUAUACGUCUUUUAUGAAUUCCACACCCAUCUGUAGCUCUAGAGUGUUUUUAUACCUGUUUCUCUGCUUGGUCACUUUCUCUCAUCCUUGAUCUCCUCAGCCUCUGUUGUAUUACCUAAUGCCUACUUGAACCUCCAUACAUAUUUGUUGAAUAAAUCAACAGAUGAGUCCUCUAAAGUCUUGGGUAAGGCUAAUUCUCUAUUUCAUAAGUUUUGCUUCCUUUGUUAAGAAAAAAAAAUUCUUCUGUUUUUUCCUGUAGCUAAAUUCUACUGAUCUUCAGCUUUCAGCAAAAUGUCACUUUCAAAGAGGUCUUCUUUGAUCUCAGAAUUUAAGCAUUGUGUCCUAUAAUAUGUGCAGUUAUACAUUGAUUGUUCCAUGGAGGGUUGGAUGUACGUAAGUCUCUCUUAAGUGCCAAGAGAGAAGCAUCUCUUAUUCACUACUGUAUCCCCAGGGCACAUCUCAAAGCCUGAAUGUAGUAGGCACCCAGUUAAAUGCUUGCUGAAUGAGAAAAUAAAUCUACUUCAGCAGUGUUCUAAGAAGUGAAUAACUGAGUUUGAGGAUCUGAAUAUUUUGAGAUUAUUAAUGCAUAUUGCAGAAUGGAUUUCCAUAAAAAACGGUUCCAUUUACAUUCCCACCAACAGUGUCUGAGAUUACUUUAUUUUUACUGGUAUUAUUAGUUUUUAUUCUUUACUGUUUUGGUAGACCAAAGAAUGGUGCUUUAUAGUUUUAAUUUGCAUGUGUUUGAUUAUUAAUGAGUGUGAACCCCCCACCCCCACCAUGUGUUUGUUAGCCUCUCAUGAAAACGGUUGUGCAAGCAUAUCUAUUCUUGGUCUUCUUAUCUGUAAUCUGCUCCAUCCUUUAUGCUGUGAUAGGAUUAAGUUCUUUAAAACAGAGCUUUUAUUUUGUCAUUUCCUUGUUCAAAAGCCUUUGCCUUCUAUUUGCUGUCUGUAGUAUCAAAGAUGAGCCCGCUCAGCCCCCACCAUUUCAGGCCUUCUGCGAUCUGGACCCAUUUCACCUCUCCAGCCCUCUCUCACUGUUCCUCAGUGUGUGUUAUUAUUGCCCAUGACCUUCAGUUAAUUCUACCUCUGUGAUAUUCCUUCUGCCUGUCUGCCAAUCUGGGUCUUUGAAACACAAUGGGACUCACAACUCUCCUUAUUAUGAAAUGUUUCAAAACUAACCUUAUACCACAGUGAGUUUUCUUUACUUUGAUUACCUGAACUUUCCUAUCUCAUACUGGUUAUUCUAUUGCCUUCAAUUUGCUAUCUAAUUAUUCUGUGUUUCUCAUCUGUCUGUAUUAAUUAUUGGUUGCUAGGUAACCAUAUUACCAUAAACUUAGUGGCUUUAAACAAGAAGCGUUUCUCAUCUCAGCUUCAGAAUCCAGAUAUGGCUUGCCUUGGUCUUCAACCUUCCAUAGCUUACUCAGGGCUGUAGUCAGUGGUUCAUUUGGGGUCAGUCAGGGUCAGAGUGUAACCUGAGGCUCAGGGGGAGAAGGCUUCCCUUCCAGGUACAAGUGGUUGCUGGCAGCAUACAGUUCCUUGAGGAUUGCUGGACUUGCUGGCUGCCACUAGAGGUCCCCCUUCAGGUGUAGGCCACCUGGAUGGGCAGUUUGCCCCAUCAGAGCCAACAGUGAGAGCAUCAGUAGAGAGUCUGCUAGAAAAAUGGGAGUUACAGUCCUACGUAGUGUAAUCACAGAAGUGAUAUCCGUCCCUCUUUGCAAUAUUCUACUGAUUAGAAGCAAACUCAAGGAAGAGAGGAUGACUCAAGGGCACGAACAAUAAGACACAGGGAUAAUGGAGGCCUCUGAGAGUCUGUCACUCUGCUAACUCUGCUUCCUGAAACACCAUAUUUUCUUUAGCCCUCAGAGUUGAGCACCUAGGAGUUCCAUAAGAAGGGCUUAUUUAAUUAUAGUAAUAAAGGAAGGUAGGUAAUCAGGAGAGGAAUCCAAAGGAGAACACCUUUGACCUAUUUUAACCAGAAUGUUUAAGAUGCCAAGAUGAAUAAAAGAAUUCUAUUAGCAUAAAGAAAAAGUAAUAUUUUCUUAUCGUUCCGAUGAUAAUGGGUUUUUUCCUCCAAGUAGUAUUUUUGACGUGAUAAUACAUUUGUUGCAGUGAUAAGGAUGCACAAAAAGACAGCAGACAAUAUUUUGUGAGAUAAUAUGAAAACCUUAAUUUCAAAUAGAUUUAGUUGAUUUUUAAAUUGGUUGCUUGAGAUACUUAAAACUUUUCUGCAUAGAAAUAGUGCUUACAUAUGGUUCUAAGGCUAAGUCAACUCAGAAAAGCUCAUUUAUAUUAGAACCAAAAAGUGUCAGAGAUUGAAGGAAUCUUUAGAUUAUUUAAUGUGCAAACUCCUUAAAGCAUCCCAUCAAGUAUUUGUGAGUGCCAACUAAAUCCUAAAAUGAGAAUGUCUUGCUUUGUAGCUGAGCUAUUUUUUAAUAAUACUACUACAGAAGACAGGUAGGGUUUAUAAUCUUUUUUUUUUUUUUUUGAUGUUGAGGAAUAGGGUGGUGGCAAUAUAUUUUUGAACUCUGGCAAUUCCGUAAAACAUAUCUAUUCUGCCACAUCUAGAUCUACGAUUUUUCAGGUCUAUAACAUAUAAGCAACCUUACAGUGUAUGUGUCAAUUUUGAGACCAAAAAUUAUUAUUACUCUUUUUUGUAAUAAAGAAAAAUGUUUAUUUAGCUCACAAUUUUGGAAGUUCAAGUUUCAAAAUCAGGACUGUCCUCUAGUGAGAGCUUAAUAGCAGAUGGCGUCAUGUUAGAGUGGGAGUAGGUGGGGGGAGCCCUUGUGGGAGUAAACUACCACAUCUCGAAAUGGGAAGCUAGAGAGUACUGUUAUUAUUAAAAUUCUUCCUGUAGAGGAAGCCCCCUGUCUUACAUAUCAGUUUGGACACAGAGUGGCGAUGCUCCUAUUUAGUUCUAAUGCACCUGAAUUAGUGGGAUAAAGAUCGUGCUGGGACAGAAGGUCUAUUGGUCUCUGGGGAGAGGAUUGGGGCAGGGGUGGGGUAUGCAUUCCCAUGUCCUGAGUUGGGAGAGGAUAUGGUGAGGUGGCAUUGGCUUUUAGUGUGCACAGAUCAUUAUAAAGCUGGGUGAGGCUGGGGAACUGCUUUUAAUUGUUUUAAUUUAAUCACAAUAUUCUUAUUAGAACUCUUCUCCAUCUUGCAAAUAAUCCUAACAGAGUUUAGUGUUCACAUUCUUUGUUACUCUAAGAAGUUCUCAAUGUAUUUUAUUUGUAUUGAUUUGUACAUAGAGGUUCUAAAGAUAGAUUUUUGCACAAAUUUAAUUUUUUCAUUAUAUAUUUUUUUGUCUUUCCUCUGAGGAAGCCAUUUAAAGUUCCAAUCACUGGUAAAAGCUCUGUGGUCAUAAAAUGCCUUUCCCAUUUCAUAUCCUCUGUGUUAACAGGACGUAGAUGAACUAGAGGUCUGAGGAGGGUGAUGGCAUCCAUGAAUGAGUACAGUAUCUAUAAGGGAAGCAUUUUAUUUGACACCACUUUCAGUUUUCUUCAUCAUCUUAGGAUGCCAAGUGAAAACAGAAUUGGAGUGUGUUUUACUUCUUUUGUUCUCAUUCUCAUUGUAAGUUCACAGCUGAAAAUAUUUGUGCUGGGAGGCCCUUGGUAUCAUUGAGUGCCUGCAUUUUACAAGUAAAAAAAUCUGGGGUCUGGGAAACAUGAGAGACAUGAAAAAGAUAUAGUUUUUCCUCAGUGUCCACAGGCGAGUGGGACACACACACACACACACACACACACACAAAUCAGUGGAUGCUCAAGUCCUUUGUAUAACCAGUAUUUGCAUGUUACCUACACACUCCUCCUGUAUAAUUUAAAUCAUCUCUAGACUACUUAUAAUGCCUGGUACAGUGUAAAUAGCUAUUAUACAGUAUUGUUUAGGGAAUAAUAACAAUAUUAAAAAGUCCAUACAUAUUCAGUACAGAUGCACUUUCUUUUCUAAUAUUCUCAUUUCUCUGUUGGUUGAAUGCACUGGCUCAGAACCCAGGGAUCCAGAACCUAUGGAUCUGUAGGGCUGUCUGUAAGAACAGGCUGGCACUCCAGCCUCGCCCUCCAUUGAGUGCUCUUUGUGUUAGUCUGCACUGUGCCUGGUGAACUGUACAGUGAUCCUGGUUUCCCAUCUUUUUUAUUUUGGGGAUCCUUUCCUGCCAGCUUUGGAGAUGAAAGAAACUUAUGGGAACAUGGAGAGAAAAAAGGGCAGGUUAUAUAAAUUGAUAAAGUUAUAACUAAAGAGACUUUGAAAGAACCACAGCACCUCUCAAUCUGUGAAGGCUUUGAAUAAUUUGAAGGCUAUCUUGUCUCUUUCUAUCUCUGUCAGAUAAAGAAUAUGAAUAGUUAUGAUGAACUACAUUAUUCUCAUUUCAUAUUUUUUAUCAUUUGUAUGUUUUAAAUAUUUACUAAAAAAUACCUAAUUUAAAACUGAUAGUGGGUUUUGUUUUGUUUUUGGUAAGACAGUUGAUUGGCUUGAACAGUGGGGUUGUUUUAGAGAAACUCUUCAUUUUUAUAAUCUUCGUGGGUACAGUAUAGAUAGGACUUUUGUGAUCAUUGAUCACCUUUAAAACUCAGAGUUCUGUAAGUUCAGUGUAUCUGAUUCAGUCUACCCUAGGAUCACUGAUUAGCUUACUAACUUAUGUAAAGGGUUAUUUAGGUGAUUGAUAGUGAUAUUGUACUAAUAGGAAGAAUGUAUUCACUCUUUAAACAAUUUCUAAUUUCUGAGUUCUCCAUGCCUAUACCAUGUCAUAUAACCACCUAUUUUAGGGAAACCAUUUUUCUUUGAUUUGUCAAUGUAUAAAACAUGCCUCUUUUGAAGAGUCACCAAAUCUUAUUGAGUGUUCAUACCUCUCCAUGUUUGAAAAAGAAUUAAAAAAAAUAAUAAUACAAAUGAAAUUUGCUAAAUACUUGCUUUUAGGAUCUCUUUAUCAGCUAAGUAUAGUUCUUUGUGUUUAUGUGACUAGGACUUAUUUCUGUGCCUUCUGAUUUGACUGGAAUUUCUAUGUACUGAAGAAAUAUUCUUUACCAUUCCUGGAAAUUCUGCCUAUCAUUUUAUUUAACCCUCAGAAAACAUUAAUUGAAAAUUCAAUUGUGUGCUGGAGACUUUUUUUUAGGGAAAUAUUUCCAGUUUUUUGUUUGUUUGUUCAUUUUAUUUUGGUUUUGUGGUGCUGGGGAUACAACCCACAGUCUCAUGCAUGCCAGGCAGGCACUCCAUCACUGAGCUACAUCCUCAACCUAGAGACCUCUUCUAGUAUUAAUAAAAUAGGAAACAGCCAAAAUGGUCAAAAAAAAAAUGGAAUUUGUUUAAAUUCACUCAUUCACAACUAUUUCUUGGCUGUCUUCUUUGUUUUAGGGACUUGAGAUUAUGUUUGCUCUCUAACUGAAUCGGCACACUUUUAUCUCAUGGAAAUUGUAAUCUAAUAGAGAAAGCAGGACUUCAUAAACUCAUCAGGUAAUCACAGAUUAUUUCAGCUGAAGGAAGUCUUGUGAAGAGAGGUGUAAGGGUAUAAGAGAGGCUACAAUGGGAGGACCAGUCUGAGGCACUGUGGAGCCAGUAAAAAUGAUCUGUGGACGUAUAUCCAACAGCAGGAAGCCUCUGCAUACAUUAUUAAGGGAACAGUAAGUUAUAACACAGUAGAGGCAACUCGACUUUAUUAAUAUAUGUAAAAAUGUACGUGUCCUGGGGCUGGGGCUGGGGCUCAGCGGUAGACCACUCCUCUCACAUGUGUCAGGCCCAGGGUUCGAUGCUCAGCACCACAUAAAUAAAAUAAAAAGGUAUUGUGUCCACUUACAACUAAAUAAAUAUUUUUAAAAAUGUACAUGUCCUUAGAAAAGUAUGGAAUGACAUGUAAAUGUUAACAGUGUGUUGAACUAUUGAAUCAUAGAUGGUUUUUCCUUUAUAUUUAUCUCUUUUUUCUAAGUGUUCUACAAUCAAUAUCUAUUACUUGCAUUAAUGAAAAAUAUUAAAAAGAAAUUUGUAGUCUCUGUCCUUGAAGAGCUUGUUCUGGUGAGGAAGACAGAAUACAGAGAUAAAUGAUGAAGGUGCAAUGGGAACAUCUUGUAUCAGUGUCUGCUGAAUGCUGGGUGACUCUAUUUUCUUGGGUUCCUGACAGCAGGCUGGUGAGGAAAGAAAUAUAAGGCAAUGUGAUGGAAGGACUGGGACCACCAUUAGUUUUCUAUUGUUGCUGUAAUAGAUUACCACAAACUAAGCAACUUAAAACAAUGAGGUUCUGUAAAUCAGAAAUAUAAACAAGCACAGCUUAGCUGGUUCUUUGGCCCAGGUUUCAUAGGCCCUGUUGUCAGGGCUGUAAUUUUUUCUUGUGACUCUGGCAAUGAAUUGUCUUCCAGACUGCUUCAGAUGUUGAUAGUUCUGUUCCAUGUGGCUGUAGGGCUGAGGUAUGUUUCCUUGCCAUCAGCUGGGAGUCAUUCUCAGCUUCUGGGGUCAGCCUGAAUAUUCUCCAGCCUAUUUUCUAUGACUCAUGACUCCUUUCCCCCUAUAAAUAGAUUGUUUACCUAUUUAUAUUUAUCUGGGUAUAAGAGUUGAGAGCACUUGAAAAGUUAGAAGGCACAAACCCUUCUUGUUCUUGAAUCCCUCUGACUUUCUUUUUUCAGGGCAGCAUCUUGAUUAUAGGUUAUACAUGUGGAUUGAAGAGUCAGCCAGUAAUUGGCAGCUGAGGGACAGUUUUAGGUGGUAUUAGAGCCCCAGUUAAACAAGUUGAGGGUCAGGGCAAGGCUUGCAUUCUGUACAGGAAAAGUCACACAGAGUUGGUCUAAGUGUUACCUGUAAAUGAUGAGACAGAAGCUGGCGAAUGGAUGGUCAUGUAGACUGUUGGGCUGACAGAUGGCUCCAGAGCCCACCUUCUAAUGAGGAUGGGAUUCUGAGGAGAAGGCCAGGCCUGGAUCUUGUUGGCUGAGGAACAACAUGGUCUGAGUCUAUAGGGUGGAAUUCUUACAGGCCAGGUGAAGACUGGCUCACAUGGGAAGGAGCUCCUGACUGUUGCAUGGAGUUGUAGAAACACAGAAGAUGGGAGGUGGUACAUUCAUCCCGUGUGCUGGUGCUGGAGUGCCGCAGUCUGGCUGGGCACAAAUCACCGAGCCACCACAAAGCACUUGUAUGUUCAAACAGGAAACUUUAUUGCCGGAACUCUACCAGCACUCCACGCACACUCCCCAGGAACUCUCUCUGCUCUCCCCCAGGCUCCGGGCCUACUCCACUCGGACCCUGGAGAACUUCAUGGGAACUCCAAAGUAGCCGGGCUGAGGCAGCAGGAACCACCCUAUUCCCCACCCUAUUGCCGUUAAGCAGGGGUCCAUAUACAACUGAAUACACAGCUUAACAUAACCAUUAUCAUCUCAAUGGCUCGCUGGUGUCACCUCUCAACCACUCCCUUCUAGCAGAAUGCCACGCUCAUCCCAACUCCGACUCCGCUGUGGCCCUCAACACUGGAGUUUGGCAAAGGUUCUACCCAUGUCAUUGAGGCAUAUUCCUUAGAGCAGCCCAGGAGCUCAUCUCUUGUUCCUAUACUUAAGGACAAUUUUGAGCAAAUGGAGGUAUUCUAAAUCCUUUAGGAUUUUGAUCUUUACUUAAAGGGAAAACACCCUCUUCUCUGUCUCCUGUCAAACACUUUGAUUCCAACAUUAACUUAACCACCUCUUCUAGUUCAGCUUAAUAUGAGAAAGAGCAGCCUCCAUAGAUCCCUCCCGUGAACUUUCAUUUGUGAGCUUCUGUUACCGCUGUUGACCGGUGACGAGUUCUUGCUUCCCCAGUGUUGAAGAAUAACACCAAAGAAGCACGCCGAGGCAAGGUCAGAGUAGAAAUUAGAAGUUUAUUAAAGGACAGCAGAAAAGACUUCUCCCGGAGGAAGAAGGGGACCCAAGAGGUGGAAUCCGUGGAAGGGAUGUUGUCUCCCCUUUUUAUAGUUCUUUCAGUGAUGGAAUGUAGGUGGGAAGGACCGAGGGGUGGGACACAGGUGGGCCAAAGAAGUAAUCUGGUCAGGAAGGACUUCUGAGUCAGCACCUUUUUGCUGGGGGCUGUUCAUUAACAUUUCUUUGAGGUGGACUUUGGCCUAGGGCCUUUUCGGGACUUCAUUAACAUUCCAUGAGUUGUCCUGUGUUUUCCCUGAGUCAUUCUCCGCAUGGUCUCCAUUUUAGAUUUCACUCGAUAUUAGACCCGAUUUACCUAACUACACUGACUACCUAACUUUAAAUCUGGCUUCANNNNNNNNNNNNNNNNNNNNNNNNNNNNNNNNNNNNNNNNNNNNNNNNNNNNNNNNNNNNNNNNNNNNNNNNNNNNNNNNNNNNNNNNNNNNNNNNNNNNNNNNNNNNNNNNNNNNNNNNNNNNNNNNNNNNNNNNNNNNNNNNNNNNNNNNNNNNNNNNNNNNNNNNNNNNNNNNNNNNNNNNNNNNNNNNNNNNNNNNNNNNNNNNNNNNNNNNNNNNNNNNNNNNNNNNNNNNNNNNNNNNNNNNNNNNNNNNNNNNNNNNNNNNNNNNNNNNNNNNNNNNNNNNNNNNNNNNNNNNNNNNNNNNNNNNNNNNNNNNNNNNNNNNNNNNNNNNNNNNNNNNNNNNNNNNNNNNNNNNNNNNNNNNNNNNNNNNNNNNNNNNNNNNNNNNNNNNNNNNNNNNNNNNNNNNNNNNNNNNNNNNNNNNNNNNNNNNNNNNNNNNNNNNNNNNNNNNNNNNNNNNNNNNNNNNNNNNNNNNNNNNNNNNNNNNNNNNNNNNNNNNNNNNNNNNNNNNNNNNNNNNNNNNNNNNNNNNNNNNNNNNNNNNNNNNNNNNNNNNNNNNNNNNNNNNNNNNNNNNNNNNNNNNNNNNNNNNNNNNNNNNNNNNNNNNNNNNNNNNNNNNNNNNNNNNNNNNNNNNNNNNNNNNNNNNNNNNNNNNNNNNNNNNNNNNNNNNNNNNNNNNNNNNNNNNNNNNNNNNNNNNNNNNNNNNNNNNNNNNNNNNNNNNNNNNNNNNNNNNNNNNNNNNNNNNNNNNNNNNNNNNNNNNNNNNNNNNNNNNNNNNNNNNNNNNNNNNNNNNNNNNNNNNNNNNNNNNNNNNNNNNNNNNNNNNNNNNNNNNNNNNNNNNNNNNNNNNNNNNNNNNNNNNNNNNNNNNNNNNNNNNNNNNNNNNNNNNNNNNNNNNNNNNNNNNNNNNNNNNNNNNNNNNNNNNNNNNNNNNNNNNNNNNNNNNNNNNNNNNNNNNNNNNNNNNNNNNNNNNNNNNNNNNNNNNNNNNNNNNNNNNNNNNNNNNNNNNNNNNNNNNNNNNNNNNNNNNNNNNNNNNNNNNNNNNNNNNNNNNNNNNNNNNNNNNNNNNNNNNNNNNNNNNNNNNNNNNNNNNNNNNNNNNNNNNNNNNNNNNNNNNNNNNNNNNNNNNNNNNNNNNNNNNNNNNNNNNNNNNNNNNNNNNNNNNNNNNNNNNNNNNNNNNNNNNNNNNNNNNNNNNNNNNNNNNNNNNNNNNNNNNNNNNNNNNNNNNNNNNNNNNNNNNNNNNNNNNNNNNNNNNNNNNNNNNNNNNNNNNNNNNNNNNNNNNNNNNNNNNNNNNNNNNNNNNNNNNNNNNNNNNNNNNNNNNNNNNNNNNNNNNNNNNNNNNNNNNNNNNNNNNNNNNNNNNNNNNNNNNNNNNNNNNNNNNNNNNNNNNNNNNNNNNNNNNNNNNNNNNNNNNNNNNNNNNNNNNNNNNNNNNNNNNNNNNNNNNNNNNNNNNNNNNNNNNNNNNNNNNNNNNNNNNNNNNNNNNNNNNNNNNNNNNNNNNNNNNNNNNNNNNNNNNNNNNNNNNNNNNNNNNNNNNNNNNNNNNNNNNNNNNNNNNNNNNNNNNNNNNNNNNNNNNNNNNNNNNNNNNNNNNNNNNNNNNNNNNNNNNNNNNNNNNNNNNNNNNNNNNNNNNNNNNNNNNNNNNNNNNNNNNNNNNNNNNNNNNNNNNNNNNNNNNNNNNNNNNNNNNNNNNNNNNNNNNNNNNNNNNNNNNNNNNNNNNNNNNNNNNNNNNNNNNNNNNNNNNNNNNNNNNNNNNNNNNNNNNNNNNNNNNNNNNNNNNNNNNNNNNNNNNNNNNNNNNNNNNNNNNNNNNNNNNNNNNNNNNNNNNNNNNNNNNNNNNNNNNNNNNNNNNNNNNNNNNNNNNNNNNNNNNNNNNNNNNNNNNNNNNNNNNNNNNNNNNNNNNNNNNNNNNNNNNNNNNNNNNNNNNNNNNNNNNNNNNNNNNNNNNNNNNNNNNNNNNNNNNNNNNNNNNNNNNNNNNNNNNNNNNNNNNNNNNNNNNNNNNNNNNNNNNNNNNNNNNNNNNNNNNNNNNNNNNNNNNNNNNNNNNNNNNNNNNNNNNNNNNNNNNNNNNNNNNNNNNNNNNNNNNNNNNNNNNNNNNNNNNNNNNNNNNNNNNNNNNNNNNNNNNNNNNNNNNNNNNNNNNNNNNNNNNNNNNNNNNNNNNNNNNNNNNNNNNNNNNNNNNNNNNNNNNNNNNNNNNNNNNNNNNNNNNNNNNNNNNNNNNNNNNNNNNNNNNNNNNNNNNNNNNNNNNNNNNNNNNNNNNNNNNNNNNNNNNNNNNNNNNNNNNNNNNNNNNNNNNNNNNNNNNNNNNNNNNNNNNNNNNNNNNNNNNNNNNNNNNNNNNNNNNNNNNNNNNNNNNNNNNNNNNNNNNNNNNNNNNNNNNNNNNNNNNNNNNNNNNNNNNNNNNNNNNNNNNNNNNNNNNNNNNNNNNNNNNNNNNNNNNNNNNNNNNNNNNNNNNNNNNNNNNNNNNNNNNNNNNNNNNNNNNNNNNNNNNNNNNNNNNNNNNNNNNNNNNNNNNNNNNNNNNNNNNNNNNNNNNNNNNNNNNNNNNNNNNNNNNNNNNNNNNNNNNNNNNNNNNNNNNNNNNNNNNNNNNNNNNNNNNNNNNNNNNNNNNNNNNNNNNNNNNNNNNNNNNNNNNNNNNNNNNNNNNNNNNNNNNNNNNNNNNNNNNNNNNNNNNNNNNNNNNNNNNNNNNNNNNNNNNNNNNNNNNNNNNNNNNNNNNNNNNNNNNNNNNNNNNNNNNNNNNNNNNNNNNNNNNNNNNNNNNNNNNNNNNNNNNNNNNNNNNNNNNNNNNNNNNNNNNNNNNNNNNNNNNNNNNNNNNNNNNNNNNNNNNNNNNNNNNNNNNNNNNNNNNNNNNNNNNNNNNNNNNNNNNNNNNNNNNNNNNNNNNNNNNNNNNNNNNNNNNNNNNNNNNNNNNNNNNNNNNNNNNNNNNNNNNNNNNNNNNNNNNNNNNNNNNNNNNNNNNNNNNNNNNNNNNNNNNNNNNNNNNNNNNNNNNNNNNNNNNNNNNNNNNNNNNNNNNNNNNNNNNNNNNNNNNNNNNNNNNNNNNNNNNNNNNNNNNNNNNNNNNNNNNNNNNNNNNNNNNNNNNNNNNNNNNNNNNNNNNNNNNNNNNNNNNNNNNNNNNNNNNNNNNNNNNNNNNNNNNNNNNNNNNNNNNNNNNNNNNNNNNNNNNNNNNNNNNNNNNNNNNNNNNNNNNNNNNNNNNNNNNNNNNNNNNNNNNNNNNNNNNNNNNNNNNNNNNNNNNNNNNNNNNNNNNNNNNNNNNNNNNNNNNNNNNNNNNNNNNNNNNNNNGCUGAACUGCACUGGGUCUAAGUUGUUAAACAACUAAGUGGUCAGGGGGGAUUAUCUAAUGGGCAGUUCCUGGAAUUGUCUUAACUGCCACAGGAAUUUCAGGCUUUGAGUGUAGCUUAGAAACUUAACAAUACCUGGUCCUUUACAUUUUAACUCAGGCUUUGCAGCUUAGAAACUUUACUCUUUCACUUUGUAAUACACUUUAGGUAAUUAUUAACCACUGUAAGUAUGAAUUUUACAUUCAUUGGUUCUUUACCUAUUUAUNAAGCACGCCGAGGCAAGGUCAGAGUAGAAAUUAGAAGUUUAUUAAAGGACAGCAGAAAAGACUUCUCCCGGAGGAAGAAGGGGACCCAAGAGGUGGAAUCCGUGGAAGGGAUGUUGUCUCCCCUUUUUAUAGUUCUUUCAGUGAUGGAAUGUAGGUGGGAAGGACCGAGGGGUGGGACACAGGUGGGCCAAAGAAGUAAUCUGGUCAGGAAGGACUUCUGAGUCAGCACCUUUUUGCUGGGGGCUGUUCAUUAACAUUUCUUUGAGGUGGACUUUGGCCUAGGGCCUUUUCGGGACUUCCAUGAGUUGUCCUGUGUUUUCCCUGAGUCAUUCUCCGCAUGGUCUCCAUUUUAGAUUUCACUAGAUAUUAGACCUGAUUUAUCUAACUACACUGACUACCUAACUUUAAAUCUGGCUUCACUUGCCUCCAUCCUUACCCCCAGGCAACCACUGAUCUGUUCUUGUUGCUAUAGGUUUUUUUCCCUAGACCAUCAUGAAAUCAUAGAUGUAAUAUUUUGUCUCUGCCUUUUUUUUUUUUACAUAGCAUAAGGUUAAUGAGAUUCAUCUGUGUUAUUUUAAUACAGCAUUAGGUGGAUCUUUUUAAAUUACUGAGUAGUAUUCCAUUGCAUGGUUAUACUACAUUUUUUAAAUCUAUACAUCUUUUUAAAAUUUCCAUAUUAAAACUUUUUUUUACUAUCAUGAAUAAUACUGCUUUGAAAAGAUGUGUACAUGAUUUUAUAUGGGCAAAUAUGUCAUUAUUCUUAGCUGGAUAUUUAGAAUUGGGAUUGCUGAGUCAUAUUGUGAGGGUAUAUUAAACUUUAUAGGAAGUUGACAAAACUGUUUUCCAGAGUGGUUGCCCCAUUUUGCAAGGAAAGGGGAGGGUUGUGGGCUGUACCUCUCAUGAAAAUUCUGUAUUAUCAGUCUUUUUAUUUUUAGCUAUUCUGGUGGGUGUGUAGUGGUAUCUCCUUGUUUUUACUUCACUUACUUCUAAUGACCAGUGGUGUUGAGCAUCUUUUUUUAAAAAAAAAAAAUAUUUUUAGUUGUAGAUGGACACAAUACCUUUAUUUAUUUAAUUUUAUGUGGUGCUGAGGAUCAAACAAAGUGCCUUACACACGCUAGGUGAGCAUUUUACCUUUAAGCCCCAAUCUCAGCCUUGUUGAGCAUCUUUUUAAGUGCUAAUCAAACAUUCAUCUAUCUUCUUUGUAUUUAUACCUUUUGCACAUCUUUUAACAAAUUGGUUUCUAUUAAUGACUUGCAAGAGUUCUUCAUAUAAUCUGGAUAUAAGACUUUUGUUAGGUAUAUGUUUUUUAAAUGCUUUCUCUAAUCUGUGGUUUGCCUUUUUGUUUUCUUAAAACCAUCUUUUGAUGACGAAAGUUUGUAAUUUUGAUGAAGUCAAAUUUAUCCAUUUUUAUCAAUGGUUCAUAUAUUUGUGUUUUAUUUAAGAAGUUGUUGCCUUUAAGUUCACAAAGAUUUUUUUCCAUGCUUUCUUCUAGAAUUUUUUUGAUUUAGUUCUUGUGUUUUUGUCAAUGAUCUAUUUUGAUUUAAUUUUUGAAUGGUGUGAAUAAAAGCCAAGAUUUAUCUUCCCCAACUCUCAUACAAAAUUACAGUUAUUCAGCAGCAUUUAUUGAAAAGACUACCUUCCCCUUGGAUUUAUCCUGGCAUCUUUGUUGAAAAUAGGUUUUUAUCUUAAGUCGAAACAAAAGGAGUUCCUAGUAGGGGUAGCCACCAAUAUUACAGAGUAAUAGAAAUAGUUUUCCUCAAAUUAAACAAACAAGGAUGUCACCUUUUUUAUACUACUGUUUCAAAUAACUAGUUGAAACAAAUCCUAUAAAAGAGAUAAAUGGAAUGUGUAUAGGUCAUUACAGAGAAAAUAAUACUAUUUGCCAAUGGCAAGGGACUAUCACAUGGAAUGUUUAGGAGAUGCAAUAAAAACACCUUGAAAUGAGGUGCUUAAAUUAUAUGUUAUAAAACAUGUACCUAAGUAAAUUUAGUCAUUUAUCACUAUGCAGAAAAAUAUAAGGAAAAAUAUAAUACUUGAUUUUUUUACAAAAAACUAAAAGCCAAGAAGAUAUAUGUGUGUGUAUACACACACAUACAUAUAUAUGUAUAUAUGGCUAAAUAUAGAGAUUUAUAAUACUUUAAUGGAAAGAAGAGAAAACAAAUAAUAAGAGAAAUUUAAUCUAUUCCUGCGUAAAUAGUCUUAAUAAAGAUGAUGAUACUAACAAAGUUAAUUUAUAAACUUAAUGCAGUACCAGUUAACAUCCCAGUUGGAUGUUGACUUUAACUUUAACUUGAUUGAUAGUAUAAAAUGCAGAGUAAAAAAGUAGCUAAGAAUUUCAGAGGAAAAAAAUAGUUUUUUAAUUAUUCUUAAAAUAAUUCGAAAGGAUUACAAUGAGGUGAAUUUAUUAUAAAACAAUGAAAUAGAACUUGGGAGCCACGGUAGAAGUGCAAAAGAGAUUAGACCAGAAGUCUAGGCUAAUUAUAGUUACUGAAGUUGACACCAGAUUAGCUGGAAACCGUCUGGCUUUCAAGGCAGAAAAAGAAACUUGUAGGUUUUUCAGCAGGGAAUGAAAAUUGAGAAACCACUAGGCAGACACUAUAAAUUGCAUAAGUGGGCUGGGUAUAACACAAUAGGAAAUAUUGGACUUCUGAACUUUGUAUGUGUGCCCCAUACAGAGAAGAUAGCUGCUACUUGGUUUUAGCUGAGGUUUGGCAUGUACACAAAAGAGUCUGCGAUGCUAAGUUUUCAGGGAGUCCAGAAGCCUGUUGGGAGGAGCUCACAAGACUUGUUAGAUCUCAGGAUUUUUAGAUGUUGGCAUUUAGUGUACUGGCCAAACAAAAUAUGUGGGAGUGAAGGGUACCUUAUUGAAUCAAGAUUACAUAUCUAUAGUUUUCACUCUCCUAUUAAUAACUGUAUACUUUUGAGCCGAACAAAAGGAGUUUAGCCAUUCUAAACUAAAACUUUUUCCAGAGUAUAUUUACGAGACCUAAAUAUAGGUUAGUAGCAGUGAUGGAAACAAAAUAGAAGUAGAAGAAAUAAAUUGAUAGUAGAUUAGUACAUAUGAGAAGCCAACUAAAAUAAAACCUGUGAAAGCAAUCGUGUUUAACAAAAAAUAUUAGGUUGAAUGAUAUGACAAAGAAAGCUUCCUUUAGACGGAUUUUCAUCUCAUACCAUGCAAACUAAAUUCCAGAUGAAUUAAAUAUUUUGAAAUGAAUAUUAUACUUAUCUUUGCUUUGGAGAGGAGAUAAUUUAUACAUUGUUAAAGCUAUAAAGAAAUUAAGUAGUACCAAGGUUGGCAUGUUUGAUUAUGAAAAAUUUGAUUUUCUGGUACAAAGAUAAAAGCAACACAAUGGAAACAGUAUUUGCAGUUUUUUUAUGAUAGUAAGAUUUUUCAUGUAAUCGGGGAUGUAUCCAUAAGGUUAGAUGUAGUGGACAGCCAAAGGAUAGUUUAUACCAUAGAAAAUAACAAUAAUAUUUGACCUAAAGGGCUUCGUUUAUAAUAUUAAUACAGUAGUAGUAGUACCCACUUCCUAGGGUGUCUGGGGAAUAAAUGUGCAGUGCCAGAUGGGGAAAAGCAGCUCUUUGAACCAACUUCACAUGUGUAUUGUUUACAAAGCACUUUUUAUCAUUCUUCUCAUUGAUUCUUACUCUAGCCCAGGACAGUUUUUAAGUUUUCUCAGUGGAGACUUUUAGGGUUCACUUCUUCCACAGUCACAACUUAGUCUUUGUCACCACCUUAACUGAUCCACCCGUAAAAUCAAUCCAGAAAAUUCAAGAACUCACCAUUCUGGCCUCAGGUUUCUCUUUCCAACUCACAUGUUCUUUUUAGCUACUGCAGCCAUUCUUUCAUCUUUAGUCUAGAAAAUACUUCCUUAGUUUCUCCUGAGUGGUCUUUCCUUUUUACUUUUACCCUUGUUUUUUCCUGUAACAUAUUUUUUCUUUUCAUAAUAUUGUGACAAUAUGUAGUAUCUACCUCUGCCUCACUCUGCCUUCAACAAAGAUCUGCUUCUAUUUUGUUUCCAUUGCUGCUAUAACCUAUAACCUAAGUGUGAAGGUCAAAGGAAUUGAAUGGACAUUGCAGAUACCUGAAUGAUUAGGUUCAUGAAUAGGCACACAAGAAGAUGCUUAAUAACAUUAGCCAUUGUGUUAGGCAGCUUUUUGUUGCUUUGACAAACUACCUGAGAAAGUCAACUAAAGGAGGAAAGAUUUAUUUUGGCUCCUGGUUUCAGUCCAUGACUGGCUCCAUGCUUAGGGUCCUGAGGCAAGCAGAACAUCUUGGCAGCAGGAGCAUAUGGUAGAAGCCAUUCUUCUCACAGUAGCUGGGAAGCAGUGGCAGUGGGAGGGGCGGGGGACAAGAUACAAUCCCCAAGCAUAUGGCCUCAAGGACUUACUCCCUUCAACUAGGUCCUGCAUCUACAUUUUCUACCACCGCCCAGUUGUGCAUUCAUCUAUGAAGACCUCAGUGGAUUAAUCAGUUGAUGAGGUCAGAGCCCUUAUGACCCACUAACUUCCCCAAAACCGCAUCUCUGAACAUUGCUUCACUGGGGGACCAAGCCAUCAACACCUGAGCUUUUGGUGGACAACUCAUAUCCAAACUACAACAGCCAUCAAAGAAAAAAAAAAUUCAAAUCAAAACCACCAAUCCACUAGAAUAGCUAGCUGUAACAGAAAAAUACAGUUGAAAGUUUUAACAAAAAUGUGGAGAAAUUGGAGCAUCUAUAUGUUGCUAUGCAUUGCUGCUGGAAAUGUAGAAGGUGCAGCUGCUGUGGUAAACAGUCUGGCCAUUCCUUAAAAUAUUAAACAUGGAAUUACCAUGUAUAACAGUAUCACUCCUUGGUGUCUACCCAAAAGAAUUAAAAAUACAUGUUCACACAAAGACCCGUACAUGAAAAUGUUGAUAGAAUUUUUCAUAAUAGCCUAAAAGGAAAAACAGCACACAGACUGUGGAUGCAGGACCUAGUUGAAGGAAGUGAAGCCUUGAGGCCAUAUCCUUGAUGAAUGAGUCAACAAAACAAGGUAUAUCUACAGAAUGGAAUAUUAUUCAGCCACAAAAAGGAAUGAAGAACUGAUAUUUAUUAUAGCAUGAGGAAUCUUGCAAGUGUUACACUAAAUAAAUUAAUGCAGCUACAAAAAGCAUAUAUUGUAUUAUUCUACUCAUAUGAAAUGUCCAGAAGAAGCAAGUUUAUAUGGAGGAAAAAAGUUGAUUAAUAGUUGUGUAGGGUUGAAGGAGAAGAGAUAUAGGAGAAUGUGACUGUUAAUAAAUAAUUUCUUUUGGAGUGAUGAAAAUACUCUAAAAUUAUAUUUUACUGAAAAACUCAAUAAAAUAUACUUAAAACAUUGAAUUACACAGUUUAUAAAGGAAAACUUUAUGGUAUGUUAAUUAUACCUCAAUCAAGUUGUUAAAUUAAAGAGAAAAUGAACUCUCUUGCCCUUGUCUCAUGGCACAUACCGUUUCUCAGUAUGAUUACUAGAAAAGUUGAUUUUGAGAAUACCCCUGAUUAUGUAGUAUGAACAAUGAACUUGUUUUGGAGGUGUUCUUCCAGUAAACUUUGCUAAAUAGAAAAAAGUCUUUUUUUUCUUGUAGCUCUUGUAAAAUAUUUUUAAAGAUGUUUUAUUUGUUUUCUUGCCUCCGCUUAGUAUAAGAAACACAAUUUAUAGUUAGUGAUUCCUGGAUUUUAUUUUGGCAGUGAUUUCUCCCUUGAUGGUACAAGGAAGAGACUGGCUUUGCAGCUAAACAGAAAAAUCAUUUUUCUCCCAUGCUUUUUCAGUUCCUGCCUUUGUCUUGUUCUGUUUGUAUAUCUUUGGCUUGUGUGUGUGUGUGUGUGUGUGUGUAUGGGUGGGGUCUUCCUUUUAAUGUCUUUCAUUGGUACUGACAGUUGGUUCAAAACUGUGAAAUAUGAAUUCUCAUUUGAGGAAAAUACAUGUCAAACUGUGUAUGAUUUCAGGAGGGUCACGGAUUAGAAAUCUCAGCGGCAUACUUGCUUUGGUGACCUCAUCUACUUCCAGGUGUAAAUUACCAUUUAUAUGCUGAGCAAUACAAAUUCUCUAUCCCUGUCCAGGUUUCUCUGCUAGGAACUAUAGCUAACUGUCUGGGUCUACUUGGAUGUCCUACAAAUACUACAAAUACUUCGUAUCUUCUUAUCCUUUCUAAACCGCCCCUCCCCUUUUUUUAAUAGAACGGGAUUCCAAACCAGAACACCCCAACCACCCUGGUCUGAAUUGAUACUAAGCAUGAUCCUUAAUUUUUCCAUGUCCUCUACAUGUAUCAGUCAUCAAGUUUUGUUUGUUUGUUUGUUUUCAAUCUUUUGAAAUUUGUUCCUUCUUGUUACUAUUCCCACCAAUGAUUGAAGGCCUCAUUUCUUGGUGGAAAUCCUGUAGCUUCCUGACUAGUCUCCUUAUGUUCUGUCUUGUUCAUUCUCCAUAUUGCAGCUGAUAAACUCCCAACAGCUUCUCAGCAUCUUUAACAUGGGCUCUAAACUUGUCAGCACCGUUAAUAGCACUUAGAAGGCCCUAGACAACUUCACUCCAGCUCUCUCAUCCAGCCACCAUGUCUCAUCACAGUACGUAUCAGUCAUGCUGAUCUUUCUUGUUUUCUCAGCUGAGCCCUGUUUUCUCUCACUUUAUGCCCUGGUGGGCUCAUUCCGUCCCUGCUUAUCCCCUUUCCUCCAUACCUGGCGAACUAUUAUCCUUCUUUACAUCUUGGCUUUAGAUAUUUCUUUUGUGGGCAUCUUGUCUCCAUUCACGAGACCCAUCUGAGGGUCUGUCCACAUGGUUUACAGCUGUCUCCUUAACUUCUGGACUGUGAAUGCUGGGAAGCAAGAUGCUUGCUGGCAUGGUUCUGUUUAUCAUUCUAUCUCUAGUGCUUACUUAAUCCUAUAUCUGGCUGAGUGGGUAUUUAAUAAAUAUCUGUUGAAUAAAAGAGAGUUUUUUUCUCUACCUAAAAUAUCUUAUUACCAACUUUAUCUUGACCUCAGCUUCACUUGAGAAAAUUUUGUACAAUUACCAUCUGUUUAUUAAUUCAUUAAAUGAUUAUGGAGCAUCUUCAUUGUACCAGGCAUUCAUUAUUUUAGGCACUAAAGAUAUAGUGAUUCGUAGUCAAAUAUCCCUGCCUUUCUGAAGCUGAGAUAUAUAUAUUACAUAUUAUGAGAGAGAGAGAGACAUAUACAUAUAUACAUACAUUUUGGUGGAGACAGAUAAUAAACAGAUAAAUAAGUAAAAUACACAGUGUGUAAAUGAAAGUGCUGAGGAGAAAUGAAUGAAACAGGGAAGAUGGAGAAGGCGCAUCAGAGUAGAGGGUUGGCCUUUUAGACAGAGUAGCCAGCAAAGUCUUCAAUGAGGAGGUCAAUUUUGAAGGAAGACUUCAAAGAAGUAAGGGACUAGCCUUGUUGCUCUCUAGAAAAGGAAAAUUCCAGGCAGAUGGUACAAAGGCCCCAAGGUGUGUGCCAAAGAGUUUGAGGACUAGAAAGGGGACUAGGGGAGACCAGUGGGAGUUAAGGUCAGAGAGAGACAAAUGUUCUCUGAGUGUUGUUUCACAAUCUGAUCCCUGGGGGUCCUCUGCUAUUUGAACUUGUUUUCAGCUGUUGAUGCUCUGAACUACCAGAAGGAACUAUGAAAUUCUCCCUUCUUAGCAGUUAUCUGUAAAUCAAGGGCCAGAGAAAUGCUAGCAAAGGAGGCUGUGGUGCCAGUUAGCUUCACUUGAUUCUUUGGGGAUUGGUAAGGUUCAUUCUUAGUAUUUGUGGUACUUUCCCUCAACCCCAGGAGAUUUCUGCCUUUUCUUCAGGAUGGGGGACACAGUGAUGACAUCCCUGUCAUCAGCCUAAAUAGAUGAAGCUUUCCAGUUACCACAAUCCUCCUCUCUUUCUGUUCUCUGGUCUGUUUUAGUUCAUUUUCUAUUGCUAUAACAGAAUACCAGAGCCCAGGUCAAUUAUAAGCAAUAGAAUUUAUUUGACUCACAGUUCUGGAGGAUGGGAAGUCCCAAGAUGAAGGGGCUACAUCUGAUAAGGAUUUUCUUGCUGCAUCAUAACAUGAUAGAAGGCAUCUCAUAAUGAGUGAGAAAGAGAGAAAAAAUGAAUAAACAUGCCUACGUGUGCACAAGAGGGCCAAACUUCCAGUUUUCCUCAGGAGCCCACUCCUAUAAUCACUCUACAGAUAAUGGUAUUAAUCCAUUCAUGAGGGCAGUACCUCUUAAAGGUCUCACCUCUUAAUACCAUCGCAGCAACAAGUAAAUUUCAAUGUACAGAUUUGAGGGGACAAACAUUCAGACCAUAGCUUCAUGCAGGCUGGGGGUGUUGCGAACAUUGUACAACUCCCUCUGCCACUGUCUAGGGUUGAUGUAUUGGUUGGCUUUUUGUUUUGUUUUGAUGCUAGGGACGGACUUGAGGCCUCCUGUAUGUUAGGCAAGCAGUCUACCACUGAGCUACACCCUCAACCCCUGCAGUUACUAUUUUGAAGACAAAUUGCUGCUCUCAACUUGUUUCUUAGCUUUGUUCCAGAAAGUUGGGGCCAACAGGAUUUAAGUUAAUUAUGUGUUGCGGUUAGUUGGGUUUUACUGACUUUGUUGUGCUGGCCCUGGAGCUCUCUCCUGUUAUAACACAGCUCUCCAUGGGCAUUUGAGUCCCACCCCAGAGGAGAUGACUGGACUUGCCUUGCUGGCAUUUCCCAUCCCCAGGAAAUAAGAGGCCUUCUCUGUGCAGAAUCCACUGUGGGUGGAGUGUAGCCUCUUGGGGCUCUCUGUAACCUCUAGUUAGUAAUAGCAGAAGCCUCUGCUAGACUGCGGGUGCUUUUCCUUUCAUGUGAUUCACAGCGGCAGCAUACUCUGUAGAAAGGAGCUAUAAAUUGUAAAUUGAUAUGAGGUAAUAAUUGGAAAAAUGAUCAGACUCCAUUUUUAUUCCCCUUCGGGGAAGACACGCAUCAGGAAUCACUAAAGCAGAAGACGACGGAGGGCUUUUCAUCCAGCUCUCCAGCUUCAGUGCUGCAGUGCUUCCGUCCUGAUUAGAGGGGAGAGCAGCCAAAUUCGGCAGGAGGCGGCCAGCAGACCUAGUAUCUGCUUGCCACCUCUUGCUCCAAAAAGCCUUGCCGCAGAGAGUUACCAUGGCAGCAGGAGGCAGUUUAAUGGCAAAGGCUCAUCUCUGGAGCAGUGCUGCUGCACCCCAGCCAUUCCCGCCCUGGCCUUCAACCCAAGGGGCUGGGUUUACCAGGGCAUCACUGUGCCAGGGCCAUGUGAGGAGUGCAUGUCGCCCAAGGGGGUAGAGCUGUAAGAUCCUCCAGAGUCUGAGGGUGGCGACCUCUUCUCUUCCUGCUUCUCCUUGGUGCAUAGCUCUUUGAUGCCUCAUCCUAUAGUCGACCUUAUCAAAUCAUUUGCAGUUCCUUAAAUAUGCUCUUUCAUGCUUCUCUGCUUUUAGGCAUGCAGUUUCCUUUGCCUGGAGUUCUCCCUUCCCCAUCUGUCUGGAAAAUUCCUACUCAGUUUCAAAAUGUAGCUAAGAUACUGCCUCCUCCUUCUUAAUGCUUCCUCUAACCCCUUACUGUCCAGGCAGAGCUACACAGUUUCCACUGCCAUCUCGACCUUGUCAUGAAUCGCAUGGUUUCGAAAUGAUUAUUAUAUUUUUGUCUCUUCCUCUCUAGAUUAUAAGUUACUUGCAUUCAAAAACUGUUUUAUGAACCUUUUGUCAAACGGCCUUACUGCAGGAGUAAAUACUUAGUAAUGUUGGUUGAAUGAAUGGGAUGUUUUCCUUUCACAUCAUCUGGUUUAAUCCUUAUCACGGGUGUCGUCCUACCUGGAGCAGAGCCCUGCAUCUUAUCCAGGUGGGACUGUCUGCUCAGACAUCCUAGAAGAGUAAGCUGAUUUAAUCAGCCCCAGAUCACUCUCCAUUGCAUGUAUUCUCACUUUCUAAUUUGAAUUGGAAAGAGUAAUACUUGGGAAUCAGUCUCCCCAGCAGUCAAGCUAAUGUGGCCUCGUGUUGGUUGCCUGACUUCUAAAUCAGUUCCCUCAUUUGUUGGAUUAGGAUGUUGUAAGGACAGAGCCUAAGAUGCUUUGUGACUCAGAGUGAAUUCUUGGUCAGUCUUCUGUACCUUCUCCUCUCUUCAGCGACGAAAUUAAAAGCAAAAUCCAGCUUUAAACUAGCUUUGAGCCCUCUCUGGCAUCAUGUCAUUCAUUUAGUUUUACCUUCUUGCUGUGCACACAGGUGCCUUUCAGAAGUCCCCCUCUUUGAGUGGCUCUUGUGCCUAUUUCUGAGCUUUUGUGUCCCUCCUUUUGCCUCAUUGUUUUGUUUCAUCUCGUGUGCAUCUGUCCUCUUGUUCAUUAUGUAGACAGAAUGUUUUAUUUAGAUAUUUCUUCUUUUCCUGCCUUUUGGACAUAAUUUGUUCUUGUAUUUCAAAAUCACCAAUUUAAAGUGAAUUUAUUUUCUAUCUCCUUCAAAUAAUACUAGAAGCCACCUCCACCAUAAUGUAGAUUUACAUGCCUUACUUGCUACCCUCUGUAUGUUGGCUUUGCACUUUGGUCUGAGUAUUUUUUUUUCUACUUCCCUCUAACUUUUCAGUUCAAUGCUUGCUUAGGGUGUUUUGCAAUUCCCUUUGCAAAUGCGUUCUGUGUAUCAUGCUAUCGUGCUGUGUGCGUGUUGUGCGUGCCAAUGUCCUCAGGUAUCUAGGCUGUUUAGUUUCUGGCGUAUUUUUCUCUAAUAUUGCUUCCCAUCUUGCUUUCAUUUCUACUUUUGGUAUUUUGUUUUAUUGCAGUUCCUCUAAAGGAUGUGAAACUUAACAAAGCUAUUGUUUUUAAUAGGUCUAGUAAAAGAACCACUAAGAACAGCAAUGAAAAACUUGCUUUUAACUUAUAUUUAUGAAUUAUCUCUGACAUUGGUUUGCUAUAUUGGAGGGAUGCAGCAGAGAGGCCAAAGUGUGUCAUCAGCAUUGCCUGAGAAGCUUUUGCAAAAUUCAUGUGCCCAUCCUUGUCCCCACCAUUUGCCUGGUGGGACUGAAACUGGGCUGGGUUUUGAUAAAUCUUUCUAGAAGGUUUUGUGGCUUUUUUACCUGGUUUUUUUUUGUUUGUUUGUUUUUGUUUUUUGUUUUUUUACCCUCUCAGUUGAAAACCACUGAUUCAUAGUUUUAGUUACACUCAGCAGUCCCUCCUUAUCUUCAGGGAAUACAUUCUAAGAUGUUAGGCAGACUUCUUGAAACCAUGGAUAGUACCAAACCCUAUAUGUAUAUGAUAUUCUUUCAUAAAAUUUAAUUUAUAAAUUAGGCAUGGAUAGAGAUUAAAAUAUUGACUACUAAUAAUAGAACAGUUGUAACAAUAUACUAUAGUAAAAGUUAUUUAAAACUUAUGAAUCCUUUGUACAAUUCUCCAUUUAAUGUGGAAAUAUGAAUGUGACUCCGAGGUUAAGCACCCCUUGGUUUAAUUUCUAGGACCAAAAAGAAAAAAGGCGCAGUGUUAGUUUUACAUUAUUAUAUAGUCGUUAUGGAAUUCCCCUCAUCCUCCUUUCUUAUUUCCUUGUGCUGGACCUGUUCUGGAGGACUACUUAGUUCUCAUUAAGGUUAGUAACCUAGCAGUCAUAAACACUUCCAUGCAGAUUUGUCUUUCAAAUGAAGACUAAAUAUUAGUAUUGUAGUCCUGUUUUAUGUUCCUAUCAGAAAUUAUUGAAUGUAGUGCCUUGCUAUCAAAUGUAAAAUUUGUGAAAGGCAAGUAGUUUUCUUAAUAAUGAUGGGAAUUACAGAGUAUAUGUUAGGUACUUUAUAUAUAUAUUAUCGAUAACAUUUAGCAAACUCUGACAUAGGUCAUGUACAGUUUUACAGAGAAGAAAACUGAGGCUUAGAAGGAUAAAUAUGGUGGUGAGUGACUGUUAUCACAGUCCUUAGGAGGCCGAGGCAAGAGAAUCACAAGUUAAAGGCUAGCAAGAUCCCAUCUCAAGAGAGAGAACCCAAAGCAAGUUCAGGUUGGUCUAACUAAAGCAUGGUGUGAGGCUGCUGCUCAGUCACUAGUGUAAAUCAGGGAAUGUGUCUUAGGGUGGAACGUAAAUACAGUGGGGGCACUUUUGGCAGUGAAGGAGGCAGAAGCCCACAGGACAAUGAGUGUUUCUGUUCUCAGGAGGCUGUCAGUGAGAGCCUCAGCCCAGCUGCAAGGCCUUGGCAGCCUCUGUCCUUUUCCUUUUCCCUAAGCCUGGUUUUCUACAAUCGUGUGAUUUCUCCAGACACUUCUCAGGGCAUUGCUCAUCACUUAGAACUUUGUACUCCUCUCCCCCACCUUGUAUCCACCUCAACUCCCACCUGCCAAGACACACCACAGUAUUGUGAGGAUAAAAUCAUUGAUACAUGUGAAGAGUUCAGUGUAGCACAUGGUACACUGUACCACGUAAGUACACAGUAAAUUUAGCUACCGUUACUGUUAUUGUUAAUGGUAUUAAUAGUGGUGUUGGUGUUAGCAAUGGUCAUUGAUUCAAAGGUUUAGGACUCCCUACACAAGGACCUGGGUAUUUCCUGUCCAGAAUCUGGUUUUGUGCAGUUCAUAGUACCCACACCCAGGCACGGACAUGCUCAAUUGGGUGCAAAGGAUAGUUGGAAGGAGAAUUAGUAAGAGAAUGCUUUUUUCUACCCAAAGGUUGCCAGAAACAUUUCUCUCUAUGCCCUUACUGCCUCCUGUCAUUAGCAUGGAAACUGUCCAUGAAUCCCACUUCUAAACCACAUUCCUUUUCUGGCUUCUUUGCAUUUUUUUUUUUUUUUUUUAGAGUUGUUAGGAUUUAUGUUUUUUUUUUUUUUUAAUUUAUAUAUGACAGUGGAAUGCAUUACAAUUCUUACUACACAUAUAGAGCACAAUUUUUCAUAUCUCUGGUUGUAUACACAGUAUAUUCACACCAAUUCAUUUCUUCAUACAUGUACUUUGGAUAAUAAUGUUCAUCACAUUCCACCAUUAUUAAUAACCCCAUGCCCCUCCAUUCCCCUCCAAUCCCUCAAUCCCUCUGCCCUAUCUAGAGUUCGUCUAUUCCUUCCAUGCUUCCCCUUCCUACCCCCCUAUGAUUCAGCCUCCUUAUAUCAAAGAAAAUAUUCAGCAUUUGUUUUUUUUGGGAUUGGCUAACUUCACUUAGCAUUAUCUUUUCUAACUUCAUCCAUUUACCUGCAAAUGCCAUGAUUUUAUUGCUAAGUAAUAUUGCAUUGUGUAUAUAUGCAACAUUUUUAAUCCAUUCAUCUAUUGAAGGGCACCUAGGUUGGUUCCACAGUUUAGCUAUUGUGAAUCGUGCUGCUAUAAAAAUUGAUGUGGCUGUGUCCCUAUAGUAUGCUGUUUUUCAGUCCUUUGGGUGUAGACUGAAGAGAGGGAUAGUUGUGUCAAAUGGUGGUUCCAUUCCCAAUUUUCCAAGAAAUCUCCAUACUGCUUUCCAUAUUGGCUGCACCAAUUUGCAGUCCCACCAGCAGUGUAUGAGUCUACCUUUUUCCCCACAUCCUCGCCAACACUUAUUGUUGUUUGUAUGCAUAAAUAGCUGCCAUUCUGACUGGAGUGAGAUGAAAUCUUAGAGUGGUUUUGAUUUGCAUUUCUCUAAUUGCUAGUGAUGAUGAACAUUUUUUCAUGUAUUUGUUGACUGAUUAUACAUCAUCUUCUGAGAAGUAUCUCUUCAGGUCCUUGGCCCAUUUAUUGAUUAAGUUAUUUGGUUUUUUUGGUGCUUAGCUUUUUGAGUUCUUUAUAUACCCUAGUGAUUAGUGCUGUAUCUGAUGUUUUGCUCCCAAGAUAUAGGUUCUCUAUUCACCUCACCGAUUGUUUCUUUUGCUAAGAAGAAGCUUUUUAGUUUGAGUCCAUCCCAUUUAUUGAUUCAUGAUUUUAAUUCUUGUGCCACAGGAGUCUUAUUAAGGAAAUUGGGGCCUAAUUCCACAUGAUGGAGAUUAGGGCCUACUUUUUCUUCUAUUAGAUGCAGGGUUUCUGGUUUUAUUUUGAGUUGAGUUUUGUGCAUGGUGAGAGAUAGGGGUUUAAUCUCAUUUUGUUGCAUAUGGAUUUCCAGUUUUCCCAGAACCAUUUGUUGAAGAGGCUAUUUUUUUCUCCAAUGCAUGUUCUUGGUACCUUUGUCUAAUAUAAGAUAAUUGUAGUUUUGUGGGUUAGUCUCUGUGUCCUCUAUUCUGUACCAUUGGGAAUCAACUUAACGAAAGAGGUGAAACAUCUGUAUAAUGAAAAUUACAGAACCCUAAAGAAAGAAAUCAAAGAAAACCUUAGAAGAUGGAAAGAUCUUCCUUGCUCUUGGAUAAGCAGAAUUAAUAUUAUCAAAAUGACCAUACUGCCAAAGCACUAUACAGAUUUAAUGCAAUUCCAAUUCGAAUUCCAGUGACAUUUCUUAUAGAAAUAGAAAAAACAAUCAUGAAAUUCAUCUGGAAAAAUAAGAAACCCAGAAUAGCUAAAGCAAUCCUUAGCAGGUAGAGUGAAGCAGGUGACAUCACUGUACCAGACUUUAAACUACACUGCAGAGCACUAGUAACAAAAACAGCAUGAUAUUGGCACCAAAACAGACUUUUAGACCAAUGGUACAGAAUAGAGGACACAGAGACUAACCCACAAAACUACACUUACAUUAGACAAAGGUGCCAAGAAUAUGCAUUGGAGAAAAGUUGGCCUCUGCAUUCUUUUUAUCUAUGUAGAACAUUAAUACAUUAAUGGUUUUGGAGUCGCUAAGAGGGUGACUGUUUUUGGUUUUGUUUUGGUUGUUUGGUUUAGUGCUUUAUACUAUAGUUUCUACCGGCCCUUCUUGCUGGGUUCCUGGUCCCCUGGCUGCACUGAAGUGUGCAGUGUGCAAAGGCCUCUCUGGUGCCCUGCCACUUUUUCUACUUAACUGUUUUAUUUUUUUUUCCUGGUUUUCUUUUAUAGCCUCUAUCCUAGCACAGACAUUGGCUUUAUUCUUCUUGCUUCUCAGUUUUUCCACCUUAUUCUUCACUUGAUCAUAGCCAGAAAGCUGAGAAGUGAUUGCCUAAUUCAUACAUCCGGUUACAUUUCCAGUUGCAGAUUUGAGUUACAUUGUGGUAAAGACUAUGACAGAUGGCUCGAUUUUAUAAAACUUUCCAAGGACUCAGUAGAAUUGAGCCUGUGGAUGGAGGUUCUUUACUCAAGCCUUCCUUCUGACACUCCCUCCCUCCAUCCUUGCUUCUCUCAGCUGAGAGUGUUCUGGCCUCACUUUCAAUUUGGGCAAGAGAUAACAUCUGUAAUCUUUGUCAUGUCUUCUGCUUUAUCACAUUAAAAUUAUCUAUUGUCCUGUGAAUUUUAAUUAAUCUUCCCUUUUUAAAAAUACAAAUGUCCAAGAUCCAGGGGGAAUUAUUUAGGAUUGAGGGAUUAUUUUGUCUAUCUGUAAUGGACCUUUUAAAUAAAUAGUAUUUAUUGCCUUUAUCUCAAUUCAAAAGUAAUUUGCAUUCUUUGUAGAAAAUGAGAAUUCUGAAAAGUAAAAGAAAGGAAAUCAAAAUCACUUUAUUCUAACACCUAGAGAUGACUGAGAUGUUGGUGUAUCUUUCCUGUUUCCAUUCAACUUUAUAUAAUCAAUUCAGUACAUAUUAAUUUAUAUACACAUAUUCGUAUUUAUAUAUUCAUUAUUUUAAAUAUAUUUUAGGUGUAGAUGGACACAAUACCUUUAUUUUACUUGUUUUUUUUAUUUUUAUGUGGUGCCAGGGAUAGAACCCAGUGCCUCACACAUGCUAGGCAAGCACUCUACCACUGAGCCACAACCCCAGCCCCUAUAUAUAUUCAUUUUGAUAAUUAAAAUUAACUGAAUUAAUUAAGGAGCAUUUAUAGCUUGCAUAAAAACUAUAAUUCAUGUCAUUGCUGUAUUGGGAUAUUCUAGUAAAUUUUUUAGUACAAGUUUGACAAAAUGAGACCACUAAAUAGAUAAUUUCUCAUGAUAAAACCUAUAUGCACACAUCACAAAAAUGUUACUGUUAGAAAAAUACAUUCUGAAAACUUUGUCCUUCAGUUACCCCAUUCCCACUUUAUAUGUGUAAGUGGUUAUUUUCUAAAAAUUACUGAUGAUUAGAUUAGUGAAAUGUUUAUUGUGAAAGAGUAUGUUCUUUGCUUUUAGGCUUAAUCAAAUACACAGUGAAAUAGAAUGUGUUUUGUGAAGUAAUAUCUCAGUUUUUUUCUCCACGCUUUAGGUAUGUGUUCUUUUUGGAUCCAUGCAAUCUGGACUUGAUAAACCGGAAGAUUAAGUCUGUAGCACUGUGUGUAGCAGCAUGUCCAAGACAAGAAUUGAAAACCUUGAGUGAUGUCCAGAAGUUUGCAGAGACGAAUGGUGAGAUUUUAGGCCAUCUACAUCUACACUCCAAUCCUUUAUCUCACUGUUAAAUAUUAUGUCUUUACAUUCCCAUAUGAAUUUGUCCUGACAUUAAAUAAGUGAUCAAAGAACCUUAAAAAUAAAAAGAAUUGAAGUAAUUUUGGAUUUCCUCAUUAAAAAAUAUUAGAGUCAACCUAGGAGCUUAUUAAAACUCUAGAUAUUCACCAUACUCCGUGGUAUGUACCUAUAGUCCCAGCUAUCAGGAUGCUGAGGCAGGAGGUUCCAGGUUGUUUGAGCAACAUAAUAAGAUUCCAUCUCAAAAAGUAAAAAAGCAAAAACUGACCACACCAUAGAUUAUUUCACACCUUUACUCAAAAAACAAGACAAAACUCUUAUUAGAUUCCUAGGCCCCUGCUGGGGAACUUCUGAGUAGGUCUUUGGGUUCUGGAAAUUUGUGUUUUUUAUAAAUGCUUCAGGUGAUUUUGAUAUAUAGCCUGAUGAGUAUUUGGAAAUUAUUAGACUACUCUGUAAAAUUUGGAUAUUUUCCUUUCUUGACAAGUGUUGAUUAAAAGUAUUUCAGUUUGGGCCUGUGUGUGUGUGUUUUAGCCUGUGAUUAACAGGGUAAUAUGAAAAGGAAAAUUUGAAAAUUUCAGAUAAAAGUAUAAAGUAAAAAUCAAAAGUCUUCCAUCAGUUCUUUUUUCAAUGUGUUAGUGUACAUAUAACUUUGUGUUCUGCUUUUUAAAUUUAACAUUAUGUCAUGACUGUUUCUGUAAGAAUAGGUUUGAGGAACUUUGAGGUUAAAUGUAUGGGAAUUAGCUGAGAAAACCAGAAGAGACAGUUUUAUGUAAUCUAGCUCUGUUCCCUUGAGAUUCGUAUCUUCAAAUAUGUUAUCCUCAGCUCCAAAUAGCUUGUUUCAGUUAUCUUCAGAGAAUUUUUGUUUAAACCACUUUGGAGGGUUAGGGUGCUGAUGGCCCCUCAAGCCCAGGUUUUUGAACUUCCUUGAGUUUCAUGAUUGUGUUUUGUAUUUAGUACUCCUCAGGCCUUCCCAAAUUCAAGGCUGUUUUUGGUUCCUUGGAUAGCAGCUGACUUGAUUUGUAUUCACCCAGUGUAACUCUAGAUGGGUGGAGAUACAGCCUGGGGCUAUAGCUAUGCACACAUCAGCAAGACUCCUGCAUCUCUUAGAUGGGGUGGGAUAGGAUUGCUGGCCUUCUGGAGCUGCAGGACUGGCAACAUUCCUGGGCUACCACUUCAUGCCCUAGGCAUAAGAUGGUAGAAAGGGCAUGCUGUUUAUUUGAAUCUGGAUUCCAAUUCUGAUUCAGUCACUAAUUGGCUCUGUAAUGAGUGGUAGCUUCUCUGAAUCUAGAUUUCCUAAUCUGAAAAAAAAGGUGAAUUAAAAAUAAUACCUCCGUGCUGGGGUUGUGGCUCAGUGGUAGAGCCUUGUCUUGCAUUCAUGAGGCAUUGGGUUCAAGCCUCGGCACACAUAAAUAAAUAAAAUAAAAAGUAUUUUUCCCAUCUACAACUAAAAUAAAGAAGUAUUUUAAAAAAUAAUACCUCAUAGGUUAUGAAGAUUAAAUAAGAUGGUGCAUGAAUAAUACUGGGCAUGUGAUAGGCAGUGAGUGAAGAGGUGCCAAAUACUGUUUAAGAUCUCAUUUUUAAUCCCCACAUGAUAUCCCCACAUUUGCCUUGCUAAGCCUUUUUUCCAAACCUACCAGCUUUAUCAUUAUCAGGUUUCUUAGGGAAGUCUGAGUUAUUCCUGAAGGGUUUUUCCAAACUCUUACACAUUAUGAGUAGAUCAAUAUACCUGAUAGGUGGUAUUUUUUUUUAAUAUUUAUUUUUACUUGUAGUUGGACACAAUACCUUUUUUAUUUAUUUAUUUUUAUGUGGUGCUGAGGAUUGAACCCAGGGCCUCCUCGCACAUGCUAAGCGAGCACUCUACCGCUGAACCACCACCCCAGCCCUGAGAGGUGGUAUAUUAAGAGUAUGGCCUCUGAAGUCAGAUGUUUGGGUUCAACUGUUGGUCCUUCUGCUUAGUAAUUGUGAGACUCUGGGCAAGUUGGCUUUACCUUUCUAUAUCUCAAUUUCCCCAUCUGUGAUGCAGGGAUAAUGUAUAUACCUAAUGUGCCUCAUUAGGAUCUUUAUAGUAAGUCAAUAUAUGGAGAAAGAAUACUUAUAACAAUGUAUGGAAAAUAGCAAGUUGCUAAAAAAUGGUCUUGGCUGCUGGUGUUGCCAUUAUUCUUCUGCCUCCAAUUUUUGUCUAGUUCUAACUCCUUUACGUAUUGCUCUCAUGCGAUGUUGCUAGAGGUUUAAUUAACACCAACCCAUUGCUCAGAAAUUAUCAGUGGUGAAAAACAAAAGUCUCUAUAUGUCUUAUACUGGCAAUCAAAACUCUGAUAUAAUCAUAAACUUGUCCGCUUUGAACAUGCCCUCUCAAACCUACUGGAUGUAAACCUUGGCAUCUUGAAACUUAGCUGUCAUCUGAAGGGCCAGGCAAGAGCUACCUCUAGCUCAGUUAUAUGGCCUUGCUUGAUGGUUCCUUUAGGAGAGAUGACCCAUGCCUUCCUGUUGGCCUGUGUUGCCCGCAGGCCAGUGUCCUCCCAAAUGAAACUGAUACCGAGUGUGGUCUAUUUAGGUCUAGUUUAAGAAGAUGCUCCUGGUGUGUUUUGCAGCUUUGCGUUUCCCACAGUGUUUUGCAUAAAGUAAGUGUUCAAGAAGUUUUAAUCAAUAAACACUCUUUCAGAAAACAGACUUCUUAAAUCAGUGCCCAGCUACAAAAGCACCCUUAGGCUUUGGAGUUGCUGUGUAUAAAAUAAACCAGUAAGUUCAGUAUAAAAAAAUAAUGACACAAGAAGCACAUAGUAGAGGAUGGUAACUUCAAAAGGCAAGUAGAAAAGCUGUAUAGUUCAAAUGGAAAGGGAGCUUCUGGUGUGGAGGCCUGCCUAUCUUAUUUUAGGAAAAAAUCCAAGUUGGAAUUUCUGAAUUAAUUUUUCAAAGAAUCUCUGCUGUUUCUUUGGAUUGGUGACUUAAAAUUGGACCUGGUAAAAUUUAGUUGCAAUAUUACCUUUAUCACUGAGAGAUUUCUUUCUCUGCUUUUUACAUUAACUAUGCUCCCCUCCUCUGAUCUUUAUAACUUAUCUUUUCCAUUAUUUGAAGUACAAGUUGAUUGAAAAGGAACAGGUAAUUUUUAUUGGUAUCUAUAGCCAAGGUUCUAACAGAAAUAGUUAGAAAAUACAGAGGCCUUUUUAUCUAAAAUAUUUAAGGCUCAAUUAUUAAUUUCAGAGGAGUGUCUUUGAGGGAUGAUUCAGGUUUAAGUGGGAAAUUUUCAAAUCUGUAAAGUAAACUAGUUAAAAGUCCAUGAAAGAGCCUAAAUAUAAGAGCUACAGCUGUAAAACUCUUAGAAGCAUCAUAGGGGAAAACUUACAUGGUAUUGGAUUUCAUCAUUACUUGCAUGGAACUAAAUGAUACCAGAAGUACAGGAAGCAAAGGAAAAAUUAGAAAAAUUGUCAUGUCAAAAUUAAAAACUUAAACGUAUUAAAGGACAAAAUCAACAGUGAAAAGUCAACCCAUAUAUUUGGGUUGAGAGAAAAUAUUUGGAAUGAGAGAAAAUAUUUGCAAAUAAUAUAUCUAUUAAGGAGUUACGAAAGAAAAAGAAGUGUUGAUGAGGCUAUAGCAAAAUUAGAAAUCUUGUGCACAGUUGGUGGUAAUGAAAAUGGUGUAGCAACUAUGGUAAACAGUAUAGAAGUUCCUUAAAAAGUUAAAAAUAGGACUAAUAUGAUCCAGUAGUCCCACUUCUGAGUGUAUAUACAGAAGAAUAAAAAAGAGGAUCCUCAAGAAAUAUGUGCACAUGUAUGUUCAUUGCAAUAUUAUUCAAAAACAGCCAAGAGGUAGAAGCAGCCUAAAUGUCCAUGGACAGAUUAAUAAAGAAAAUGUGAUAUACACACACAAUUAAAUAUUAUUUUGCCUUAAAAAUGCUGCAACAUGGAUGAAACUUAAAGAUACUAUGCUAAGGGAAAUAAGCCAUUCACAAAAGGACAAGUACUAUAGGAUUCCACAGUUAUGAGGGCCCUAGAAUAGCCAAAUUCAUAGAGACAGAAAGUAGGAUAGCAGUUGCCAGGAGCUAUGGGGGAUGGGGGGGUAGAAGGAAGUCACUGUGUAUUGGGUUGAGUUAUACAACAAUGUGAAUGUAUACAAUGUACUAAAUUGUACAAUUGCAAAUGGUUAAGACAGCAAAUUUUAUGUUAUGUGUAUUUUACCAUAAUUUAACAAAAAUGGAUACUGGGUGAGGUAGUAACUUUUUAUAUGCUAAUUCUAAACCUGAUUUUAAAAUGCAAGGUAAAAUAAUAUGUUUCUUUCUUAUCACAAUGAAAAUACAACAUAAAUCCUUUUCAAAGAAUUUCAAGUUUCCAUGACAACAUUUCAGAGUACUUUUUAGCACUUACCAACAUCCAUUCACAUGAACUUUUAUUAUCUUUAGAAAUUAUUGAAAAUUUUAUAAGGGGAAGCUGUUGGGUCCUAUAGCAAUAUUUAAAAGAAAUACAUUUGUUAGGCAAGUAAAACGUUCCCUCAAAUCUUCGUUUCUUUGACAAGAAAGUGGAGUUGUUUCUUGGAUAGAGUUUAUGGGAAAGCCUUUGUCAAGUAUGUCUGACUACAAUAGAGUUCAGAAGAAAAAGCUGGAAAUUAGAUUAGUUUUGUGGAGAUGUUGCCUUCUACAAAGAGCUUUGAAAGCGGGCAGGAGAACUUAGAUGAAUAUAAAGAUACAGUCUAGACUGAGUUGGGUGGUAGGUCAACAAGUAUACAUUUUGGUUUUAUGGUUUGUAAUUCAUAUAUGACAUGAAUAACAUAAACUUGAUGCUAGAAAAGAAAAUAAUUUUAAAAUGUUCAUUAAAAGGGGGGAUAGGAAGGGCAGCAGAAUACAACAGACACUAGUAUGGCUGUAUGUAUAAACGUGGCUGUAUAACCAAUGUGAUCCUGCAAUUUGUACACGUGGAAAAAUAAGAAUUCAUACCCCAUUUGAAUCAAAUAUAUGAUAUGUCAAGAUCAUUGUAUUGUCUUGAGCAACCAAUAAAAAAAUGUUCAUUAAAAAAAUCAAAGUUGUCAAGUACCAUAAGGACUCAGUAUCAAAUUUCUUUCAGUUCUUUAUCAUCUUCUGCAGUCAUGUAUAAAUUUUCAGGGGGCAGGAUUAUGCUCCAUUUAUCUCUGAAUAUCCAGGUUCUCAUAUAGGAGCUCACAAUGUAGAUAUCCAUAACUGGUUGUUUUUUUUUUUUUUUUUUUUUUUUGAAAAAAAUGAUAGACUCGAUUUCCCUAUUCAUCUCUGUUGCCACUUAAUAAUUUCUUAUGCUCUCAACACAUUUUGUCCUCAAUUCUGUAUCCGUGUGAGUUGCCACCAGCAGGUAAAUUGUUUAGCUUCAAUCCAACCAGAAUUGCUCUGAAAUCAGUUCUUUUUUAUUCAUCUCUAAAUAAUUCAUCCUAUUCACUCAUUUAUCUCUCUUAUACACACUCUCCAAGUGAUUAUUCAUACCUUUUCUUCCCGUAAGCCCUCUUGUUCAUCCUGUUUGCUAACCUAAUGCCCUACAGAGAAAAUUGAAACCAUCUGGUAAGAGCUCCCAUCUGAGUUCUUAUUUUCAGGAGAGCAUGAAUGUCAUCUCACUCUCACUUUCUUUCCCUCCAGUUUCUAAUGAACAGUUUUCUUUUCUCCUUUAUUUAAUCAUUAAUUUUGAAAACUUAAAUAAUACAUACAUUGUAGGGGGGGAGGGAAUGAAUCCCCCUCCUUCUGAAGCUGACUUUGGCUUUCUAUGUAAUUUUGGUUUCAACCCAACCAUGCUUUGACAGGUGGUGAAGGAAGGGGAGAUGGUGCAAGUUCCGGCAAUUCUUUCUUUCUCUCCUCUCUAAUUCUGGUUAGGCCCACCACCUCUGGUCAGUAGUCCACUAUCAUCCCCAUUAUUCUGAAUUCUGCAUCUGAAUUUUAGAUAAUUUAAGCCCAGAGUUUUGUUUCAACUUGUCAUUUAUUGGUGCCUACUAUGUACCAUGCACUGUGCCAGAUGUUUUGCGUGUUGUUUUGUUCUUUUCCAUUUGCUAUCUAAAUACUAACCAGUGAUUUAGAAAUAAAUGCACAUAACCUAUGAGUUAGAGGAUGACUGCAUAUUCUCAGUUGGUGCAAAUACUAAUCAUGAGAUUCUUAUUAUCUUUUCCAUUAUUCUUAUUUUUCUUUUGUUUGCAUCUCACUUAUAGGAGUGAAAAAGCAGUACCAUUUGAGAGUACUUCUUUAAUGUACUAUAUUUUGUAGAAUUCUGAGAGGUUUAUGAACUGCCAUUUGGACAUGUUCACUUUUUGAUUUUUUGGCUUUUUUGUUUGUUUAUUUUAGUACCAGGCAUCAAACCCAGGAACACUUAACUACUGAGCACAUCCCCAUCCCUUUUUAAUAUUUUAUUUAGAGACAGGGUCUUAACUGAGUUGCUUAGGGCCUCACUAAGUCACAGGCUGGCUUUGAAUUUGCGAUCCUCCUGCCUCAGCCUCCCGAGCCACUGAGAUUACAGGCAUGCAAUUACAGGCAUACAUCUGGCCCAUGUUCACAUUUUGAGUAUGACUGUCCAGUUUGAUCAUUAAUGAUCAUUGCUUUGGCCAUUUAAAACUUUGACAAAUUAUAUGAUCCAUUCAGAUAAGAAUUGCUUUUUGUGAGAACUAGUAAGACUUUCGGUUAUCAUUAUCCAGUCAUUAGGCUUAGAGUCAAUAUCAGUAGAUCAUCAGUAUAUUGCCCUUUUUCUUACCAGUUAGUAACAAUAUAACUUAAACCACAGAGUUAGCAUGGAUUCUUUUUGGCAUAGUCAAUCAAAAGUUUGGACUUGAAAACAUUUAUAAAUGAAUAAUUAUAACAAUUAAUUUAAUUUCCUCCAGGUCAAAGAAAGCAGGGUAGCAGGGAGACGCUUACAUUUGAUAAUAUAAUUUAAACUAAUUCCUUCCUCCAACAAUUAGUAUCUAUUAAAGAUGCCAAAGAUAUAAGGUACAGUCCCACAUUUAAGGAGCUUGAGUUAUAGUAAAGUUAGACUUUCCUUGUCCUCCACAAUACCUAGUAGAAGUCUUGCACAUAGAUGUUCAAAAUUAAUUCAUUUAGCAAAUAUUUAUUGUGUACCCAGGAUGUGCCACUAAUGGCUAACAGGUAAUGUCAUACCUCAGCUAGCUAAUAGAUGGUACUUUUUGGAAAUUGCAAAUAUGUCUGGAUUUUGGGGGUUACUAGAAAUUGAAAUUAGGAAAAUUGUCUCCUGUUCUUCCAGCAUGUAAAUAUAUAGUUUUCUAAUUAGAGGAUGAGAGAUUAAAUUCAUUGGACAUCACAAAGCAAUAGAAUUUGUUUUUCAUAAUGAAAACUGAUCUGCAUUGAGAUGUUUUUCUACUCAUUGAAAAUUUUCUCCAUCAUAUUUCAAGGACUAUAUCUUUUGCCUAAUUUUAAUAUAUUAUGCAUUUGUGAUAGCAAAUUAAACAUAAUUUUAUGGCCCAAAAAAUAGCCCCCAAUACAUUAGCUCUUCUUUAUAUAUUUUUAUUUCAAAUAAUUUGGUGUUUAAACCAUUGGUUCACAACUAAGAGUGCCUCUGCCUGCCCAAAAACAUUUGGCAAUGUUUAGAGAGAUUUUUGGUUGUCAGAACUGGGCAAAGGUUAUCUAGAGGAUAGAGAUCUGUCAAACACUAGUGACACACACAUACUAGGCAUACAUAUUUGCUGAGUGAAUUAAUGCACAGGACAGCCCCCUAUAAUCAAGCAUUGGAUCAGGAUGUCUGUUUUUAUUAAAUAAAAGGCAUUGGAGUGUUACUUAUGUACCAGUAGAUGGGACUGCAGAUAUUUCAAAAGCACCAGGUCCCAGUUCUCAAAGAGCAUACUCUAAAAAUGGAGAUGAUAGGUAAACAAAAACAAAUUACAAAAUAAUAUGCUAUGUUUUUUAAUAGCGCUAAGUGGCAAAUAGCUUUGUUGGGUGGGUCAGAGAAAGCUUGACAGAGAAGGUGAAGUGUGAGUGAGUACUGUGUAGUAGCUCUGCUCAAACUUUUAGCACUCACUCAGAUGCUGUUCCUAGAAGGACAGAGCAAGCCCAAGGAAUAGCAUGUUAAAAGGUCAGGAAGCCUGAUAAACAGAAAGAAUUGAUUAUAUGCAGUUCAUUGUAUUGAGGUGAGCCUGGAGUUUUAGCUAGAAUCCUGCUUUAGGAAGCCUUGAAUCCAAGAAGUGUGGACUUUAUCCUGAGGAUAGGACUAUAACAGAAGGGAUCUGCAUUUUUGAAGACCAUUCUGAAGGUCAUGUGCAUAAAGAGGGAGAUGAGAAUCCGUUUUGGGAGAGGAUUUAAACUGCCCUGAUCAAGAAGAUCUGAGAUUCUAUAGGAAGGUCUGAUCAAGCACCUUGAAUGGUAUGGGAAGGUGAAAGGUAAAGAAGAGGACAUGUGACUUGCAAAUUUUACCUUGGGGACUUCAAACCAUUAACCAGGAUAGAAAAUAUACAGGAGGAGAGUGAGUGAUUGAAGUAAUUUUUUUGUAAACAUUAUUUUUGAAGUAUCUAUGGAACAUGUUUUUGUGGUUUGUUUUCCUAAGAACUUAAUAUUUGUUUGAUUUUGAUUAUUAGGAAUGACACAAAAGAAGCAUAGUGACCUAAGAGUAAAGAAUUCUGUUUCUAAAUAUGCCAGUGAUUGCUUGUAAGGCCCUGAAAGUAUUACUUAUUUUUUUUCUCUGCAGCUGUAAGUUUUGAAGUGUAGUGAUAAAAAUGUACCUCUUAGGAGAGUUGAUAUAAUUGAUAUUGAGCUAGAAAAUAAAUAAUUAGAUGUUAUAAGCCAUUUGAAAAAUUAUAGUAUUUAAACAUUCUGAAGAUCCUAGUAGACAUUUGCCAUGAUAAAUAUUUGUAUACCCAGAUUGGGUUCCUAAGAUCUCUCAUUUUGAUAGCCUUUGAAUAACAUUGGCUAAAUUGCCUGGAUUGCCUAGAUAAGCCUUUGUUUUUUAGUUUUUUUGAUUUUUUUCAUUACUCAAGUAUGAUUUUUACUUAACUUUUGCAUCUGAAGGAAAACUUCAUGUCUUACUUUUUAUGUCCAAACCUCUUGUGCUGUGUUGUUUAUACUUUCACUGUAAAAAAGUAAAUGAUACUACCUUUAAAAGGUUCACUGAAUAUGCAUUAGCUGAUAAACAUGAAAAGAAAAACAAUUUAAAAUAUUUGUCAUUACCAUUUUAAUGUUCUUCCUCCUCUGUUCAUCAACUGUUUGAGCAGGAAAACAGCAAAGUGACUCUUCUGGUUGUUACUACCAACACAUUGUAAAGAUCUUUUUCCUUAAACCUAUUUAGUACAGGAUCUGCUUAGUACUGGCCUGUGUCCCAGAAGACCAUCAGAGAUAAGGCUAUUAUCCUUUUAUUGAGUAUUAUCCUGGGAAAGUAUUUAUAAAAUUGAACUCUGUGGCACCUGCUGACCUCUUUUCUAAAUGAAAAAGGGUGGGGAUGGAAAUUGUGUUCAGUGAAUUUAGAUGAAGCAGUAUGUUUAGCAGCACUGACAGCAGAGUGCUUUAGUUAGUGCCUUUUAUACCGUGCAAAUUGAUUCCAUCUUGGACUUUGAAAGAAAUAAGUUGACAAUUCAUAUCAAGAAGUUGACAGUCACAUUCAGGGCUCUGCAGUUAUUGGCAUGGUUGCUAUUUUUUCAUAAGCAGUUCUAAAAUAGAACUCACAGCUAUUUUAGGAUUAAUCUAAAGUGUUUGCUUGCCAUUGCUGUCAUGUUUUUCUAAAAUUGCUAUAAAUAAAAUCUAGUGGUAUUAUCUUCAAACCUGAGAGAAUACUUUUGGAAGACUUAAAUAUUUAAAAACAAUUUUCAUCCUUAAUGUUUUUCUUUUCCUUUCCUCUUCCUCCCCUUCCCUUCUUUUUCCUUGCUUUCUUCCUUCUUUCCUUCCUCUGUCUCAUGGUGAUGGAGAUAGAAACGAGGUCCUCAAAUAUGUUAGGCAUAUGCUAUGCUAUUGAGCCACAUCCCAGUUCAUGUGCUUAACUUUAAAAAAAAAAUCGUCAUUAAAAUGAAAAAGAACAGUUUAAAAAAAAUUUAAACCUAGUCUCCUAUGAAAUCUUAUCAAAAGCUAAAAAUGUGUGAAGAACAGUGCUAUGUAACUUUCAAGUAUCGCUCUAAAAAUACUAUUGUGGCUUGCCAUGGUAAUACAUUCCUAUAAUCCCAACGACUCAGGAAGUCUGAAGUAGGAGGGUUGCAAAUUCAAGGCCAACCUCAGCAAUUUAGUGAGACUCUGUCCAAAAAUAAAAGGACUGGGGCCUGGCUCAGUGGUAAAGGACCUCAGGGUUCAAUUCCCAGUAUAUUUAAAUAAGUGUGUGUGUGUGUACACACACACACACACACACACACACACACACACAUAUAUAUAUAUAUUGCAUUGUCAAAUUACUUGGAUUAUAUUUGUAUAAAAUAUAUGCUACAUAUAUUUAUGUAAAUGUACUAUUAUGGCCCACAUAUUUAAACACUUAGGCCCACAUAUUUAAACACUGAUUUGAGGCAGCUGAGUUAAAUGGUGGUUUAUGACUUUUUGAAAAUUAUUUUCAUUGGUCAGACAAGAAAUAACUUAAAUAAACUCACUCCCAACUUUGUUGUCCCAGCAUACCAGGCUGUGUUCAUUUUCUAUCUUCCUUUCCAUUUCCUUCUCAUGCUUACAUGCCUUUUCCAUUAAUUAAUUCAGUGAUGAAGUCUGCCAUGUUUGCCUCAUAUUUUAAUGUUUGCCUCAUGGUGGUAACAGUGUGAAGUCCAUUAUCACUAUAAUGCGAAUGCAUAUUUAUUCUGUUUAUAUUUAAUAAUAAGGCAUUAGUUCAAGUUAGAAAUCUGACAGGAACUUCAGUUAAUCAGAUAUAACCUGUUGUGUAAUAUAGAAUGCAGUAGAUCAUUGGCAUCUUUAAGGCUGGAAUGUAAAUCUCCUCGCCUACCAACACCUAUUGUGCAAUGACUCUUCCAGGAUCCCAGUCACUUCAUUAUAGAACUAGCAGGUCAGUAAAAUAACGCAUUCUAGAUCUGCUGGACUGUAUCCAUCUGAAUUUUCAGUACUGCUUAGAUAUGUAUUAGCCAAAUAAUCAGAAAAAUAUAUGGUUCUUUGUUUAACCAAUCUUUGGUUAGAUUUAAGUUAUCUUAAACUAUCUGAAAACUAGGGAUUGCUUAUAAAUUUAUCAGUUUUAUCAAUUGUUCAGUUUAUUUACAGUUAGGCGUAUUUCCUGAAAUAAGAAAAAGUAAUGUAUUAUCUGAGUGUAUUACUUUAUGCAGUAAUUUUAAAUAUGUAGUAGUGGGAAGCAUAGGAACAGAGAAUGUUUACAGUUGAGAGAUGUGGUAUUUUGUCCCAACUCUAUCACUUACUAGCUCUGUGUUCUUGGGCAGGUUAUUUACCUUAUGUCCUAGCCUCUAUUUCUAUGGUAAUGAUGCAUACAUGUAUGUCAUCUUGCAUAGAACCUGACAUGGGGCAGAUACUCAAUAGAAGUAGUUCUAGUACUUAUAGUUAUUAUCUUUAAUAUUAAUUAAAAUUUGUACAAUUAAUUACAUUGUCAGUAAUAAGAGUUUUAAAUGAUUGAGGGCUAAUGAUAUAGAUCAAAUCAGAUGCUUAUGAAUUCUAUAAUGUUUGAAAGUUAUAUAUGAGAGUAUUAACAUCUAAAAUUAAAGAAAAUGAGAAGAUAAUUUGUCUAGAUUCUGUUCUGCCAGUUAACAUAUAACUUUUCUUUCAACAGGCUCAGCACUAUGUAGCUACAACCUAAAGCCUUCUGAAUAUACUACAUCUUCAAAAUCAUCUGUUCUUUGCCCCAAACUUCCAGUUCCAGCGAGGUAAAUUUUAUUGCAAAGUUGUUAACUUGUGACUUGUUUUUAUAGGUAAAUUUCACAUUGUAUGUGUUAUUCUGAGAAAGGAGUUACUUUGAUAACUUGUUCCAUUACUUUUACAACAAAAUUUUAGAAAUAGGAAAAGAUAUAAAAACAUGUAUUUAUCUUUAGAAAAAUGCACACCCAAACAACUUUUCUAGUUCUGUUAUUUUACAUUUCUUUAGAACCUUACUUUUUUUUAAAAUUUUCGUACCAUAAUUUUCAAAUACACAAAACUGCUGAAUCAUUCUCAAAUUUGCAACAGACUUAGAAACCAAGUCUCACAGUCUCCAGAGAUCCUUCGAGGUUAAUCCUAGUAUUACUUCCUGGGAUUGCUUUUUAAUUUACUUUGUAAAUUUAAAAAGCAUGCCAGUGACUAUUCUCCAUACAUUGUUUGAAGUUAUAUCCUUUACAUACGUUCACUGUAUUAGGCUGUUUGCCACGCCUUAUUCAAUAAACAUUUAUUAUUAAGUACCUGCCACAUGUGAUGGAUAUAACAGUGAUCUCACAGUAGUUAAAGUGAAAGUAAAUUUUUAAAUUUAAAGUAGAUGUAAAAAAAAAAAAUUCUCAAGCAUUGUAGACUAUAUCCCCAGAAUUAUGUAUGUACGUUUAUGGAGGUAUAUACAUGUAUGUGUAUAUACACAUAUGUGAACACUUGCAAGUAUGUCUGAUGUUGAGAACCAUAAUGUGAACUGCUGACAGAAUGGCAUGAGAAAACUUCUCUGGGGGGAAACUGACUCUAAGCCACCUUUAUUAUAUCUUAAUAUAUUAUAGGGAACAACUGAGUAAAAAAUUUUGAGAUUUGAAACAUGAAAGCAGAUCAUGUCUACAUUUUUUAGGAAUAUUUAUGGCUAUAACUUGUGCUUUAUUAACUUGAAUUUGAAAUUUUCUGUUAGUAGGAAAGGGAUGUAUCAGUUAAAUUGAUUUCUAGCUCUUUUAGUCUUGUGAAGUUGCUAUUGAAAAUCAAAAUUUAUAGCCUAUAGAUAUAAAAGUAAAGGGACUAUUUUAAGAGAUACUCAGUAAAAGGAACCUAAAAAUUAUGGCCUUAAAGUGACAGGUAAGGAGGUCGAACUCAUAAAAAUUAAGGAUAUGAGGAAGGCUGCCGCAGUGAAGCAAAGGAGAUCCUUUAAAUACAGUUACUGGAGAACAUUUAUUGAUAUAAAAAUAAGAAAAGCCCUAUACACUUAUCUACCUAAUUGCUACAGUUUGUUUUAUCUGUACUUUAAGUAUAGAGUCUUUCUUUCAAGACCAAAACACACUGAGGUAGAAUAAUCAGAAAUCCUGGAUAUGGAAAGAAGGUUGUUCUGCUCCUGGAUCAUUGUGGGAGGGCCAGGAUGGGUGGCUGGGCUCAUACUGCAAAUCCUCCCCCACUUGGAUCUCUGACUCCCCUGUGUUGAGCACUGACUGUUCCUGGUUAUUUCAGAUAUCCCAGUCCUGACUACCCACACACUUCUCACAAUAUCCUCUAGACAUUUACUAGAAGGCAAAGGAUGGUAUCAGGGGUGUUAAGUUUAUAGCUGGAUGGACCUGGCUUCUAACAGGGUCAUUAUGUACCUCACUAAUCUAAGACAAAAUGCUGAACCUGUACUAUCUGCAAACUCACUCCCACUGUGUUCAAAGAUCCUUAUGUUUUACUUAGUACAGUACCUCCCAGUCGAAGUAUCUUAGCACUUUUGUCUGAACUAAGCUUGUUGGAAAGUAAAACAGAAGGAAGACAAAUAGAAGCUUGUAAAUAUAAAAGUUAUUUAGCAUUUGGCAAACAAAGUGAAAGGAUGAGAGAACAAGAUAAAUUUGUUUUAAUAAAAAAAAAAAAUUGGAGACACUACCCCAUUCUCACAUAGCAUUAAGCCACCAAGUCUCCAAAAAUGAGUAAGACCAGAACUCUGACCUUCAAUUCACAGUCUAGUAAUGACUGCAUUUUUGUUAACAUUUUCUAACACCAGGCAAAACUGGUAAGUAGCCCUCAGCAUCUUUCACAUCUCACACAGGAACUUGAACUUUGAGUCUAGAUCAGUAUGGCGGUGAAUAUCACAUCACCAUUUUCUAUUUGUCAUCUCAAACAAGACUCAACCUCUCUAAAAAACCAAGGUUUCUUGUGUGUGAAAUGGGAAUAUUCAUACUUGUUCUAUAGAGUUGAGACUCAAUAAGAUAAUAUACAUAUCUAUUAUUGUGCUUGGCACUUAGCUUAGGAAGUAUCAUUUCUCUCAACUUCCAGAGCCAGCAAUAGCUGGUUUAGAGAACACAACCAUAAACUAAUUUGCAAUGAAAUUCUAAUGAGGCAUAAUAAUCAAAAAAUUAUCAUUCCUAAGAGCAGAUGCCUAGAUAGACCAAUAUUUUAUCCAGAUUCAUAACUCUUUAUUGGUGAAAUGCCAAGCAUGGUAGCAAUAUGAACAAUAGCUAUCCUGUUUAUUUGUGAUGCUAACUGUUGCAAUGCUAACUGUUGCCCACAACCAGAGAAAAACAGCAGAAAUAGAAACAGAGUACAUAAAUUCAGUUUAUUCAUCAUUAGAGUACCUCUGGAUGCCAGAAAGGUUACGAGAUACUAGGGAAUUAAUAAUAUGAUAUGGAAGCGAAAAAUUGACACUCAAGAAAAAAUGUUUUUUCAUAUUUUUAAGUAGAAGAUUCAAGAGUAAGUUAAUAUUUACAAAUCAUCUACUAUGUGCCAGCUAAUAUACUUUCACUAAUAUACUUUCACAUGCAUUAUUUAAUUUAACCCUCACAAAAGCCUUUACAGAUACUGCCCCUAAUUUAUAGAUAAGGAAAUGGAAGAUGAGGCCAAAGCCACUUUUUUUGUUGUUGUUGUUGCUGUAAAUCAGAGUUUGAAUUCAGGAUCUUGUAGCAUCUAUACCAUAGUUAAGUGUGUUUUUUUUUAAAAUUUAUUUUUUAUUUUUUAAGGAGUAGAGGAGUGAAGGAAGGGAAAAAAACAAACAAAAUAGAAAUGUAUGAAAAAUCACUGUUUACUGCCAUUAAAUUCUUAUCUUCUUGACUUAUUUACUUCCUGCCUUUUGUAUUCUAUUAUAGGGAUCUUAAUGGAACCCUUUAUUGGUAUUAUUUCUUAAAUAAAACUUUUAGCUAGAAACCAUGGGUGAUUGCUUAUUUUUAGCCUGAGAUUCUAAAAUAAUUAUAUGAGGUACAACUCCUACCUUCUUUUGUGAAGCAUAUGGACAAGAAAUAGUAGACACUCUUUGUCCUUAUACUUUAGGGAGUUGAUUAUCUGUGAUAAUCUGGUCUUAAAGGCAAAUGGAUGGUAUAUUUGCCACUGUAAGAUACAAUUUGCCCAUGAUGGUUAAUUUUUAAAAAUCUUUAAAAGAUUCAGUAUGAAUUCAUUUUGUUCUUGUUGACUCAUGUUUUAAUAAUGUGAAACAACAUCAGUUCCUAAUGGGACUACAUUGACUUCUUAAACAUUCAAUAGUCUGUGCCUUUGAAAGGUAGAAAAACUUACUGUAAAUAGAAUACUUUAUGCUUUUCCUCUUAAUUAAGAAGCACAAAAUGUGUCAUUUAGGUUAGACUCUAAAGUAGAAAUGAUCUCAAGCACUAAGUUCUCAGCACUAUUAUUUCCUCAGAGGUCCAUGGUAUGAGCUAAUUCAUCUUAAAUUCAUUAAAUCAAAUGGGAUUUAAAUGGUAAAAUAUAAGAGAGACAUUUCAAUGCCAUGAUUACUCACUUUUUUUUUUUUAAUAAGAAAAUAAAUCCAGGGACUGAGGGUGUAGUUCAGUGGUAGCAUAUAUAAGGCCCUGGGUUCAGUUGCCAGCACAGAAAAAAAAAAAAGAAGAAAAAGAAAAAAAUUCUUGUUUCAAAAUCCCAUGGCCUGUAGAGUUGUUUCUUUUUUGGGAAGAAGUGGGAAAAAGAAUGACAAGGGAAUCUGCUGCUUUUUAGCUAAGCAUUUAAUUUUCUUUUUGAACAAUGUGUUCAUAUAUUCUCUUUUAUUUACCUUCAAUUUCUGUUAUUCGUUAGGACUAAGAGCAGAUUUUUACUAUAAAAUAAACAAAGCAGUUAAUCAGCUUGUGCUAAUUUUAUAUCUUUAAACUUAGAGCCGUCAGAUUGAAUUUUAGAGUCAAAGAUUAUUGUUAUUUUGCCCCAAUUCUUUGAAGGAUACUUAAAAAAGCACUCUUUCCAAAAGGUCAAGAGUUUAUAUACAUUUUUAAAAUGACUCAAAAGGAUAAGUUCUGGGCAGAUGUUACUCACCAUUUCCUCCUAAAGGAAAAGAAUUAGGAUUUUGAGAAUGCAGUCCUUCCCUUUCAAAUCAAGGAUCUUCAUCCUGAGUUUGAAAGGCAGAAUAUACUGGCUCUGCUGCUCCUAUAUACUUUUAGAGUCAUUGAUUUGUAGGUGGUCUCUUUUAUGGUGAUGAUCUGAAGAGACUUACAGAGUCCUUACUCCUACCCUUUUAGCAAGCAAAUGGACAAAUGAAGAAGAAAUGGAGUAACACACAGCUCUGCAGUGUUAGGAGAAGGUGGGCUUUUACAGUUAUCUGACAGGAAAAAGGAAAUGAGUGAGUAGGACCAAGAAAAUUAGUGGCAUUGUCAACAAGAAAUAGACAGCAAUAUCCUUAAGGUAGACAUAUUUUAUAUUUGGGGUUGAAGGCAGGUGAGUGAAGCAGAGGCUUCAUCAGAGAUGAUAAGGUAAUAUAGACCGAUGAAGAUUUAGAUAAUUAUGGAGCAGAGAAGAGUUUAGUUUUGAAGAGAGAGACAUGCUUUAAUUAAAAAUAGGGUUAGAGAAGUUCUUAAAGGUGUUAACUUUGCAGAGACAACAUCAGAAAAGAAAGUCGUGUUACAACAAAGUUGUCAGUAAAGACUUCUACCCCAAAUCAGCCUCCAUUAACUGAGAAAUUUAGGGUCCUUUUUGAUUCUUCUAAUUUAAUAUCUUUUUACAUCAUUAGCAAAACAACUUUUGAUCAAAAGACAAUGACUUACCUGCCUGUAAAUCAAACAUUAUACAGAAUGGUCUGGCUUCCUGCAGUUUUUAAUAAAAAGUCAAAUCUUUGGCAUUAACUUUCACUAACACCAUUUUGGAGCUACUCACAAAUCCACAGUCAAGGACAUGAGAUAAUAAAUGAAUAAAUCACAUUGUUACAUCAUCAUUUUUGGAUACAUUUUACUGAAGCAUAACUAAAAUAAGGCUAAAUCUUUCAGUUAUUUUGUUUCAUGAGUAUAAAAGCAUAAGAUAUUUCUUAUUCUUACUACUGGUGGUGCUCACUGUCAUUUAAGAAAAAACGAUAGGUAGUUAUUCUCAUUCUUAUUUGAAAAAUUUUUUUUUAUUUGAGGGAGGAAAGAAACUGUUUUGUUUCAGGUCAGACAAAGUUGUUUUGCUGAGAUUGGAAACCUUGGAAUUUGGUAUCCAACCACAUAAUCAUAUCCACUAAUGGACCCAAAUACAGUGCCAGCCAAGAACGAGAACACAGUUACAUCAUUCUAAUAAAAAAUCUUAUGUCAGACCUGCCAGGGCUAGUUCUAUGAACAAUUCAAAAACUGUGGUUUCAUAUUAAUUAUGGCUGCAUUUUAACUUAAUUCACCCACUAAUGCAUAUCUGUGCACAGACAAUGUACGGGUUCUGUUAGAAUCUUGACAAGUCACAAUGAAGGUGUAUCUAUAGUCCUUUGUUUAAAAUUCUCUCACUGAUUAGAUGUGUAUUGUCCUCUCAGAAGUUGAAGCAGAACCAUGUUAUUACAAACCAGAUUUAUGUCACAGCUCAUGCACAGUUGUUUCUUUACAAGUCAAAGCUGUAGUCCAUGUAAGCUUGGAUUAAAUGUUAACUGAUUAAAUAAUUGGUUGUUUUCACAGUUUUUUGAACACAUAUAAUCUUGAAUUAUUAGUUACAUAUAAAAAGAAAAUAAAAUGGCACAGAAUUCCAGAUGUGUCAGAUAUUUUUCACUUUUAUAAUAUUAUUUUUCUUAUCCCAUUUUUAUUAACUUCAUAACUCUUUUAUGGAGUGAUAUCAUUGUCACUUUAGAUAUAAUUUCCCUUUUGUAUUAUUAAAUUAUAAGCAUUUCUAUACAUUAGCUCCCACUGUUAUUGUUUUGAGUAGCUGCAUAUUAUGCUGUAUGUUGAUAUGUUGGCAUGACUUUGUUUAUAUAAGAGUUACUGAGGGGCCUGGGACUUGGGCUGUAGCUCAAUGGUAGAGUGCUUGCCUAGCACGGUUGAGGCACUGGGUUCAAUCCUCAGCACCACAUAAAAAGUAAAUAAAUAAAAAUAAAGUUAUAAAAAUUAUAUUUAAAAAAGAGUUACUGUGUGCCCUGAACACUUUUAUUAAUCUGAAAUUUUAUAAUGCUAUUUUGUUAGAGAAGACAUUCUAUUAAUGGUGGCACAUUUCAAGUACAAGCAUGUGUGUUUUUUACUUUUAAAUUGCUUAUGGCCAAAAUUCAUUUUCAGUUCAAUGAAAUAUAUGUCUGUAAGCUUUGUCAUCUGCCUCUUGACUGGUAGAUGAGGAGUUUUAAGUGGUUUUGCUUCUGGUAGCUCUGUGUGUGUAUGUGUAUGUGUGCGUUUCUUUUCAGAAGGGGAGGGUAAUGUCUUCUGUUGGAACAUGCACUCCACCCUCUUUGAUAAGGCUUGUGGUAAGAUUGCUUCACUACCCAUAACAGUCAUCUUCAUAGCAUUAAGCACAUAGCUCUUAGCACCCAUAAUGAUGUGUGGAGGGUGGAGUGUAUUGCAGCCAUAUUCACCUUUCAUUUGUGUGUUUGAUGUGGCAUUUAUAUUAAGUAGGAGUAAUUUUUUUUCUGAUUUUUUUUUUCUUGUGUCACCAGUGCACCUAUUCCAUUCUUCCAUCGCUGUGCUCCUGUGAACAUUUCCUGCUAUGCCAAGUUUGCAGAGGCCCUGAUCACCUUUGUCAGUGACAAUAGUGUCUUACACAGGCUGAUUAGUGGAGUAAUGACCAGCAAAGAAAUUAUAUUGGGACUUUGCUUGUUAUCACUAGGUAAUUGUUUUUCUCAUUAUUAGCUAUUGCAUAAUACUGCAGUAGAAGACUGUUCUUUUAGCCAAAAUAUGAAUACAACUGGGGAUACUUGUAAAAUGUUUCACUUCCCAUAAUCAAAAUAAUUGUUUCAGAUUAUAUAUAAUUAUAAACAUGUACAUAAAACUAUGUAUACAUGUAUAUAUAUAUCUGAAACUUAUUUCCCUUUUUUUCUUUCUUUGGGGAAAACUUAUUUUUCCAAACUUCGGUGACUCAGUCUAUGACUACCUUUAAUAUGAUAGCAGGAGGCUUCUUUUAAUGAAUCAACAACCCUAUGUUUUUGGUUAUGAUUCUAAAAGGUCUAUUUAUUUAUAAAGAGGCCACCUGUUCUCUUAUAUAUUUACAUCUAAGAAUAUAGAUUUCUUACUUUUGAAGUAUGUGAUUUACUUUUCAUUGCUACAGCUCAUAGUAUCAUUAUUGCUGGAAAAACUAGGAAAUCUCCACUCGUUAGCCACUGAGUUUCUAUCAAUAAAUAGAUAAUAUAAUUAACUAAAAAUUUCAUUUUCAAGGUGAAAGCUCACUAUAUUAGUCUAGAACUAUAUGAGGGCGUAUUGGAGUUUAUAGACCUUAAUAGUUGAGAGAAAUAACUGGUAGGAACCAACUGUUUCAUUAUGUAAGUUAAAUUAGUAUUGAUGCCUGUUAAUAACAAUGGUCACUGAGAAGACAAAUUAUAUUUCCUUCUUCCCUGUCAUUAGAGAGUUUUUCUUUUUGCUUAGGUAGUACUUGACUCAAUUGUAAUAAUGCUUUCCAUAUGAAAAUCUAAUUCUGUGGUAUUUGAAGGGCUCCCAUCUGUAUUUCGUUCCUGUAUAUUUAUUACAAAAGUGAGUACCUUAAUAAUAGUUCUAGACAGAGAUCCUAACCAUUUAUUUGGGUUUACAAAUGGCCCAAAGAAGCUUGACAAUUAGUGUAACUUUAUGUAAAAAAUACCUGGUUUCUAAAACAACUGAAUUCAUAAAACCAAAAGUAAAAUCCGAAUCUUAAAAAUAGUGACAAUAAUAUUGUGAAGCAUCAGAAUUCCAUUUUUUAUUAGAAUGAUUAUCUUUGGAGACUUAAUAACAUCAUAUAAACCCAAAAUACCUUUGCUCAUUUGUUUGUAGAUCAUUAAAGAUAUACAAAUUAUUAUUUCAGAAAUAUAUUUCCUUUUCAAGGGUUAAAUCAUCCCUUUCUUUUUUGAGAAUUCUACCUAUGAUUUUAGCACAUUGGGAGUUUGGGACAGAUAAAGGGGUUGGCUAAGUGACUCAAACUAAACUUUGCUCAUUUUUGAGGACAGACUUUUAAUCAGUUGAGAAAUGAGGUCAGAGGGAUUUUGGUCUCAUUAGUCUUCAGGAUAUUAUCCUGUAGGGUCAUACUCUCCCUUGGAGCUCUGGAGUUAAAGAUAAAAUGCCAGAUAAAGAUAAAAUGCCAUGUAGUAUUAACUGACCAUCAGAGAAGUUGGUCCUAAAAUGCACACAUCACUCAAGGCAGUAUAGCACUAACUUAACUGAUUUCUGUCUACAUGUGAUAAUUUUUCUUGUCACCAACAUGACAUGUCAUUCUCUACACUUUGUCUGCUGGCAUGUAUGUCUGCAUGUCUGAUGUUUUCCUCCUGGUGAGUCCACAACAGUCUUGUGCUGUUUUUGAGUCACCAAUUGCAUUUGCAUGAAUUCUUUUCUGUAGUUUAUAAACCCACACAGUUAGGUGCCUUUGGUUUCAAAUGAUGCUAUUUAAGUGGUACAAGUAGCAAAAUCAAAAUGCAAGAGCAGCCAGUUUCCUUUCUUACCUAAAUUGUGGUCAUGAAGUAGUCAAUAGCUACAGAUUAUUUCCCUGGGGUGGGGGGGAACAACAAUUAAAAAGCCUUCUCUUUAUAUUCUAUGUUGUCAAGUAAUAUUCUGCAUGUUCUCUAUUUAUCUUUCCUGCAGUUCUAUCCAUGAUUUUGAUGGUGAUAAUCAGGUAUAUAUCAAGAGUACUUGUGUGGAUCUUAACAAUUCUGGUCAUACUGGGGUCACUUGGUAAGUUAUUUAUUUUAUUGUUUUCAUGGUACCUCACUAAUUCCAUGAUAGCAAAUGGAAAUAUAAAGAAAAAAAUAGAAAUUUUAUUUCUACAGGCUAUAUCUUCUUAAAGCUUUUUUUUUUUUUUUUUUGCCUUAAGAAUUUCAUAACUAUCAGGGGUUGGGGGGCUGGGGUUGUGGCUCAGUGGUAGACCGCUUGCUUUGCACGUGUGAAGCACUGGGUUUGAUCCUCAGCACCACAUAAAAAUAAAUAAACAAAAUAAAGAUAUCUACAACUAAAAAAAUUUUUUUUAAAGAAUUUCAUAACUAUAUUCCCCUCUUUUUCACUGCUGUUACCAUUUGAAGUCUAGAACUUUCUCCUAUGUAUGUAUGUAUAGGUAGAUAUAAAUGUGUAUACACACACACACACACACACACACACAUCAUUUAGGUAAAACUUUUUAGCUGAACAUGAAACUCGAACUUUUAGUAAAAAUAUCUGCCCUCAUUUACAUUUAUAAUCCUAACUGCUAUCUUUGGUUUUACUGUUGUCAUCUGUUUUAUGUUUUACUGAAAUUUAUGCUUUCUUAUUUUGUUUUUUCCAUCUUUGCUAUAUGACUGUAUUUUCUCUGAUUAACUUCACCCUUGCUUUGGGUGAUAUGUUUUAUAUUUUUAUAUUUUUUCUUCUAUGAUUGGUAACAUGUGCUUUCAGAAAAAUACUAUGUAAUCAAGAAAUCUAUGAUUACUAAAGGCUAAAAUGUCACAUGUUGAGUUUUUCCCUGCCUUUUUAAAAUUUAACAUAAACUUUUCUUCCUUGUAUCCCCUACUCCCUUCUACUUAUGCCUACUUUUUAGCCUUGUCAAGUAAUCUGAGCUUUUGUAUUCAAGUUAUUAUUACAGUUAAAAUAUUAUUUUCACCAUUUUUAUCUUAAAAAAUUGUUUACAUUUGCAUUGAAAAGUUUCAGAAAUAUAUUCAUAUUUAAGUCUUCCUGGACUAGUUUUAGGAACUACUGGUCCUGUUUGCAUACACCUUAAUUCUUGGAUUCUUAACUUUUAAUUCAUCUUUAUAUUGACUGGAAUUCAAGUAAUCUAUUUAUGGAGGACUUGUGGGCUAUGUAUGUUCUCAGUUCUUGUUUCUUUAAGAUUGCCUUUUCCUUCACAUGUGAAUUUUGAGUUUGUUUGGUGUAAAAUUCUUCAGGCACAAUAUUGUAUCUGUACUUUUAUUUCAGAAACGAACUCAGAGACCAGUCUAAUUUUUUUUCCUUUACUCAUUGCAGGCUUCACCUACCUAGAUGUUUAUUUGAUUUUAAUGUAGCCUUAUAAUUUAAAGAUGGUUCUGAUCCUGGAUCUCAAGAUUAUCCAUAAUCUUUUGGGGGAGGAUCUUUUUCCAAUCUGAAAUUUUUUCUUCAUCUCUAUAUUUGAUUACCAUUUUUGUUUCAGUGUCUUUUUUCUUAAAGUAGUUGUUAUUCUUCAACUAUUGUCUUCCAUAUUAUCAUUUCAAUGUUUUUAUCAUAUUCUUUUAUAUUCAGGAGAGUUCUUCAAGUUUGUUUUCACAUUACUGACUUAGUUUUCCACAUUAUCAGUUCUGUCCCUGGCUUCCUACAAUGAGGAUCUGAAUUUUGUUGUCCCAGUUUUGUUGUAUUUGUAGUUCUUCCAUCUCUACCACAUUUGUUUUCAUUUCUGUUUAUAGCUGUAGUAUCUAAUUCUGUGUUUACAUGAACAGGUUUUAUAAUAAAUCUUAAUUUUGAAUCAUAACUCUGCCAUUUCCUACAUACGUAACAUUUGGCACAUUAUUUAACUUUACUAGAUUUCAGUUUCAUCAUUUGUAGACUUAAUAAUAACUACUUAACAGUACUGUGGUUAAAUAAGGUGAUAGCCAUAAAGUGAUUAGCUCACAUUAUAGCACCAAUCUAAGCAUUUGGUGAACAUCCCCAUGGCUGUAGUGAUCAACGUCCCCAUCCUCCUUGACAUAAUCAUCAUUAUCUCAUCUGUUUUCCUUGAACUUCAGCUUUCCCCAUAACUUUUUAUUUCAGUUUAUAGAGAACACAUUUCCUUCCAUUUUUUGAAUAUGUUACAUAGUUUUCCAAACAAUUUUCUUGAAUCUGCAGGAUUUCAGACAGGAAGAAAUUUUUUUCACAGACUCCUAAUUGUUUUGAAUUCUUUAUAUCUUCGACAGAAGAAAAGUUCAUGCUUGGUAUUUGUCAACAGGACAUGGGUUUUCCCUUUGACCUAUUAAUUAUUUAUGUAAAUCCAGAUGCAGGAAGGUCGAUGUGCAUGGAGCUUAGCCCAGUUUUUUUGUAUCUCCUUGGCAUUUAUCUUAUCCAAUGUAAGCUCACAGCUCUGCACUAAAUCUUCCUUCCUAAUUGUGGCCUACAAGGCCUUUCAGGGUGGUACAGUUCUCUGCCACCUCUUUGCCCACACCUCUAGCACUUUCCCCCUUGCUCACUGCAGAUGUCACAGUGGUCUCCUCCUUUCUCUAUACUAGCCAUGGUCCCACCUCAGAGUCCUAGAACUUUGCCUGUCACAUUUUUUCCUUAGAUAAGUUCAUAGAUUGUGCUCUCUCUCUCUCCUCAGGCUUUCAAUUCUCUUACACAGACAUCACCUUCCAGUGAGACCUUGCUUACCAGUGUUAUAUAAAAUUGCAAUGCCCUCCCAACACAAGCACUAUCCUUCUUACCAAAUUUUUUCCCUUAGACUCAAUAUACUGUGUUAUCACUUGUUUCCUUAUGUUUUGUUUCCCUGUUACUAUAUAAGCUCAUGAGCAAUGAGAGUGGAGACUUGGUUUUAUUUACUCCUCCAUCCCCAGAUAGAACAGUAAGUGCUUUAGGCUCUCAAAAUAUCUGCUGAAUGGAUUGAAUGAUGGUAUAUAAUUCAGCUUUCUUAUAUAGAGUUGGGCUUGCCUCCCCCUUCAGUCUGGUUCUCUGAACUAUGAGACAGCAUUGGAGAUGAAAUAAAUACUUAUCCCUGACUCCCACUGCUAUCAGAUAUUUCCUGUUUUUGCCUUUAUCCUUGGUAGGAACUAUUCCUUUGAUCUUCAUUUAUUCAUUGUGCAAACAUUGACACAGAAUCAGUGGUAUGACUAUGUAUCUAUCGGCACUAGGCACGAGGGUUACUAUUUACUUUCAGAGGUACCUGUUAACUGGCUGUCUCUCAGCUUCAAAGUCAAUGAUAAAUAUAUGUGGAGUUAGUUUAUUUGAUACACUGAAAGAUUUGUAAAUGCUUAAUGUGAAAGACAAUCAUGGAAUAAUUGGUAUUUCCCUAAAGCUGGCAAAAAGUGAGAGCCAUAUACUUCCCUGUUUAAUGAUUUGCCAUAGCAUCAGUGCCAUGAUGAUAUGCAGGAAAGGUCCAGAAUAUUGAGGAUUUAUGUCACAGAUUUUCUUUUGCUCAUUAUUGCAAAAACAAUUUUUUUUUUUCUCCAGGUGGCACAGGUGUACUAUGGUGGCUGUAUGCAAAACAAAAAAGGUCUCCCAAAGAAACUGUUAUUCCUGAACAGCUUCAGAUAGCUGAAGACAAUCUUCGGGCACUCCUCAUCUACGCCAUUUCAGCUACAGUGUUCACCGUGAGUACAGGCUCAGGUGUAUCUUUCAGUUCUGUUUUUAAUAGCAGGUGAUCAUCAAUGAAGCAGAAACUCACCUCUAGCCUUUGCAGUCCUAACCCUGAUUGCCAUUAGAUGAAACUUUUGUCCCACAGUAUACAAAAUGCUUUCAAGUCUGCCGGAGGCUUCCUUAAUUAACGAAUGCUCUUUUGAUCAACAUUUUGCUCUAUCCUGUCUGCUUUUUGAGAGAUUUCCACUUGGAAUUUUUACAUUAUCACUUACUAAGAAUAUAUUUAUUAUAGUCAUAAUAUACUUUCUAAAAACCAAUUCUCUUAAUGGUGUAAUAGUAUGUUGAGAAAUAUAUCACUAUUUACUUGUUCAUGAAUUAUUUUCCCAUUUUUUUCCUUUCAAACCUAUCUUUUAAUGAUGUAUAUUAUAUCAAAAAUAUAGGUGAGAUUCACUGCUCAGGUGUUACAUAGUAAAAUUAUAAAUUAUCAUGUGGUUAAAUAAUCUGUCUUGUAUCUUUAGUUCACUGUUAUCUCCUUUCUGAAGAAAGGGGUGGGGGCAAUCUAUCCAUUUCUAGGAGCAAUCCCAAGCAUUUUAUGAGCAUCAAAAAAAAUAAAUAAAUAAAGCCACCAUAGAACUGUUGUACCAAAAGAUAACUUUGUAAUCAUGAGUUAAGUACAGUUCUGUAUGCGAGCUACUAGGGGUAGGGAUAGGAGGGGAGGGAGGCAAAGGGUGAAUCUGCUGGGACUCCACUUUUAUGGAACUCUUGGUCCAGUAACAGACAUGAGAUACAAAUAAAUAUCUCCCAGACUUUUAGGGUGAUGGCAUAUUGUCCUCUCACCCUUUUUCAGAGUGACAAGAAUAUACCUAUUCAAAUGAAGAGUCUCAUCUUGACUGAUAAAUAAACCCAUUUUGAUGGUAAUGAAGGGUAAAGGGAAAGGUAGAGGAACUCUUGGCUUUAAUAAAUUGAGAAACUUCCUAUGGUUAGCUUUAAAGGACACUUUGUAACCAUAAUACAAUUGAGAACCAUUACAACUUCAAAAAGAGAUCCCAAUUUAAAGUGUUCUUGGGAUUCAGAAAAUGAUACUUCCAGGUUUAGGAUUAAUGAUACUCCCAGGGUUAAACUAAACAUUUCUACCACUUUCCAUUUGUUUCCACUGCAAAAUAGUAACUGGACCUUUCCCUCCCUUCUUCCCAUUCAGGUUAUCUUGUUCCUGAUAAUGCUGGUUAUGCGGAAACGUGUUGCUCUCACCAUCGCCUUGUUCCACGUGGCUGGCAAGGUCUUCAUUCACCUGCCCCUACUGGUCUUCCAGCCCUUUUGGACUUUCUUUGCUCUUGUCUUGUUUUGGGCAUACUGGAUCAUGACACUUCUUUUUCUUGGCACCACUGGUAAGAAGAUGUGUUGCUUCUUUCUCUUAGAGAUAAAUCUAAUUUGCAUUCAAAUAUUCUAAAACAUCAGAUUGAGAUGGGGGUGUAGCUCAGUGAUGGAGCAUUUUCCUUGCCUGUGUCCAGCCCUGGGGAUUCAAUCCCCAGCAAAACACACACACACACACACACACACACAAAAUCAGAGAGAGGACUAUUUGUAAGUUUGCUGUUAAAGGUCCAAUAACCAAUAGCAGUGGUAUAGGUCUUCAGUAAUCUACUUCUUAUUUGUGGUUUUUAGAGCAUACUAGCAGUGUGGGUCUAGACCAGGUAAAGUAUAAAAUUGCAGCUUAGUUUUAAGAUGCUCAAGGAUUUGAAGUGAGUUCCAUACUGGCUUAGCUAUCUGGAUCCAUUCUGAAACAAAUUAAUGAGUGUAGCACCUCUCUAGAGUUGCUUAAAAGCCCAGUUAGUGCCAAAGACCAACUUGCUCUUUGAGAUUUCCAACUUUGGAAAUAUCCUGAAUCUAACUAGGGCUCCUGCAGAUGAUACGGUUCAUAGUUAGACUCUCCGACUUACUGGUAGCUUUAUUUAAUAUCAAAGGCUAAACCUACAAAGAAUUAAUUAUGAGGAGCAGUGUGGGGAUAAUAAACUUGUGUGCAACUUCUCUUUUCAUUCACCACAAGGAAUAUAAUCUUAAUUUCUAAACAGUUAAUAAUUUAGAUCUAUAACUACUAUAAAAGUCCUAGCUCUGAUAACAUUUGAAGUGUUUGAAAAUUCAUGCCUAAAUAACAGAUAAUGUAAUAAAUAACAACUAUAUUCAAAUAGAACAACUUUGAAAAGCUUUAUAUGAUACCUUUGAGGAAAUCAAAAUGCUUAAUUAUGUGUUUAAUUUCACAUAAUUAACCCUUUUAAAGGAUCGUUACUUUUGUCUCUUAAUGAAAUAGCAGUAGAAGCAUGAAGUUUGUGGAUUACGGGUAGGGAUCUAUUGUUGGAAAUGAGAUAAACUUAUAUUUAAUAGCCACAUUUUUUGGUUUGUACUUUAUAUGCCGCCUUUUUCCUUCCUUGACAUUUUCCCAGGCAGUGCUGUUCAGAACGAACAAGGCUUUGUGGAGUUCAGAAUUUCUGGGCCUCUGCAGUACAUGUGGUGGUACCAUGUGGUGGGCCUGAUUUGGAUCAGUGAAUUUAUUCUAGCAUGUCAGCAAAUGACUGUGGCAGGAGCUGUGGUGACAUACUAUUUUACUAGGUGAGAAUUUGUGCUUGGAAAACUUGGGUUCACCUAAGUGCUCAUGUCUGCGGUGGGGAGGAAAAGGGAACAGGGCUACUUUCACUUCUUUAAAAAAAGUAACUGGAAAUGAAUAUGACAGUGUUGUAGCUGAUAAUUCUGGGAGGUAGGAAAGUAGAAGGCUAUUAUUUUAUUUUUUACCCUUUUCUAUAAUUGUCUCUUUAUCAGAAUAGCAGGUCAGGAUAUAAUUUAGUUUAAAAAAAAGUGAACUUUGUAAUAAUACCAAAUGUACUUUUGUUUUAUAUAAAUGUCCACCAAAGGACUUGUAAUUUGUUUGAGUCAGAAGUGUUGUGAGUCCCCUUUGCUGACUUCAGAGCUGAGUAUUAAAGCUAUAAUCUUCACAGUUUUUUAUUAAAAUGAGGUACCAGAUCUAUGUUAAACAUCUUUUUAAAUUCCAUUUUCUUAUUAUAUAAUUAACUCCUUCAGAAUUCAUUAAUAAAAGCUUUGAAAGCAUAGUUUUAUUUAACUUAAAGUCAUAGAGCAUAAGAACCACAUGAAACUAGCAUAGGGAAAUGAAACAUUAAUUUUACGUGAUGUAUCCAUAGCAUUUGCAUUAGGAAAAUAUUACUUUGCCAUUUUGUCAUAAAGCUGGAAUAAGAAUAAUGAACUGACUUUUCACUGCAUUGAGCUUCAAACCAUGCUUGUGUUUUCACCCUGGUCUGAGCCUUGUUUUAAUUAUUUUUUUGGUCAUUAAAAUAGGGAUAAAAGGAACUUGCCAUUUACACCUAUUCUGGCAUCAGUGAAUCGCCUUAUCCGUUAUCACCUGGGUACUGUGGCAAAAGGAUCUUUCAUUAUUACACUAGUCAAAAUUCCACGAAUGAUCCUUAUGUACAUUCACAGUCAGCUGAAAGGAAAGGUAAGGGGAAAAUGUUUUUUCUAUGGGGAUGUGCCGCACUUAACCUCUCCAGUUAAAGCACCCAGCAAUGCUAAAAGUUGUGUGUGACUGUUUUCUUCAGAGUCUUCACACAGUGGAAUCUAGUUCUUCCUCCUUGUUUCCCUUCAUGCACUCUGUAUGCUCUGGCAGAAUUCAUCAAAUCACUGGUCAUCAAGCGCAUCCUGUGCUUCUCUUGUGUUGACUCAUUCACUUUCCUCCUUAGAUCUUCUUCCCUAUCCGUUUUUUUGUUUUUUUUUGGUACCAGAUAUUGAAUUCAGGGGCACUCAACCACUGAGCCACAUCCCCAGCCAUAUUUUGUAUUUUAUUUAGAGACAGGGUCUCACUGAGUUGCUUAGCACCUUGCUUUUGCUGAAGCUGGCUUUGAACUUAUGACCUUCCUGCCUCAGCCUCCUAAGCCACUGGGAUGACAAGUGUACAACACCGUGCCUGGCUCCCAGCCCUUUGAUUUGUUUGUUUGUUUGUUAGUUUGUUUUUGAGAUAGUAUCUUGCUAAAUUGUUUAAGAUAUUGACAAGUUACUGAGGCUGGCUUCGAACUUGGAAUUCUCCUGACUCAGCCUUCCAAGCCACCAGGAUUACAGGUCCUGUUUUUCUUUUUAAUUUUUUUAUGAGGUGUAUAGUGUGAUCCUUUGAUACAUUUAUACAUUGUGUAAUAUGCAUGUCCAUGUGUUCAGCAUAUUUGUCACCUCAUAUGUUUAUUGUGUAGUAAGAACUUUCAAAAUCAUCUCUUCUAGCUGUUUUGAAAUAUCCCAUAUGAUAUUGUUAACUAUAGUCUCCCUGCUAUAUAGUAGAACACUAGGAGCUGGUCCUUCUAUCCAACAGUAACUUUACACCUACUGAUCAACUCUACUAGAAGGAAACAGGAGAUGCCCAUGACAUUGGUUUCUGGGCAAGAAUUUGUUAGAUAAGGCCCCAAAAGCAAAAAUUAACAAAUGGGAUUACCACAAACUACAAAAGCUUCUGCACAGCAAAGGAAACACAAUAGAAUGAAGAGACAGUCUACAGAAUAGAAUGAAAUAUUUGCAAACUAUACAUCUGACAAUGGGUUAAUAUCCAGAAUAUAUAAGGAAUUCCCUGUCAUUAACUGAGAAAAUAGCAUGCAAUUCAACAUAGUUUUGCUCAAAUGCUACCUCUCCCUGGAAACCUUUCCUGAUUCUCUCCAUCUCCCAUGCAAUAUUCAUAUUCCACCCCCCCCCUCUUCAUUUUCCACUGUAACACUUAGUAUUUUUACCAUAUUCUGUUUCUAACCUUAUAUGCUUAGUGUUUUCUUCUCCUGGUAGAUUGUAAGUCCCUGGUAGCUUUCCAUACCUCACUGUAUCAUAUAUGCAAUGAGGACUACAAGAAUGUUGAAUUAAUUAAAAACAAUUCAGCCAUUCUGUUUUCAAGAAGAUAAGGGUAGAUGUGGAGGUUUUGAAGUUAAUUUGUAAUUCUUAAAUUUUAUUUACAUUUAUUUUUCUAACAUUUGAAGUCUUCUAUAUGAUGGUUUGGUUGUUUUAUUUUUUUAAUUAUUUCACUUUUUUCCCUCUGUCCAGGAAAAUGCUUGUGCACGAUGUAUACUGAAGUCUUGCAUUUGUUGCCUUUGGUGUCUUGAAAAGUGCCUAAAUUAUUUAAAUCAGGUAAAAUAUUUUAAAUCUUUCACUUUCAAAAGUAGAUUGUUGUUUCUGCUCCCAAGAUUAAAUGAUUGAGCUUAACUGAAAGAUGUUGUUUUUUUGUGGUAUUAUAUUGUACAUGUUACUUGAUCAAAUAUAGACAUACUUGAAUCCUGUUCUUCUUUUUUACAUUACUAUGUGUUCUUACCAGGUUCAUUAUUAUAUUAAUCUUAAUUUCAUUUAUGAAUAAAAUGUCAUUAAGGUUUUUUUCUGAGACAUUUAUCUCUUAACAAUUCACAUGCUUUUUAAAUAUUAUCUAAGAAUCUUUACUCUGUCAUUCUUGAAUUAUUUUAAAUGUUGUUUGAAAGCUUUAGUUUAGUGUAAAGCUAUUGAGGCAUUUGUUUCUUUUUUGCAAUUAUCUACUAUCAUUCAAAACCAGUGUGUUGUCUGUUGCUCCUUUUUUUUUUUUUUUUGGUUCCAACUGCUAAGCACUGUGAUGUUUACCAGAGAAAUAUUAUCAAAGAAGUGCUGUUUCUAAGGUUGAGUGGAAUUGAUACAUAUGGGACACUUAUAGUUCUUGGGAGAGUAGGUUGACUCUCUGUCAUUCUAUAUUUGAGCAUGUAGGAUUAGCUGUGGAAUACUCCCCUUUCCCUCCCUCCCUGUCUCUCUCUCUCUGUCUCUUUCCCAUUCCCUAAAAAUCAAUUCUAAUGUAUUGAUGCCCUCAUCUAAUAAGCCAAAGACAAAAUUGACUUUCUCACCAUUUACCUCUAAUGAUUGAUUUUCCCACCACUUAGCUCUAGCAUUGCACUUUCUAUUCACUCCAGGAUAGCUGAAAGGAUGCCAAUCCUGGAGCCCUGGUAUUGAGCAUGCCUGGACUUUGCUUUAUUGGGCUGUAUGGUUAAUACAAGAACAUAGGUAUGACAUUUUAUUAGCAAAAUACAUAUUUUCUAUGGAUAAACAAGAGUUUGGAAUCUCAUUUUAAAAUAAUAGUAACACCCAUAACAACCUGAAAAAUUAUUCUUUGAAGUUUGGUUUGAGGCCAAGUUAUCCUUAUCAAAAAGUUGAUAGAUUCACUAAAAAUCAUCAUCACUACAUUUUAUAUCUGUCUUACCCUCAGAGAGGCCAAUUCCUGCCUCCUUGGCUCAGUUCCUACUACCUUUCCCAGGCACCCUUUGCUUUCGCAGUUUCCCAGAUGUGCCUGGAAUGAAUUCCUUCCAACAGCUGAUCAGCUCCUACUGAGCUUUAAUGACUAUGCCUGAGCAACACCUCCAAGAAGCUUUCCCUCAUCACCCAGCCCCUCCACAGCUUCCAAGACACCAGUUCAACCCCAUGAAAAUACUGGGAAAUUAGAAUUAUCUGUUCCUUCUUUAUUGUCACUUUAGACUUUCAUCUCCUUAAAGGCAGGAAUCUUAUUUUUUUAUCUUCCCAGAAGCUAACACAGUUCCUGGUACACAGUUCCUGGUCUUUGUUUUCUGAAUGAAUUAUGAGUUUUACUAGUGAAUAUUUGGUUUCAAAAAGACUAACAGGGUGACACAAAACUACAAAUAAGAAUCUCAAAAGGAGAUAUGCAGUUAUACUGAAGGAAGGAAACGUAACAUCAAGCUAAUCAGUAACCAGAUAGAUAAAAGAAUUUAGAGUUUCCAGCAUAUCUCUAAGCUAAAGGUUAGUCGCUGACUUAGUACUGAAGUCUUAUGAGGCUGGUCUUUCUUGUACCAGUUUUGUCCAUUUUGGAUCUUCAUUUUGUAGGUAUGAUGUUUGAGGUUUGAAAGGAAGCAUUGAAAUAGUAAUCAAACAAUGAUUUAGGGAGAAUUCCGAACUCUUAGUAGUUCUUUUGGGGAACAUGAAAUACUACAGUGUGGGGACUGCUCAUAAGAAAGGUUUCAUUCAAAAUGUGGUCAAUAUAUUAGAAAACUUCCUGCCACAACAGGUUGAGAGCAUAGAAAUGAGUUGCCCAUAGAAUGUUUUAAACCACCUUUCUAUGAAAUGUUUCCCAGCUAGGUGAGCAUCCACCAGCUAACUUUAUUAAGUGUUUGCCGUGUGCCGGGUUCUGUGCCUUAUGCUCCACAUGCAGCAUCUCCCGUUUAGAAUUCUGUUUUGUUUUUGGAAGAUGAGUAAUGAUGAGUUAAUGUCCCUUCAUGUUUCCUCCUGUCCUCUCUUUUGCUGUGUCUUCUGAGGCUUUCAGAAGGCUUGAGCGGGUGAAAAUCCAGACACAUGCAAGGCCUAGUUGAGGUAAUAUCAUGGACGAAACAGGCAGAGAUCUAAGAUAAUGGAGUUGGCUAGAGACCGUGGUUAAUUGGAGAGCUCAUGUUCCCUCUGAGGUAGACAAUCAAUGCACCAGUCUCACAGACUGCGGCAAUGUGAGAAUUUAUAGACAAUUUAUUUCUUUUCUAAUAUUUUUAGAAUUCCAAAAGUCUAUGUUUUGCCUCCUGCUAUUAAAAUGUUGAUAAAAAACAAACUGAGGGCACCAGAGUAAAUAGAUGUUAGGGCUACACAAUAUGUGUUAUCCAGGGGCCACCAGUUCGCUGCCACUGCUUUAGAGAGUUUACAGGAUAGUCGUAGAGAAGAGUGUUGAUAGGCCUUUUGUUGUUUAUAAUAAAGGUGCUAGAUUUUGCAAACACAGAGUGAACUGUGAACUGCUCUUUGUUCUGCAGGUGCAUAAUAUGACACAAAAGUGAUGAUAUAUCUAGUCUAACAGAAUUCACUUUAGGUAGAGAGAUUGUUACAACCAUAAUGUGUUUUUUUCUGGGCAUUGGAUCACGCAGGCCUUGUUUUAUUUUGCCAUUUGUAGAUAGUACCUUCAACAUUGGAGGGUAUCUAUUCUCUCACUUAUGAGCUCUUAAUUUUAUAAAGCUUUUCUCUACAUAGUGUAGAGCAGGAGUUACAGAGAAUGUGUUUUUAGUAGACUGCAUACCUGGUGCUACACUAAAUACUUUAUAAUACAUUAUCAAUUUCCACAACUCUGUGAGGCAGGCAUUAUUUCCUUUAUCAUACAUGGGAAAAUUAAAACAGGCAUCUUGUAACAGAUCACAUGACCUAGAGGUAGAGGAAGUUUCAAAUCCAAGUUUGCAGUUCUUUCCUUUAUGUCACACUGCCUUCCACCUUUAUGCACCUUUAUGUAUACACACACACACACACACACACACAAGUUCAGCAUAGAGAAUAUCCAAACUUUCAUCAAUUUUCAUAUCAAAUUUUCAUGUUUCAAACUGAGACAAGUAAUGAAUUUAAAGAACAUUUAAUUAAGGUUUGUAUUUUAGUUAGCUUUUUCAUCACUGUGACCAAAAGACCUGAUAAGAACCAUUUAGGAAAAGAAAAGUUAAUUUUGGCUCACAAUUUCAGAGGUUCAGUUCAUCAUCAGCUGACUCCAUAGCUCUGGGCACAAGGUGAGGUAGAACAUCAUGGCGGAAGGGUGUAGUAGAAGAGCGCUGGUCAGUUUAUGACAGCUGGGAAGCAGAGAGAGCUCCACUCACCAGAGACAAAAUAUAAACCCCAAAGGCGUGCCACUCCCCCAACCUACUUCCUUUAGCCACACCCUAUCAACUACAGUUACCACCAGUUAAUCCUUAUCAGUGCAUUAAUCCACUGAUCAGGUUACACCUGUAAUCAUCUAAUCAUUUCACCUUUGAAAAUUCUUGCAUUUUCUCACACAUGAGCUUUUGGGAGAAUACCUCAUAUCUAUAAGUGAUAACAUACUUUUGGCAACAUACUUUUAAUUCUCAUGAUCUUUAAAAAGGUCUAAGAACUUUUUUAAAGUCUAAGAAUUUGAACAAAACUUUUAUUAAACCCUUUGGUGUGGGCUUGCUGUCAUACCCUAUUUCAGUCCAUUUGGGCUCCAGUAACAAAAUAUCGUGAACUAAAUAUUUUGUCUACAACAGAAACAUGUUCCUCACAGGUUGAGAAACUGAGAAGUCUAAGAUCAGGGCAGUGGCUGAUUUGGUGCCCUAUGAGACCAAUUUCCUGGUUCAUAUAUUCCACCUUCUGGCUGUGUCCACACAUCGUGGAAGAAACAAGACAGCUCUCUAAGGCCUCUUUUCUGAGGGUGUUAAUCCCAUUGGUUCACCUUUACCUUCCAGUGCCAUCACUUUGAUGAUUAGGUUUCAACUUAUGAAGAGUUUAGGGGAGAGCUCAGGUGUUCAGACCAUAACAUGGCCCUCCAUCCCUGGUUCCAAAUAAGAAAGGAAUGUUUGUAGUUCACUUUCCUCAAUUUAUAAGAAUCCACAUAGGAGUUGCCCAUAUUGUAUUCUCCUUUUCUUACCACUGCUGUCCAACUUUCCCCUCUAAAGGGAGUCAUUAUGUAAGUAUUUUAAACUUUAAGAGAGUUUCUGUGUCCUUCAGUGAUGAAAGAAAAGGUGUGGAAAUUGUGCUCUGGGACAGGUGUCCAAUAGUCUUGAUUAUCUGCAUGGAGACCCUUUGCCUCAACAAUUUUUUCCACAAAACCAUAACUUUUCCUCUAAACUUUGUCAUGCAAAAAUACUACCAGGGGUCACUGGGGAUCAUGCAUUCUUUUUAAAAAGAUUCCUGGAUGAUGGUCAUCCUUUAUCUCACUUCUGGGAUUUGGGUGAUCUCAAGCCUGAGUGCUGCCUGAGAAGAUCUUUGGUGUGGGCUAAAUGUUGAGCUGAUGCUUCUCAGGAGCAGUUUAGCUCAGGUUAAGGAAGGCUGCUGAGAAAAUAGGUGGACUAUCAAAAAAUAGUCUGCAGAAAGCUCAGAGAACAGUUAUCAGGGAAAACCACUCAGAACUUCUUGAGAACCUUAGCCUGAACCCUUUUAGACUAGGAGGUAUAGAAACAGAGAAAUUUCUUUGUCCUGCUUGUGAUCUGUAGCACAUUUUUCUUCCUGAAGAGAUCAUCUUGACUUUUGUGUAUUUCACACAGCUCAUCUUCCUGCCCUGGGAGUAAGUGAAAGAACUAGCAAAAUAAUUACUGACUUUUUUUUCAGUUAGGUGGUGCACAGAAUGGCAGAAUUAAUGCCAAUAUGGUUAAAUUCCUGUAAGAGUAUCCUACCCUGGAACUUGCGGGUAGAGAAAAGGCAUUAUGGAAGCUUCCUUCCUGUCUACAAAUAAAUAGGCUUCUGCUCCAAAAACAGAUAGGAUUCAGCAGGAUGCGGGGGAAAGAAAGAAGCAAAGGGAAGAAUAAUAAUUCUCAGAUGAACUCAGAACCUUUUAUAGUUUAGUUAGAAAGGGUUAGGCCCCCUGCUGAAGUCAGCUGGCCAGAGAUAAGAGGAGAGAGAAUGGGGGUGCCUGUAUCUUCUUUUGCUUCUGUCUCCAGUUUCCAGGAGGCUCUUGGUGAACCUGGAAAGGGUAAACAGCACAAUGAGAAUGGGUUGUUCCUCAUUUGGAGUUUGGUUUAAAUAGGUCAUCCCAUUUCCUUGAGUCUGGACAUAAUGAUACUUUUAAUAUUAGGAAGUAUCUCAGAAUCGAUAUAAAUAGUAAAUAUGAUAGGGUAUUUUCUGCCUGAAAACCUGUUAUUAAUAACUGGUUCAUUAGUCCUAUGGAAAAUAAGGAGUUGACAUCCCUGAUCAUUAAAGAGCUCUGUCAGUUAAAUUGUUAAACUAAAGAAUUACUGUGGAAGAUGCUAAAAGACUGGAUGUUGUGGAGGAAGUUAUUUAAACCUGAAAUGAGCACAUGUGGUUUGUAUUUUUAAAAGGAUAAGAAGGUGGUCCCACUGUAAAUGAGAUUGAUAUUGAUCUUUGGUAGAACAGAGGUCAGCAGAUUUUUCUCUGUGAAGGACCAGAAAGUAAAUACUGUGGCUUUAUGGGCCACAUGGCCUCUCACAUCUGCUCAGUUUUGCCUUUGUAGCCUGAAAGCAAGCAUCAAGAGCAUGUAAACAAAUGAGCGGGCCUGUGAUCUAGGAAAACUGUAUUUACAAAAGCAGUCAGCAGGCCAGAUAUGGCCCGCAGGUGGUGGUUUGACCAUCCCUGCUCCAGAAUAAAUUGGUAAAUGGGUAUUUUUGUGAGUACUUAGGAAACUAGUGAGAGCUGGGAACUGUUCUGUGUUCUUUGAGAAUAGGUCUGGCUAGGGCAGUUCUUCUUCAGCGUUUUUUUUUCAGCAGGGUUACUGUUACACAAGAUCAAAAGUAUAGUUUAUUUUUACAUCACUGAGGCAUUUUGCAGAAUGUUUCAAAAGAAGUUUUUGUACCAGUUGGAAAAAAUGUGGAGCACUGAAGUUUUAUGUAGUUAACUGUUUGUUCCCUCCUAUCUAUAAAAGAAGCACUGGCAGAUGACAAUACAAAGGAGUAAGCAGUGAAUGAAUGCUAACAGAAAAGCUUGAUAGUAUGAUUUCUUAAAAAUAGUUUAUAUGUUAGCUUUUCAAAUAAAAAGACCUAGAAAUGUAAUAUAGUAACAUUCUGAUAGUAAAUUACCCUAAUUUAUACAAUUACACUGUGAUUCUCAAAGAAGGCUAUAAUUUUCUACUGUUCAAUUUCUGAAAAAAAAAAAGUUUAAGGACCACAGUUAGUGACCUGUUCAGUACGGUUCUCUUCACUUGGCUCUGAAAUGUAUUUCAUUUUUCAUCAGCGAAUUUUAUCAUCUAAUGGCAAAUUAAAUUUUUAACAACCAAAACAUCUUCAUACAGGUUCAUAAUAACUAACAAGCAUACAAUUAGAAUACUCAUAAGUUAAAGACUUUGUCUUCCAAGAUUCAGUAUUAAAAGUUUAAUAGGCAGCACAGUAUGAAAUAAACCCUCAAGUCUAGCAGUUUCCCAUCAAUUACAAUAGUUUGCCCAUACUAAUCAUUUAAGUCAGCACUAACCCAAAAAUUCCUCAGGACCAAAAGUUUUAAUCACUAAGUCCAUAUACUCUCUCUUCUGAAGACUCAGAUGGAUUUGAGGUAGUGGUACUUCUUUACAUUUUCCAGAAAUUAGCAAUGCAAUUCUACUUUCAGAAAAUAAAAUGUCUUGCAAUAAAAAUAAGAGUCUGUAACCAGUGGUUCAAAUAGACAAGGGCUACAGAAGCAAGUGUAAUUAAUGAAAGUUUGUCAAUUGGGACUUGGUAUUCUACAAGACAGAAUGCCCAUCUCAAUCUAGCCUAAGCAAGGGAAUGAUAUUAUUAUUAUUAUUAUUGUUAUUAUUAUUACUAUUAUUGUUGUUUUUCAGCAGCAGCAAUAUAUUAGCUUCUAUACUCAAAAAGUCCAGAAAGCUGGCUAGUUUCCCAGCUUUCUGGGGGAUGCAAAUACUGUCACCAGAUUCAAGUACCCAGAUUCUCUGCUCUUGACUUCAGCCUCAGUUUCACACUGUGACCUCCAAUAGCUUUUCCUGUUAGUUGGCAAAACAACUAUGCCCAUUAUACUUCACCCCUUUCAGGCAACCCAUGCCUGUGGAGGUGAAAGGAACCCUCUUUUUCCCAGAAGUCUCAGGGACCAUCUUUUUUACCUCAUUGACUCUGACUACUUAUGUAAUGACAGUCUGACAUUUGGCCAGGUGGGCAGAGCACACUGAUUGGCUCAUAUCAGUGACCACCCAUGCUCUGAGCUGGAGAGGGAGUCAACCCCACUUAGACUCAUCAGGAAGGGCUAUUUUCUCAAAUGAGGUCUGGGGUCCUGUUCCCAGGAUGGAGAGGAGUAUAAAGUGUCAGGCAUGAAAUAGCUGUCUACUGUAGGGCCAUGAGAAGCAAGAGUAUAGAGGAAAGCCACCAAGGAGAAGACGAUGGGUAUUCUGGAUAAAACCACACACUGAUCUGAUGCUCGUACUUACCGCUGCCAUUUAUAAAGCAUCACUGAAAUGGUUUAAGUGUGUCACUGAUAUUCAUAAUCAUGAACCUGAGACAUCUAGGAAAGAUUAAAUUAUGUUUGAUUUACUAAGAUGGGGAAGAGGUUAAUGGAUGUUAGAAAGGUUUGUGUAUGUUUUAAUAAAUAACUUUUUAAAGGGCCGAAACUAAGCUAACUGGAAAGCUCUUUUUAUCACAUCAGGUGUUUUUCCCCAGUGUUUCAUAUUUCUUUGUGCUCAGUCUCAAUUUGUACCUCAUGGAUUUGACUCCAAAGUACUCUUAAAAGCUGUGUUUUAACUAUGCAAGGUUUAUGUCUUUAAAAAGUCAGUUUAUUAUUGAAAUACUGUGUUUUCUUUUGUCCAGAAUGCUUAUACAGCCACAGCUAUCAACAGCACCAACUUCUGCACCUCAGCAAAGGACGCCUUUGUCAUUCUGGUGGAGAACGCUUUGCGAGUGGCUGCCAUCAACACAGUGGGAGACUUCAUGCUAUUCCUAGGCAAGGUAAGACCAAGUGUAUUGUCUGAGUAAACUUUUUACAAAAAUGUGCCUUUUAGUUUAAAAAUUCCCUACCUCCCCCACAAAAAAACUAACCCAACUAAAAGUACUUAAACCAAAGCAUGCACUUACAAAGUCUUUAAUAUGCAUCAGAUACUUUUCUAUGUCCUUUACAUGUAUUAUGUUUAUUUAAUCCUCACAACAAAUUUAUGUUCUAAGUACUGUUAUUCUUGUUGGGGGGACAGAGACACAGUGAGGCUAAGUAUCUUGCCUUACAUAUUUUGUGUGUCACCUUACAUAUUUUAAACAAUAUAGAAUUCAGAAACAGUGGAUUAAGGGUAGCACUCCAUCUGGAGCCCAACUUCCAGGCUUUCAGUCUUCACUCUGUCACUUACUAGCUGUUUGACUUGAGGCAAUGACAUAACCUCUCUGUGCCUCAGUUUGCCCAUUUGUAAAAUUAGGAUGAUAAUAGAGCCCAACUCCUAGAGUUGUGAAGAUUAGACUGGUUCAUACACAUAGAGUGUCUAGGACACUGCUUGACACAUUGUACAUUUUUAGUGAAUUUUAGCAGUUUUCCAUGACUGUUAGCUAUUGCUGUUGUUACUGUAUAUAAACCCUUUUAAAAUUGAACUGUUAGGGAAUAAGGCUUCUACUUUCCUUAUAAGUGUCUAAGAAGAGAAAAUUUAUUCCAUACUAUUAAAAUCUGCAAAAUAAUAAAUAGCAUUCAUUAUAAUUCAAUUUCAUUGUAGCUAUUAUUUCCAACCAUAAAAUAGAAAAUUUUUGAAAAAAAAUGAGGAAAGAAUAAGACUUGCAACAUCUCCACCAUAAUCUGCUGACUCUUACCUUACCAUUUCUGUAUAUCACCUCCAGUGUUACUUCAUGGGCUUUCGUCCUACAGUACAAAAAUCAUAACAUACAUAUCUGUCUGUCCUACCCUUUUUACUACACAGUGUAUCAUAUACAUUUUCUAGCUUGCGUUGAUAAUCUUCCUAGUUCCUCAUUAUCAUUAUGGUCCAUAUUCCAUCAAAUGCUCUUUUUAAACCAUCUCUUACUAAUGAACACUGAGGUCACUCCAGCUACUGCAUUUUUAAAAUUUUUUUUGAAAUAAAAAAAAAUCUUUGGUAUGGAAAACCAAAGCACUGUGUAGUGUGAAGUGAGUAGGAUUGCAGGCAACUUUCCUCUGAAAAGAAGAAGAAAUGACAGAUAAUUAUUUUUGAAAAUUUGUGAUUAAAUUUAUAUUAUAGCCAAUUUGUUCUUAUUGUGUUUUUACGUGGAAGAAAAUUUUUACAGUAAAGAUAGAAUGAAUUAAUCUGAGUUAAGAAUUGGGAACAUCUGACACUGUUACUGUUAUUGUUUAUGUGCUUUCUGUUUAAUUCAGAAAGGCUUCAGAUUCUUUAUUUUUAAACAUAUUUAUAAUCUGUCUCUAGAGCUAAGAAGGAGAUGAAGCAAAAUAGAAUAAAAAACAUGUAUGUACGUGGCAUUUUUUUUUUUUUAAGAGAAAAACCAUUAAGAAGGAAAGGGAGAAUAUUCUAGUAAGUGGCAAUACCAGUGAUGGUGGUGAUUUUCAUAAGCUCUGAUUGAGGCGCUUCCAGCCACUAGGCACUGAGCGAGGAGCUUUAAUGAACGCAGCACUGGCCCUCCCUGUGAGACGGGCUUCAUUUUAUAGCAGAGGAAACCAAAGUUCAGAGACAGAAUUAAAUUGGCCAGAUUUAGAGAACUGGGACAUGGCAGAACCAGAGUCCACUCAGGUUUGUCUGACUUCCGAGAUUAAUCACUGUGUGCUAUAAUUGCCUCAGCAGACAUUAAAUUUGCCCUCAAACCUUCCCCCCAACACUUUUCUUUUUCUUUCUUCUUUUUAGUCAAUAAUUUUGAUAGUGGUAAACUACCCCAGAAAGUAAUUCUAAAUAUUUAAAAAAGGGUAAAAAAAGGUGUUAUAUAUAAUAGUAUAAGAGUGACCAAUUGUAAAUAAUCUGAAGCCUAAUAGUAGGGAAUUGGUUAGGUAUAAUAGUCUGAUGGCUGUUAUUCACCUAUUAAGCCAUGUUUCAUUAUGAGUUUGUAGUAUGAAGAAGAAGUGCCUAUAAUAUAGUAAGUGAAAAAAACUGAGUAAAAUUAUAGUAAGACUAUCACAGUACUGUUUAAAAAUGUGUACAAGGGGCUAGAGUUGUGGCUCACUGGUAGAGCACUCACAUAGCAUGUAUGAGGCAUUGGGUUUGAUUCUCAGCACUGCAUAUAAAUAAAUAAAAAUAAAGGUCCACCAACAACUUAAAAAAAUAAAACCUAAAAGUCUUUAAAAAAGAAAAUGUGUAUAAGGACUGGAGAUAUAGUUCAUACCUAGCAUGCAUGAGGCCCUGGAUUUGAUCCCUAGCAAAACCCUCCCCCCCCAAAAAAAUAGUUAAUUAAUUAAAAUUAAAAUAUGCAUAAGAAAAAUAAUGAAAAUUAAUAUCACAAAUGUUAACAACAACUACCUUUGGAAAUAAGGAUAACUCAAGCCCCUUCCCUUAUUUUACCACAUUGAGUGUGCAUUCUUUUUAUAAUGAAAAAAUAUAGAAGAUAAAAUAUAAUGUUUUAAAGUUGCCUUUGAGUUUUUCAAUAGUCUAUUACUUGUUGGUCAGAAUUUUUCCUAUAGAUUUUUAAUAUCCUUUUAUUCAUUCAACAAUAUUAAGUGUUUACUAGUAAAUGCUAUGGGCUAUUCUGGGUGCCAAUUAUAUAUUAGUCAAUAAAUUUGAUUUAAAACUUGUGGAAAAGGAAAUUAUAUUCUUGCUUUCACUUGGUAUUGUAUUUGAACAUUUUCUGUUAUACUGAAAUUUUUCUAACCAUAGUUGUACAUCUAUUGUUUCAUUUAUUUAAUCUAUCCUCUGGUUUGUUUUGCAGCUAAAAUGUUCCUAAUAUUUUACUAAUAUACACUGCAGUGAAACAUCCUUGCCCACAUCAAUUCUGGCUUCUUUGAAUCAUAAAAUCCUACAGUUGGAAUUAAUUGGAGUUCUUGGCAUGCAUUGCUAAAUUGCUUUCCAGAAAGAUAUAAACAUGAUAUUAAUAACAUCAUUGAAAAGGACUUUAAAAACCAUUAAAGAUUAAUUUUUAUUUAAAAAAAAUCCAAAAAGAAGAAAACUAAAAGGAAAAAAAUACCUUCUGGUUUCUAACAUACUAAGAUAAGAUUAUUUAGUUUUCCCUUUUUUAGGAAUAUACUUCUGAUUAUAGAAUCCAGUAAAUCUUAUGAAAAGAGUUUCUUUUAUUACAGUUGAAUGGCUGCUAGUGUGCAGAAGUAUUUUCUGAGCAGGAAGCCAUAGUGAACAUUAUAAAAGAUAAAUGCCAGGAGCCUCACUAUUGAUACUUACAGCAACUUGAAUGAAUCUUGAGAGAAUUAGGCUAAGUGAAAAAAAAAUCCAAUUCCCAAAGAUUAAUACUGUAUGAUUCCAUUUGUGUAACAUAUUGAAAUGACAACAUUGUGAGAAUGGAUCUGUGUUCGUCCACAAUAGGGAUAGCUGUAAAAGGGCAGAGAGCAGGAUCCCUGUGAUGCUGUGGGUAUUCAAUCUGUAUCUUGACUGUGUCAGCCUCAGUAUUGGUGGUGAUAUUGAAGGGAACUGGGUGAGUCAUACAUGGAAUCACUCUGUUACUUCUUACAGUGGCAGUUGGAUUCACCAUUACCUUAAAACUUAAAAUCCAAUUUUAAAAACUUUAAAAUCCAAAACAGAACAAAAAAGUAAUGUCAUAGGUUCCAUUUCUAUGGAGCACCAAUGAUUUUUAUGGAAGAGUGAAUUAGAUUUAGAAGAAACCAUAGGUCCUCUAGGUUUGCAUAAGAAAAGAAAUUUAUAAGCUCUUAAAUAUUUCUAAAUCCAAAAAUAUAUUGAUAUUUGCCCCCAGUAAAGCUAUCCCUCCAAAAAGACAAAAUGUCAUUUUCUUCUGUGUAAAAGUAUUUUACCUCUAUCUGGUAAAAUCUUUCCUCACAUUAAUUAUACCUUCUAAUUGACAAGUUACUUGACUUGGAUUAAUAAAAAUGAGAAUGUGGCCGGACACGGUGGCACACAUCUGUAAUCACAGCGGCUUAGGAGGCUAAGGCAGAAGGAUUGAGAGUUCAAAGCCAGCCUCAGCAACUUAGUGAGGCACUUACCAACUCAGCAAGAUCCUGUAUCUAAAUAAUUUUUUUUUUAAAGAGAGAGUGAGAGAGAGAGAAUUUUAAUAUUUAUUUUUUAGUAUUUGACGGACACAACAUCUUUGUUUGUAUGUGGUAAUGAGGAUCGAACCCAGGCCGCACGCAUGCCAGGCGAGCGCGCUACCGCUUGAGCCACAUCCCCAGCCCUAAAUAAAAUAUUUUAAAAAGGGGCUGGGGAAGUGGCUCAGUGGUUAAACACCCCUGGGUUCAAUCCCCGAUACCAAAAAAAAAGAGAGAAUAUGAAUUAUUACUUAUAGGUGCUAGUUUAUUGUAAACAAAAUGUUUCAAAAUACAGGUUCCAAGAUGAAAGAAUAUCAUAAAUAUAGGACUUAUGGUGGCAAAAAAAGAAAGGGAUGGAGGGACAAAUAUUGCCAGGCAUUGAGUUAAAUGCUGUUGUAAUCAUGGGAUAUGUAUAUUGUUGUCUCUUUUGAAGAUGGAAAAAUAGGAUCAGAAAGGUUAAAUGAACUUGCUUAAAGUCACAAAGUUAAAGUAAUAACUCAAAUAAUUCAAACCUACAUCUGUAAAACUCUAAAACUAGCAUCCUCUCUCCUUCCUGAUUCUUACACCCUACCCUGUAUUUGAAUCUCUUCUGCUGUAUCCCCAAUAACUUGUCCUCUAUAACAGGAGUACCUCAACUUUUAAAAUCACAUGCCCUAUUAGAUAACGAAUUUGAGCACAAUUCCCCAACACAUUUACCUUUAUUUAUUGGUGACAUGUACACAGCUCCUACUAAUUGGUGCAUUAUAAAGCAUACUAAAAAAGGAAAUUUUAAAUGUAUGAGAAAUAGAAAUAGAAGUUCCAGAUGAUUCUGUUGAAUACAUGUUAGAGCACAUGUACCCCAUCGUGGAGAUCACAGAUCUAGACCAGCAUUUCUUGAGAUAUAUGCUGUGUACCUUAUCAGUGCCUGAGAUAUUUUUCAAAUGCAUUUUGCUGGGCUUUAUUUCACAUUCAAUGAAUCAGACUCUUGGGUUCAGAGUCCAGAAAUCUGCAUUCCUAGCUUCUCUAUAGUUUGAGAACCAUUAUUAUAUCCUGCUUCAAUAAAUGCAUGACAUACAUUUCUUUGACUUUUUUACCUAACCAUCACUGGUUCUUGAAGUUGUUUCUCACAUGACAUAAUAUCCAGGCUUCAAUCUCAAUUUUUGUCUCAUCUACUUUGUUUGAGCCACACCUUCUUCCUAUAGUUGACUUUAGCAUUUCCAAUGUGGUUUGACUUUUAGGAGCAUCAUAAGGGCAUAAAGAACCCCAGCCCUCUAAUAGGGUAGAUAUAUAAAACUUAAAGACAGUAUAAGAAAUAACUUAUUCUAAAAUUGAAACCACAAGAGGGAACGCAAAUGAAUGUAAUUAACCAUCUGUGAAAACCACCCCAGAAAAUAAGCCACUGUAAGAGGUGAUUCAUAGGUAUAUUGCCGUCCCUCCCUGGUGGUCUAGUGGCUAGGAUUCAUAAGUAUAUUGCCAUAAAAAUGGUGGGAGGGGUCUUCCAAAACUUGGGCAAACCCAGAUUUGCCCCAUAAAAGUAUCUGAGAGGGAUUGAUUUAUAGUUGAACCAAUGUAUUUUCUAAUGCAUUAUAACUCAUGGUUGAGAUAACAGUGAAUGAGAGGUGCUUUUAUGUUGAUAAACAGAGGGAAUAUGUAGGAGUUUGCCUGUCCUAAGCACUAGGUAAGGAAAAGUGGCUGUGAGUCUAGAGUACUCCUUCAUUUCCUUUAUUUAGUGUGUGAUGCUAGGGUAAUUAAAGGGCUAAGGAAGUGUGUAUCUAGGAUUCAGUACAAUCCAUUACUAGUAUCCAAGUAUUUGCUAAGUUUUUAUCUAGAAAGAGCAGUGGUUGGCAUUUUAAGUCCUUUAUUGAAUGGAAUCUGUUCUUUUCCCUGCUCUGUGACCUUGCACACAUUGGCUAGAAUCUCUGAGCAUGUUUCACAAUCUACCAAGUGGGAUUGCUGUUUACCAUAAACUAUUAUUAAGUUAUUGGAAAGCUUAACUAAAAUGUAUUUAAAUAACCAUAAAACACUGAAAAUGUGAUGUAUAAAAUGAUGAAAUAUCAUAAUAGAGUUUUCUGACAAUAAACACAUUAGUUAUUUCUCUUAUUUUUCUAGCAUGGGUGUUUUUGGCAACCUUUUCUUCACAAUUCAAAUCUAAACUUCAUAGAAAGUUUUAAAAAUUUGCCACAUAUCUACAUAAAGUAAAAUACAAAACAGAGGAAAUUUUCUAAGAAUAGAGAUGUUUGUUACAGCAUCAUUUAUAUCUUAAAACAAUGUAAAUCUCAAACAAGAAGGAGAAUGAGUAAAUAAAUUUUAAAUCACCCAUAAGGUGAAAUUAUGUAGUGGAGUAUUUAUGAAGCACUUAUAAUGAUGCUAUAAAUAUUAAUGAAGAGCAUUUUGAUUUGUUUUUAUAAUAGGAUUUCAUAUAUGUAAGAAUACCAAGGAAAAAUACAUACCAAUACCAAUGUCAGUAGUUUUUUGCUGAGCGCUAAGAGUAUGUAUAAUUUUUUUAAAUAUGCAUAUAUUUAUCUUAAAAAUUGCCACAGAUUCUAAAGAAGGACCAGCAUAAUAUUUGGAAAAUUGUGUUUUCUUUACCGUAAACCAAAAUCAUUUAAAGUAUGAUUUUUAAAUUUGUAUUCUAUGAUGUAUAUAUAAAUAAAUGUACAACUGUGUAUAUGGGUAUUAUGAAUUAUUUUUUAAAACUUUUUUUUUAAAAGUUUUGUUUUUUAGUUGGACACAAUACCUUUUUUUAUUUUUGUGUGGUGCUAAGGAUCGAACCCAGCACCCUGCACAUAUUAGACGAGUGCUCUACCAUUGAGCCACAACCCCAGCCCCAAAUUACACUUUUUUACCUGAAGUUUGCUCCCAGUGCGCUCUAUCAAUGAGUUACAUUGCCAGCUCUUUUUAUUUUUUGAGAUGGGUUCUCACUAAAUUGCUGAAGCUGACUUCAAACUUGGGAUCCUCCUGCCUCAGCCUCCCAAGUGGCUGGGAUUACAGGCGUGCACCACCAUAUCCAGCUGUACUUCUUAAUCUGAGAUGGCAUGACCCUUUGCAACCAUCCUUUAUAACAGUAAAGAGAAUUUUAAGUUUGCAAGUGAUGAAGAAAUGGUGGUUUUCUACAAUAGAAUAUUAAGUGUGCUCUUUGCUGUCUCUGCUUCAGGUGCUGAUAGUCUGCAGCACAGGUUUGGCUGGGAUUAUGCUGCUCAACUACCAGCAGGAUUACACAGUAUGGGUGCUGCCUCUGAUCAUCGUCUGCCUCUUUGCUUUCCUAGUCGCUCAUUGCUUCCUGUCCAUUUAUGAAAUGGUAGUGGAUGUAUUAUUCUUGUGUUUUGCCAUUGAUACAAAAUACAAUGAUGGGAGUCCUGGCAGAGAAUUCUAUAUGGAUAAAGUGCUGAUGGUAAGUACUUCAAAAAUGCCCUCUGCUGCUGGAGGAACAGAAAUACUAAUAAAAAUAUUUUGCAAAUCAUUCUCCAUAUUUAAUUCCCACUAUAUGCAACAGAAUAAUUCAGAAUUAAAUCCGUAGCACUCACUCAUGAAUGAGACUAUGCAUGAAGAAAUCAGGGAAGAAGUCCUUCCUGGCACAAAGAUCAUUUCAGAUCCACCCAGCUGAGCCAUACUCAUUAGUGGUCCUAAAUACACACUGUCCUAGACUCUGAUGCUACUCUCUGAAGUUAGACAGAUUUGAAUGGACUUUUAAAUUUGCCUUGUAGCCCUUGAAUUAGAACACUGGGCCACUGCUGUUCUAAGUACCUUUUCCUGAAAUGGGGCUUAAGGACAAAAAUGUCUUAUUUGCUAGUACCUGUCCUUCACCAGUCACCACCUUUCGAAAUGCUAUUGCUGUCAACCCUAGUUAAAAGUCAUUGCCCUAAAAAUACUAGUCUAAACUGAGGGCAUUUCUUAAUGAAUACAGACAACUGACUUGUGAUCAAUAUGUUGUUUUGUAUUUUCAUAUUAGUCUACAUCUGAAUCUUUACACAGAUACUUUAUUCAGAUGUUUUUUACAGUUAGGUAACCUCUGUAGAUCCCCUAAACUAAAUUCUGAAUUAAUUCCAUGUUAAAAUGGUUUAAGUACUAUUUUCUUCAGUGUUAAAUGAUACAAGAUUAAAGGUAUUUUUUAAUAAUGAGGUGAAAUAUUCCUUUCUCCAAAAUAGGUAAUAUUAAAAAGAAAAUACUAAAAUAAUAACUUAUUUUCCAAGAGCAUGAUUUGCCCAGUUAAAUUGAAAAUAAGUAUAUUAAUAAAUGAACUAGAUUUGUUUCAAUAGCAAAAAUCCAAAUGCUUUAGCUGACCUAUUUGGUACUAAUUAUCACUUUUACUGAGAAAAUCAUCAACUAAAUUUUGGACAUUUUCCUAAUGCCUAAAUUAAUUCUAACUGGUUGUUUUCAUAAUGGAUGUGAUUUAGGAGCACUGCAUCUCUCUUGUGAUUAAAGCAUUUAGAAAAUGUUGUGUUUUUUUUUUAAGCUACUGAUCAAAAGCAGAGUAAAAAAUAGGUUUUUUUCUGUUCAGUUUUCUCUGUAUGAAUGAUAAUGAUAAGGAUGAGGAAGUGUUCCAUAAACUUUGACAGAAUAGAAAUGUUUCCUUUGGGGCAUACUUCUAUUUUAACUACUUCUGACCACAAGUUCUAGACUCUUGCUUUAGGAAGUGAUGUCAAAACCAGGUAGACAUUUUUUAAGUGUCAUAUUUAUAGUUUAGGUGUUUAAAAAAAUGUAGAUUAUGCUCAGCAGUAUUAUUGCUUUUACCUCCUUGGGUCUUUUAAAAGUGGAGACUUAUGAAAUAAAUUGUUCUUUUUUCAUUUAACCUUAAUAUGGAAAAAAAUAGCGCAAUAUUCUAAGUAUAGAAAAAUAGUCUCUUAAAAAUGUUAGGUGUUUUUUCUUUCCAGAGUAGAACUAAUGCUAACUCCUGGACCCUUGAUGAGAUUGCCACAGUACAUGGAUGGAAAGCAGAUUUUUUUUUUUUUUUAAUUUUUUAUUGUGGGUUGUUCAAAACAUUACAAAUUUCUUGACAUAUCAUAUUCCACACUUUGAUUCAAGUGGGUUAUGAACUCCCACCUUCACCCCAUACACAGAUUGCAGAAUCACAUCAGUUACACAUUGGAAAGCAGAUUUUUACGACAGCAGAUUACAAUCCAUCCCUACAAAUUUAGCAGCUGUCAUGUAUAAUACUAUAUGUUAUCUACUGCUAUACCAAGAUUGAGUCAAAUAUGCAAAUGUUCUUUAGAAUUCAUCUACUGACCAAAAUCUGAAACUAUCUGAACAUUGAUGCCAUGUGGUCCAUAUUUUGCAGGAGUUUGUGGAAAACAGUAGGAAGGCAAUGAAGGAAGCUGGUAAGGGAGGCGUCGCUGAUGCCAGAGAGCUAAAGCCGAUGGUAGGUGGAGAUGAGGAGGCGGCCGCCCUCCGAGAAUUUCACUUUCACUUCUUCUCUAUCUCUGUCUUCACUGACUGCACUUCUUCAGGAGAAGCUUUUGUUAUCUGUAUCACGCAGGAUGUGCUGCUUUUUCUGUUUGUGUGCUUACCCAUCACUUGGAUGGCAGAGUUCUUGUCACAGCUGAGACCACUUUCUGUAAAAGUAAGCUGAAAGGAACAGCAUCUUCUCCAGUGUCAUGGGGCUAGGGGGGACAGUUUUGUCCCUAAGAUGCAACUGCUGUUUCUCUAUUUUUUUUUUUUUAACUGUCAAUUUUAAGUUUUCAUCCAUCUGAACAUUUGGGUGUUCAUUUGAACUGACGGUUUGAUUUUUAUCAUUUUGAAAAGUGGUAGUACCAAUUCCUUUCAACUUGCUAAAAGUUCAUAUUCCUCCUUUUUAUAAAUAAUGUUCUGUUUACAUUGUGGUCUUUUGCCCUUUGCUGAUUUUUUUCUUCUGUUGCCUGGAUUGUACCUUCUUUGUUUCUUAAGCUAUUUUUCUUCCUUUUGUUCUUUCUUUCUUUCUUUCUUUCUUUUUUGGUAGCAAACAAGGCUGUUUCCAUCAACACCCACAUUCCCUCUAAGUAAGACUAUCUGGUCUUCUCCCAGUUUACUUGUGAAAAGAUUGAAUUUCUCUGGCAAUUUUAUACAUAUUCCCACUCUACUCUAAUUUGAAAAAAACAAAUUAAAGUUAAUCAGCAUGCAAAUCCUGAGUUGUUUUUGCUAUAGACAUCCUCACUGUGGCCUAACCACAGAUGUCUCCAGCAGGUAUGUUGUCCUGCUAAUCAGGACAACAGCAAAGAUGCUGCCUACCCUGUGGUGGAAGGGAGGACUCAGGAAAGCUUCUUUCCCCCUGUUUCUGGGUUGUCCUCAUUGCUCAGGAAAUAAAGAUUUCAAGCCUAAAACUUAAAAAGACAUACAUAAAAUCUUAAAAUAUCAAUUUGCUUUUCCCUCCUCUUCUGUCUUUCCAGUGAUUGAGACUUUGAUUAAAGCAUUCUCCAGUAAAGGGAGAAAUAUUUAGAAGCUGAGAUUUAACUAAUUUGGCCACAUCCUGGUAUAUAUUUCCAUAUUAUUCUUUAGUAAAUGAUAGAUGAAUUGUGGUCGACUAAAAUGCAAAUAUCCCUUUUUUUUUAACCCCUAAUUUAUAGGCAAUAAUCCCAAGAGAAUGGCCCAAGUUAUGUGGCAUUCUGCCAGAAACCAAAAAUUUUAGGAAGAGUUGUUUUCCUAAGAGUAUUUUCAGUUUUAAACCAGUGUCUUUUAACCCAACAAUGCAUUUAAAUCUUCUUUCAGUUUUUGUUUUCAUUUUAUGUUGUUCAUCAGUUCAUUGCCUACCAAGGAAUGGCAAAAACCCUCCUCCACUGUGUCCCCAGAUACAUCGUUUCUGUGCAUUGUUCUUUUGAUGCUUCAGACAUUGCAUUAUUUUGGUACCUAAGAGUGAUGUUUUAAGUAGUUUUAAAAUUCCAGAAGAGAGAAAUGUGAAAUGUUGCUCACAAAGUAGGUUUGUUUGUUUGUUUGUUUGUUUGUUUGGGGCCCUGGGGUUUGAACCCAGAGGCACUUAACCACUGAGCCACAUUCCUAGCACUUUUUUUAAUAUUUGAUUUUAAGUUCGAGUCUCACUAAGUUGCUUUUUGAACUUUCAAUUCUGCUGCCUCAGCUUCCUGAGCUACUAGGAUUAUAGGUUUGCACCACCACACCUGACCAGAGUAGCUUUAUUUUUUAAGCAUUAGUACCAUAUCUUUCUUCUCUCUCACACUCAGUAUGCAUGAUUAGGAUUGACCCCUACCAUCACUAUCCCCUUUGUCAUAAAGAAUUAUCAAAGAAACUGCCCCCAAAGUUUGGGGCUUAGUAGACUGUAGAUUUGCUUAUUUGUAUUUGCUCACAUUAUUCUCUUAGAUGAUAAGUUCUGUGGAAGAGUAUCAUGCCUAUUUUGUAAUAUGUCUAGAAACACUUCUGCUGUCUGCCUUCUUCUUGAAUAUGGGGUAUUUUAACUUAGGGUUUAUUUUUAGCCUAUAAGAUAAUGUUCAGGAAAGUGAGGUUUAAAUUUUUCCUUUUGACAGGGGAUCAUUGAACUAACUAGGAGAACUGCCAGUAUUCUUGGAAUUUUUCUUAAAAGAGCCUCACAAGUUCAGAAAGUUUAAAGAUCUAUCAGGUCUUCCUACAGUUCCUUAAAAUUUAUUUUAGAAAAAUUUACCAAACGUGAUGAAGAGGUUUAGGAAAAUCUCGCCGUCUGCUAUUGUAUAGGUUAGAACUUACAGGGAAAAAGGAGGAGGAGACCUGGGCUCUAUAGGGACAUAGGCCAGAAAAGGAUGCUGUGCAUAUCUCCGAGAUGAUCCUAAAGGAAAUGUGACCUUCAACAUUCAUAGGAAUUUCAGCCCCAAGAAUACAGGGGCAGGGAGAAGGAGUCUCAAUCCAUUUUGCUCUUUUACUGUCUGUAACCAUGUGUAUCUGUAACAUCAUUCAUGAUCUCCUUUUAAUGGUAAUUGUCUAAGAUUAUACUCUGUAUGACUUUGUUUUCUAGGCUUCGGGAGCAAGUUCUGCUUGAACCUAGCCGACGGUUAUGGAACCCAUUGACAUUCCAAAACAAUAUAUACACAUAACUAUGUAUUUGUGUGUGUGGGUGUGUGUAUAUAUGUAUAUGUAUGUGUGUAUAUAUAUGUAUAUGUAUAUACACACACACACAUAAUCAGCCAAAAUCAGAGAAAAGGAACAGGGAUUUAAUACCUUUUUUAUGCUUAUUUUUGUCAAACAUGUACUCCUUUCAUACGGGUGGCUUUUACAAGGCAACUUCCGUCAUUUAAUGUUUUCAAUUGUAAUUGUCUUAAUGGAAAUGUUAGAUUCAUAUCUGAUUAACAUUUUUAAUAACUUAGAGGAGAUUUUAACUUUAGUCACUUAAAUUAGAUAAAAUUAUUGUACCAAAUUCUUGUCUAAAGUUUAUUCAGGGGUGAUUUCCCUGACGUGUGUAUAAAAUAAAGAUCUUAUUUUACUGAGGCGUGAGUCCUAGUGCCUAGGACUCAUGUGCUUUCAGAUAAAUAAGCAAUUUCUGCAAUCAGUUUUCCCCAAUCAAAGAAGCCAUGUCAUUUUACUUUUAGAAACAUAACAGGUGGACCCAUUAUGGGAAUUUUCAUAAUAGCUCAUACAUUUGUCAGCCAACAUUAAAAAGUAACCAACUCCUCAGGUAUUUGUAGUUUACCCUAAUGCUUCUAUAAAAGAAAGUAGGAAAAAAGAAAAGGGUAGAUAAUCUUUCUUAUGCAAACUCUUUUCUUACAUUUUGUCUUUUUUUUUUUCCCACAUUUUAGUAACAUCCUCCACACAUUUGUGUGCCUGAUUUGAAAGGAAGCUGGGGCACCCAGCAAGUUUAGCCUUUAAUUUUAUAUGUAUUGAUUUGUAGAUUAACGAAUGCUGGGAGGAAUAAAAAAGGGAUAGAAACCCGGAACAUAAAGCAUUGAAAAUUCCAGUGCUUGGGCUUCUGCUUCAGAGGAAACAGUGGCUUAGGGUUAAACGGCCAUUUUAUUCAAAUGCUUGCUAUAAAAUCUGAAAAAACACUGGCAGGUGCUCCUCUCCUUGGCAAUCCAUUGCGUAUCCAGAGUUCUACAAUGUUUAACUAAAGAAUUGGUUAAUAUUUUGAUCCUCAAGUGUGAAUGUUCUUUAUGUUUGGGAGUGGGCUUGGGGUUUGGGGUUUUUUUUUUUUAAUUCCUGAAGCUUACCAGAUAUGAAUGGCUAAUAUUCCAUUGUUCUGCUUAUUGUAAUGGUGAAUGCUUUAAGAAAAAAAAGUGUAAUUUGCUAAGAAUAAUUCAUGAUCUGUUUAUGCGAUAACUCCUUUUUGUUACAAUUUUUUUAAAAAAGGCUAUUUUUGUUAAUGUAAAGUAAAUAUUUCAGAGCAAAUUUUUUAAACUUAUUGCACUAAAUACAGGCUCUGUACAAAAAAACAAAAACAAAAAAAAAAAAGCCUCAGCAUUUUAUCAUUCCAUGGAAGGAGAAUCUUUUGAAAGAAAGCAUUGCCUCCUAUCAGAAUUAGACAGCGAAGUAGACUGGUAUUAUGGAAAUGCAUACAAUUAAUGUCACUAGGGCUUAAUAAACAGCUGUUUGCUAAUGUGCUUCCUUUCAAAGGGUUGGACCUUUAAAUUGCUGCAAAAGGUAAAUUGUAUUUUUUUUUAAGUAUCUGUGUUCUUUAUCUAGCUAGGCUAAAAUUUGCUAAAUGCCUUGGUUUCUUUUUCAAAGCUCAUGUAACAUUUCUGAUUUUUCAGAAUAUUUGCAAUAAGAAUCUGGAUUUUAAAAAAAACAACUUAUACACACAAUUAAGAGUUCAUGUCUUAGCAAGAUCUGGGAAACCAACAUUAUGAGCGUAGCUAUUUUGAAAAAGUAAUUCUCCAGAAGUUAACAUUUAACAUCUAGUGUCGCCAAACAGUGUCACUGUACUCUUUUAUAUCAUUUGAAAUGGAAUAAAUAUAAUUAUGUAACUAACAACUGUCCAAAUAGGUGAGAGAGCAAAUCAUGUAAGAAAAUUCAGAAUACUGUCUGUUCCAUAGCCACACAGAUUUUGGACAUUCAGAAAAUUGGGAAAUAAAUUUAGAGUUGGCAAAAGUCUGGAAGAUGGGUAUCAAAACGGAAGACAUUUCGGGAGCUAGCUAUUUUCAGAGGUCUUCCUCCAAAGUGACCUGACAGAAGUCUUGAACUUGGAAACUAGGUUCUACUCACUUGGACAUCCCUGCAUCAUGGACUUUUGCUGCCCCCUGUUUCAUGUGCUCCCAAUAUCAGCUAUUUGGAAGCCACCAGGAAUGCUUUCUAAUUAUCAUUUGCAACUAGAACUGUAAUCAGAAAGAAAUUUUGUAUUUUUGUAUAACUUGAUUGUGUGCCAUUUUAUAUAACAGGUCCUGUUUUACAAAUAAAUUUUGUUAUUACUAACAUUGUGUUUAGAAAUUAUGAUCUAUGUGUAACCAUGUCCUUUGAGUUCCAAAUUAAUUUCUAGGCUGUUUUCCCUAAGUAAAUUUGUGUGCCAUAUAAAUAUAUGCAAAUGUGCAUAUAUAUUACACAGGCACACAUAGAGAGAUAUUUGAUAUAUCUCUCACUCUCACAUGUGCUUCAUUCCUUGAUUAAUUUGAUAAAGCCUCCUAGAGGCUUUUCAGCAAUAUUCAAAUGUUUUGCAGUUAUGUUCAGAUAUUUCUGCUGCCUCCUUCAUUCAUUGCAAAUCAUUCUUCAGCUAGCUGUGGGCUGCCUUAUUGCUAUUUGCUCACUGCCUCCAUCUUCUGCCCAAGUGAGAAGAAUAGAUGAAGAUCAGAAAUUAUCUGUGAAAUGUGGAUACCUGAAAAAUUUUAUAAACCAUUGAUUCUAUGUUGUGGUUCAUGUCCUUUUCUGUGAUGGUUCUACAAAACGGUCUAUAGGAGUCCUAUCUCUAGAGUUCUAGUUAGGGUCCCCUAUUGUAAAUGGUAGUACUGUCCAGAGUGUCACUGUGGUUUCUACCAUCAGAUAGUUAAUACUCUGGCAUAUAGUUUAGACCUUCUAGAUUACUUCCUCAAAAAUAAACUAUGCUGUAAUAUAAUAGGGAAGGUAAAAGGUUCAAUUUCAGUGUAAGUCCAAGAAACCCAUCUUCAAUUGGAGGCUUUACCAGUGCAAUAAUUAAAAAAAAAAAGUAAUUUAACAAGGACACUGAGAUUGUAUAAUCUUUGCAUGAAUGAACAGAGUUCAAAGUAGAUUGUUGAUCUAAACCACUUAGUGCAAUUGUUAAUGUUUAAGAUUAAAGUUUUUAUCCUGUCAUACAGGAUAAUUAAGUCCUACGUCACUGGAACUUAAGUAGCUUAACUGUGUGUUGGUCCUAAACUUUUUCCAUAAUGGUUAAGGAGGGGGGACUUAUUGAGUCUAUUUAAAAAUUAUGCUGGAAAUAUGUUUCUUCUUUACAGAAAUGAUCUCUUACUCUUUUCUUCUCCCCCCAUCCCUCCAGUGAAGGGCUUUAAGCCCCUGAUUAUAAGUUCUUCCAACACCAUUGACCUUGGUAUCUGCCAAGGGCUCUCUUGCCUUCCCAAGGCAAUUUCAGAAUUUAACCCAGUAGUAAGCGAUGAGGAGCUAACCCCUUUAUCCUGUUCCUGAGCUCCUUUAACACAGAAUAAUACCUCUCUUUCCCUCUUACUAAAACAACCACAGGAAUUGCGUGCCCCAGAUAUUUGCAAGGCCAUAUAGUACCCCUGAGCCUUCAAACAUUUCCACCAUGCAGACUCACUCACUACUUACUAAAGGCUACUUCAAGAGGUUUCCUAACAUGCAAAGUAGUAUUGUGGGAUUAGUUCCAAAACCAGAGCUGUCAGUUACAGUGAUUGAACAAUUUAUUUUAUGUUGCUUUUGUUCAGAAACCUUAUCAUUUGAAUUGGAGUUUCCAAUAGCCUUAACAUAGCCUCUAAGAAGUUUCCUUCAAAAAAUGUUCACUUCUCAAUAAGUAAGUUUGCUAUCGCUUUCUUUGGCUACUUUGAAAAGAAAAAAAAAAUCUUCAGAGUCUGGAAGCUUAUCAGUGCACCUGACAUGGUUAAUAUUUGUAUUCUUUUUAUGUAUUUCAUCUGACAGAUAGAAAUGCUUACUGAGAGUUAAGAUGUGGUCUGUGAAUAUAUAUUGGAGAAUUGUGGGUUCAUAAGUAAUGCAUAAAGCAGAAAUUUGUGUAUGCUAUAUUCAUAGCACAGAAUCCUUUUGCUUUAAAUGUAUAUUCAUAUAGCUCUGUGUACUAAGAAAUGCGUGUUAGCCCUUUGGAAAAAUAGGCAUUGUUCAUAAACAGUGACUGUUUUGGGAAUUAACUCAUCUUUGUUGAGUGGCACGCCUAAACUUUGAAAAAGCAGAAACCUUGGGUGUAUCAAGAGGAAGUUUAAAGCUAGAAAUCUUUAAAAACAAAACAGAAACUAAUCAUAUUUUAUAUACUAAUAAAUUUAAAAUAGCACACUUUUCCCAUUCAGAUUUCACAAAUUUUAGCCAAAUUAUUAUAUUCCACAUUUUAAUUCAAGAAGACAAUUUUAACCCAAGAUUUAAAUCUUUGAAAAUAUCUUUCUUAUAAAAAAACUUCAAUGUGAAGUUUUUAACAUUGUGAAUUUCUGUAUAAAGCCAUUCUUUUCUAUAAAAAUACUAUAGAGCCCUUUCUUCCUCCCCCUCUUGAUUUUUAUAUGUAUAAAAAUAGACAAAUGAUGAUUCAGUUUCAAUUUUAUGUGAACAACUGCCACUUUUGUAAAUUACAUGGACAGAAUUUAAGUUUGGUAUUUCUAAGGGAAUUCAUUAGAAAAUUUGCUUAAAAGAUAUGAAAUUGUUAGGAACCCAACUAUUAGGCUAUUCUUCAGUUUUGAUGCUUUACAACCUAAAUUAUUUUCUCCAGACCAGAGAACUCAGAAUAAUGAAGCUUUUAGUUGUGUUCUAAUCAAGAUCCAGUCGAACACAUAAAUAUUAAUUUAUAAAUGUUCAGAAUUUUUCCACUUAUAAUUGCUAAGACCUGAAUUCAAUAUUUAAUAUUCAAAAGCAGGUACAUUUGAGGGGCCAUUUGUCCCUUCCAACUUAUGAAAGCUGUGGACUAUCUUUCUCUUAAAUGCACAUAGCACAUCUGUUUUAAAUAUUUUAAAUGCUCAUGAAGCGGCUAGGUGUCCACUAAAGAUCCUUUUAAGAUGAUACUUUUCAUCUCUGGUCUGGAAUCUUUUUAUAACUUAAGAUUUUGUAUAAUUUAAUACCAGAUUUGGAUAGAGAAACUACCCUGAUCUGAAUGAAUAACAAGAUGGUCAACACUGAAUUUUCACAAAUAGUAAGAUGUCUUGCCUUAGACGUGUGAGGGUCUGUGUGUUCUGGGGGUCUUUUUGCAAGAUACCAAAUUUUCAAUGAACAACAAUAGAAAAAAAAAUCCAAGAAGUAAUUAAUAGAAAAUCUUCGUAAUUAUCCAUCUACUUAAACACUUGCUUGUUUUUAUUGUAGCUCAUAUAUGACAUUAUGCGAUAUAGUGUCAUCAGUAUAUCACUGUCUUAAAAUAUAUCUUUAAGUAUCACCCAGAAUAGUUGAAGAUGAUGAAAAAUUAGCAAACUCAAGUGUAUGGAGUACAUACUUGCCAAAAAUUAUGAAUGGAAAAUUGGAGUAGAUGCUGGGAGUAGAAAUUUAAAAUGUGUUUCCCCAGCUUCUCCCACCCCAACUUAAAUCAAGGAGGUGUUUACCCUUUUUUGAUUAUCUUCUCUUUAGAGCAGCCUUGAACCACUGUGCCAGUGGGGCUGGGCCUCCACUCCCCAUGUCCACUCAUCUUCCUUCUCCAGGGAAGCUUGUGGAACUCUCCACAUCCACAACUUACCACUAGGUGAGUGUGCUGCAGCUACAAGGCAGCUCUUCGGGAAGGGCCCUUGAAUGAAGAAGGCAGGAAGCCUUAAGGGAGUUUGAAGUUCUGUUGAGAUCUGAUUCCAGUGGAUCAUGGUUUACAUAUUAGACAUCAGACCACUCCCUACCUUCUUAGGCGGAAGAAAGCAGAGAAAAUUUCCUAACUGGCUGGUUAAAGAAAAAGGAGAAAAUUCAGCUUCCUGUCCCCUACACCUCUAAAAAAGAUGUAAUGAACUUUCAACAACAGCAAAUGGAGAGAUACCACUGGUACAAGUUUCUGUAUGAGACAGAAAAGGGCCAAUGUCCAGCCUAAAUUUGAUAGGUCCUUUUGUCAUAGACAGGUAUGACUUUUAAAGAGAGUAUUCUGACCUUUGUGUAUGAGCCUUAUCCCCAUCCUGCUAGCUGGAGAUGUAGUUUGAUUCAGUUGUUGCUCAAGAACUAUGUGUUAAAUCACUCCAUGUGAGUUAAGAUCAACAUUGAAAAGACUUAGAAUAAAUGGGCAGAUAGAAGGGGUGCCACUAAAAAAAAAAUGUAAGGGACUUCUUUAUUUAUUAUGCUGAUAAUCAUGUCAGGACUUUUUCAUAAAUUGUGUUAGAAUGUGACAAUAAUAGAAUAGCUUUGAAGACUAGUGGUUUGAGAUGGGGACUAUUAUGUAAAUUUCCCCUACCUUGGUACCUGUAUUCUAUGCUCAGAACUUCUUUUUGACCCCUCUUGGUUUUACUAGUUUUGAUUUUUGGAGGUAAAUCAUGUAGGGAAUGUUCUCUUUUUUUCUGCUGGGUUGUCCUAGUAGUACUAGAUUCUGAUGUUUCCUAAUUUCUUUCUUCCCUUACAAGAGUACUGGGAGUUCCAUAACGAAAAGGAGUUUCAAUUUUUACUGUCAGAAUAUUCAUGACUACUUAAUACUCUUCUAAUAGAUCUUGUACCUAAUGAAGUAAAUUCAAGUAGAUUAUUAGCUGAUCUCAUUACAGGAGGAAAAAAACCUUCCUACUAACAAAGGUGAAAGCAAGUAGAAAAGUGUCCAGAGUAUCUAACAGGAUGGCAGGGGCUCAGGAAAAACAACCAAAGACAAAAAAAGCCUUUCUUCUAAAGACCAAAGGCCCAGCUUCCACAUGCUGGUUUGGCAUAGCCUUUCCAAACUUAACUUUAGGACAGAACUCUUAGGAUAAGGCAACCAAAUUUUAAAGACCAGUCAAUAUAAUGGGGACCUGCUACUGCUCUCUCAGGCACUGUGUUUUCACAUCCAGUGUCAAACCUGGCCCAUUGUAUGGGGUAAUAUAAACAGAAAAUGGCACAUCGAGCUCUCCUGAUGUGUAAUCCAGCAUGAGAAGUACAUUGUGGUGCCACAUAUUCCUGAUGCCCUUUUGUUCAUUUGCCCCCCAUCUGCAUCCUAUUUCAGAAUGUCAUAAAUCUUCAUGUCAUGUCCUGUCUUUGUCCAUUACAAACUGGAGGACUGCAGCUAAGCCUUCCAUAAAGUCCACAGUGUGGGAUCAUUUACCUUAGGAUUAUGUGGAUUUUUUUUUCCUUGUUACAGUGUCACUACACUGUAUGCAUGUGGGGAAACAACCAUGUAGGUGCUUGAACAUGCCCCCCACACAGUCAUAGCCCUGGUGUUUGUGACUGUCGUCGUCGACACAGUGCAACUCUACAGAUGGAGCAUUAUGCUCUCAGAGGACUUAAAAAUAUGUAUAUUAAGCAAUUAACUUUCUGGAGUUAUCAAAUCUUGCUGGGAAAUUAACUUCUAAGAGCUCUGAAUUGGAUGGCGUUCCAUCUGGCUUCAGAGUACGAUGAGCUUAUAUGAAAUGGAGCUUUGAAAUGUUUUUCUUGUGCAGAAAUAUGAACUAGAAAAAAAAAGUGCUGAUUUAAUGCUAAGUUUUCUCUGUGUACUGACUCAGUUGCCAGAAUUAUAAUGAAAACUGUAUUUUAGUCUAACAAAUGUAUAGAAUUUUUUAUGUAAUAAAUAAAAUUUUAUAGGAAAG